CUCACUCUGCCUCUAUCAAGAAAUUGGAGACCCAAGUGCGGUAAAUAUCCACGCAAUUAAAUUCUAGACCUAGAAGUGGACUUUUGAGUGACAUAAUUGCUGACCCAAAGAUCGAUGCCUAAGUCCUAGCAAUUGUCACAAGGAGUGGAAGAGCACUUGAGGAACCUUAUAGAUAAGACAUAAGUGAGAAUAUACCCAAGGCCAAAUCAAAGGAGGUGACGCCUUAAAGAAGAGAGGUAAAUGAUGAUAAAGAGGUUAAUGAAAGCGAUGAGUAGGUGGUUGAAUUUGAAAGGCCACAAGUUGAAGCAAGAACAACCAUCCAAGUUCCUCCCUAUUUCCUCAACGUUUGUAUAAAAAAGAGGAGAAUGAAAAAUUGAGGAAGUUCAUGGCUAAACUUAGUAACCUAUCGAUAAACAUCCUAUUGCUUGAAGCUAUCCAAGAGAUCUUGGGAUAGGCUAAGUUGAUAUCCUAGAAGAAAGUUGUUAAAGGUGAUACUAUUGAGGUCACUCAUGGAUGUUGCUCUAUCAUGGAUAGCAAGGUUGUAGAAAAUAAAGAUGACCCUGGAGCAUUCUUUAUUCCUUGCACAAUUUGGACAUAUGAAUUUGCAAAAUCUCUAUGUUACCUUGGUGGGAGAAUCAACUUAAUUCCUCUUUUCAUAUACAAGAAACUUGGUUUGGAUACCCCGAUGCCAAGCUCUAUGCAACUCUUGAUGGCAGACCGCUCUAUAAAAAGGUCGGUGGGUAUAUUGUUUGACGUCCUUGUGAAAGUGGAUAAGUUCAUUCUCCUGAUUGAUUUUGUGGUAUUGGAUUGUGAAAUGGACAAAAAGGUUCCUAUCAUUAUUGGUCAUCCUUUCUUAGCCACUGAAAGAGGCAUUGUUGAUCUAGAGCUGGGGGAGAUAAAAUUUAGAGUGCAAGAGGAAGAGGUCUCUUUCAAAAUCUGCAUGUCAAAGAAGCAAACCGUGGAGUUGCAAGUAGUAUCCGUGGUGGAUAUUGAAAAUAAGAAGAUAAAUGAAGAGAAAUUUAAGGACCCACCUUGAAAAUAAAGGAAAGAAGAUGUUAUGUCACGAUGAUAACGAAGGCGCUAGGUGGGAGGCAACUCAAAUAUUCCACGACAGUGGCUCAUAUCCUUUUUUGUUAUGUUUUUAUAGGGUAGAUAUUAUCUUUUGCAUAUGAAUAACCCAUGUAUUUGUGGCACUAUAGAGUGCAUUGGAUAUGCUGAACAGGGGAGAAAUGUGUCAAAAAUUGAGUAAAAUGCUAAACAGGGGAGAAGAAUUGCUCUUAGUUACUACAAUCACGGUCCCUAAGUCCGAUCGCGGUCAGACAAAUAUCCGCAAUCACAGUCCUUUAACCGCAGAUGCGGCCAUUUUUUCCAUUUAACCCCUAGUUUUUCUCAUUUCUCUCACACUCCCUUUCAGGAUUGUGCUCUCUAAUUUGGGCUAAUUUCUGGCCAAGUUUGUGAGCUCUCAAAUAGCAUCCUUUCAUUCCGUUACAUCACAACUCCGGUAGGUGACAUGAAUCCAUGACUUUAAUUAUGAAAAUAGGCCAUAGAAUGCAUGGUUAAGAAGGGCCUAAAAUUUUGAUUGUUAUGCUUUCCUUGUUGUCAUACUUGGUACUGGUGUGAUGUUGGCUAUUUGAUUAAGGUGUGUACAUAAGUGGGGGAAAUCAUAAGUACCCAAUGAUGUGUGAAAUAGGUAGAAAAAUGAGAUAUGCAAAACAAGUGUUUGAUGAAAUGCUCUAAUGAACUUUCAAUAUUUAUAUUUUCUUUCUAAAGGGCAUUCACACUUUUUAUCAUUGUUCCAAUGAUCUUCAUAUGCUUUCACAUUGUAGAACAUACUAGUAUCCAAAAUUUGGAAGAAAUCUGAACAUGCAGAGCUGACACAAAACUAGCCUUAGGUAGUGCAAUUUUGGUAAUGCGAACGCGGUCUAGACUCACGAUUGCGGUAACUGAGGAAAUCUUCUUUCUAUGCCAAAAAUCCUUCAUUUCCAACUUUUAGUCUAGCAACACCAAGCACCUAUUCCAAUGAACUCUAGUGACCAAUAUAGCAUAGUUUACAUACUUAAAAUAUCAUCAAAAGAUAUAAUGUGUGCUUAGUGCUUUUAGGAUAACAUCAUGGAUAAGUAUGAUCACGCCCGGUUCAUGGUACCCAAGUUCCAAACUCUUUACUAGAAGGAUCUUUUGAGGACAAAGCUACUGCCUUAGAGAGGAAUUUUCUUAGAAAAUAUGCCGGAGAAACUACCAGAACUACAUGACAAACUUGAAGCCAUAGGGUGACCGUGCUUCACCCUAAAUCCAUGCAUUGCAAAUGAACAAUUGGUUCAUAAGUUUUAUGCAAAUAUCAGCGAAGUCUCUUUUUUGGACCCACUCAAUGUGACUGUCAAUAUUCAAGAAAAAUAGGUGAAAGUUGGGGCUAAACAAAUCAAUGAUGUUUAUGGGCCCAAGCAUACUGACAUGAGUGACUUCAAAUCAAAGGGGUGUAAAUCAGGGAGUUGGUUAGCACAACGACUAUGCCCCAAAAAAGAAGUCUCGUGGACCAAGACUAAAAAUAAUAUUUCCAUGAAUGACUUCACUUUCGAGGCCUAGAUAUGGUUGUACAUCAUUUGUAUUUGAGUUUCUCUUUGCACCUACAUGACAACAAUCCCUGAAUUAUAUACUAGGAUGGUUGCACGUAUUCUAGGAAUCAUCCCUUUAGAUGUUGGCCAACUCGUGGUUAAUGAAAUAGAUCAUUUCAAGGACCAAGGCGGUACGCAUCUAUUCUUUCCCUCCUUGAUUACAAAACUUUGCAAAAGAGCGGGGGUGGAAGAGUAUGCUAGUGAUAUAUGGGUGUGCCCUAAUACUCCUAUUUACCCCUUAAGGAUUAGAGGUAAGGGUGCUCCCAGCAAAAGCAAGAAAAGGAAGAUCGACGUGGAAAAUCUAACAUGCAGUGAGCCUGAGUCUUGUAGGCCAACCACCAUGGGACCUCUUAAGGAGAUUAGUGUAAAUAUUGAAGCCAUCAAAGAGCUUGUGUCUAGUUUUCUCCAAGGACUGGGAGAACCCUCUAUCAUGCAUCAUUCUUAUGUGUCAUGUCCCAAUUAUAAAAAGUACAAGAAAGACCAAAAGAAGCAAGAAGCUACUAUUGAUAAGCUUGAAAAGGCCUACUUCUCUUUGGCAGAGUCACACUGAGACCUCCGCACCGCACAUAAAAAAUAUUUACAAGGGAGAAAAAGAUGGAUGAGUUCUUUAUCAGGAUGUGGAAGGGUGUGAAGGUCCUAUGGAAGGUUCUAAGGCCCCACGAUAGACUUCCUUCUUCUUGGGUGGACAGUGAUGAUAAGGCCCCAUCCGGUUUGAUCUUGAGGAAAAUGAUGGUGAUGCAGAUUCCAACAGUGAUAGUAGCCCUUGAUGCCAUUUGUAGUUGGGGGUGUCUCCUUAGUCUUAUUCAUUUAAUUCGAGCCUAUAUUAUUGAUAUUUCUGCAUACUUUUUUGCUCUUUUGGAUAAUUCUUAUCUUUAUUUUUAUUUGGGUUUGUAAUAAUCGGGCACUCUAAUGGUGCCCACAUUUGCAUAGAUUAGCUAUUUUGUUCUAAGUUUGUUAUCUUAUUUUAGUUCCACUACAAUUAAGUUUCCAACCAUGGGUGCAGGGGAAAUCUGAGUACCCAUGGCACCAAGCAUCAAGGCCAUAGAAUGCAAGGGAAGUUUGAGUAUUUGUAGCAUUGAUAAUUUGGGAUUUCAUUAUUAUCCAUUGGUGAAGUCUGAGUAACCAUAUGGUGGGCCACCCAUACAAUGAUUUUCAAUGUGAGAUGAUAGCUUGGGUGAUUGCCAUGAUUGUCAAAUUAUGUGUGGUGCGAAUACAAAAGCAAAUAACCUCCUCCAUUUGAAAUUCUUGCAAAAUUCAAAGGCAUGGACGUAAACAACUUUGUGACAAAAAAUUUUCCUCUUUCUAUGACUCCAAAAGUUGACUUUGGAAAAAUAGUGAAUACUUUAUUUUUUUCUCGAGCUGGUAGAAUAAUUGAACCCACUAAUAAUGUUCGCAUGCCAUGUGUGUGAGGCUAAUUGUCCUUAUCUCAUGUGUACUUGUACCAUCUAGAACUUGCCCCAUUAGUCUUUCAAGGCUAAAUUUUGACUGUACUUGGUUGGUAAAAUGAUCAUAGGCCAUCUUGUAAUUUUGGAAGCCCACUCUAGCCUAAAAAGCCUACCCAUGCAUAAUUAUCCUUAGUACCCACUUUGAGCUUUUGGACCUUUCUUUGGAAAACUCAUUACAACCCAUGACCUUUUCUUUUUAUCUCUUUUGUGACCCAAACCCUCCUGGAACUUAAAAAUAUAACUUGAGGCUAAAAGCCUAAGUUGGGGGUGGUAAAGGUUGAUGGAAGAAAAUGUAAGGCCACAAAGUUGUAAUGAAAUGCCUCAUGAGCUUGAAUAGCAAAAAUAAAUAAAUAGAAAAUGAAUGAGUCCAUCAAAGGAUUGAAGUGUGUGUAAGUUGCAAGAAAAAGAAAUUAAAGAAAAGGGGUACACAAAGAAAGCUAUUAGUAGGCGUGCGAAAAGAAAGAAACUAAAGAAGAGUGGCCCUUAGCCAAAAUAAAGGAUUGAAAAAGUGUGAUGUGAAUGUUCAAGGAGGGGUGUAGGCAUAUUAUUCCUAAAUGAUAUCCUACCCUAAUGCUAAACCUAUAUUAAAAGCACAAAAAGCCCCUUUUGAUUCCCAACCAAGUGUGCCAUUGUAGUGGUGAUUGAAAAUAGGGGCAAGUUUAUGGCAUGGUACUCGACAACAUGGAGAAUUUCUUGAGAGAGUGAGUGUUUGCACUUAAAAUUCCUUGUUACAUGCUUGGUGACUAGGUGUGUGAAUUUUCCCUUUCUUGUGAAGAGGCAUGUGAACUAGUUGGGAUGGGUGAUUUUCUCAUUUUCGCACAAUGAGACAAUAGGAAGUAUUACAUGAUUGUAGUCAACAUGUGAGUCAUUUUUAGAGUGUUGGUAGUUGUUACAUUGUUUCUCCCCAAAGUCUAUGGCAUCCUUUGCUAUUUUAUUUUGUGAUGAGGGAAGUCAUUAAAAGCCUAUUUGCCCAUGUGUGAAAAGAUUUUGGUGGUAGCAAUCAAGUUUGAUUCUUAUUAAUCAUUGAGCAAUAGAUUGAGGGCAUACAUAUGAAAUUGUCUCAUAAUAAUGGGUAGUGUUGCUUGAGGACAAAUAAAGCCUUAAGUUGGUGGUAUGAUGAGUGGUGAUUUUACUACUCAUUCUCACUUAACAUUCAUGUACAUUACCUUGUUUUGAAUGAAUAAAUGAGACAUUUGUGAGUAAAUGCACUAAUAUCCAUUCUUUGUAGGCAUAGAGUUGAGAAGAUCAAAAGAUGUGGAUUGGAGUUAACAGUGAUAAAAAGAAAGAAAAGAAGAGUGCAGCUGAAAACCUGGACAAUAUCAGCUUCAGUUACCACGACCGUGGUCCUUAAUCUGUGGUCGCGGUCAGUCAAGAUGAUCAGCAUAAUGAGGUCGUGGCAAACAACCGUGGUCGCAUGGAUGCAAUCGCGGACAGACAUGCGUAAUCACAGUCAUGCGGGUAUAUGCCCUGGGGCAGAUCUAUAAAAGCACUUAGAUGAAUCCCAAACAAUAUAUAAGCAAAAUCUUUUUUUUCUUUGGGUAUUGCUUUCCUCAUAAGAUAUCUUUGAAUUCUAGACAUAAAACUCUAAUUGGGAAAGUGUGUAAUUAACUUUGGAGACUAAAUUUCUUAGGAUUUUUGUGAAGAAUGAAUGCUUUGGAUAAUCCUUAUGGUAUAUCUCUCUUUACUUGCUUCAUGAGUAGCUAAGUAAUUGAGUCUUGGGAUUAUGUUGAAUAGAGUGUAAUUUAUGUGUGGUUAUUGUUGUGUUUGUGUGAUUAUUAUUUAUUGAGUAAGGAUUUCACCACUGUUUAAGCUUAUGAGAUAGAAUUUGAUAGGUGAAAGCCCCAAAUCUCCAAAUGGGUUUGAUAGGUGAAAACCCCAAACUCUAAAAACCCUUUAUCAUCCUUGAAAGAGGGAUGAAGAAAAAUAUGAGGUAAUCCAUAACAUCUUUGAAAGAGGGUUAUAGGGGGACAAGAUAAGGGUGGACAAUUAAGCCUAUGCUUUGCUCCCUUUUGCAAUCAUAGAAAUAGGUGUAUUAGGGAUGUAAAUCAUGUCAAGAGCAUCAUCCUAGAAAUAGGGAUGCUUGAUUAAGGUUUUGGGUGAUUACGAAUUUCACACUUGUUAGGUGCUCAAAAGACCCAACGGGUUAAAUCAUUGUGGUUUUAUUGAAAGAUUGACCACAAUGACCUCCGACCUAGCCUAUCCUUUAUUUAACAACUAAAUUUCAUGCUAAACCAUUAUUAACCCAUAUGAUUUUACCUUUAGGUUGACAUAAUCCCAAGAUUUCCCCCAACAUCAUUGGUUAAAACAAAAACAUCUUCUCUUCAUCAUUUGCUAAAGAUCGUAUAAAAAGUUCCCUGAUAAAUCCCCCUAUUUUAUUUUACAUGUCAUGUUUGUUAGAAUUUUGGUUAAUCUCGUAGUAAUUUGAGCACCCAUAAUGUUUGAAAUCUAUAAUUUGCUCCUUGAGAUUUAACCCCAAUUCAAAUUGGGUUACUUAAAAACGACCACCUAACCCCUUAAUUAUAGGAGUGUGUUGAGCGUUAUCCUGGUGAUGGUAUCUUUAGGUACCAAGAAAGGUUGUGUGUUCCUGAAGUGGAUGGGCUGCAAUGUAGAAAUUGGGUUGAGGCUUAUUAUUUGCUUUAUUUGGUUCAUCCUGGUUCAAUGAAGAUAUAUCACAACCUUAAGGAGAUCUAUUUGUGGAAUAAACUGAAAAGGGGUGUGGUUAAUUUUGUGUCUAAGUGCAUUGUGUGUUAGCAAGUGAAAGUAGAACACUUGAGUCCUAGUAGGUUAUUUCAAGAAUAGAGUUGACUGUAUAGAAAUAGGAAGUGAUAAAUAUGGAUUUUGUUACCUGCCUUCUGUCAUCUCGAAACUAGUUUGAUUCUAUUUGGGUCAUCAUGGAUAGGAUGACUAAGUCUACUCACUUCUUGCCAGUGAGGACUAAUUAUUCUUCUGGGGACUAUGCAAGGUUGGUUAUUCAAGAGAUUUUGAAGUUGCAUGGUGCUCCAAUUUCCAUUAUUUUUUAUCAUUGUACUAAGUUCUCAUCUCACUUUUAGCAUUCAUUUCAGCGAGGUUUGGGGACUAAAGUGAUCCUUAGUACCACUUUCCACCCAUAGAUGGAUGGACAAGCGGAAAGGACCAUUCAGACAUUAGAAGAUAUGCAUAGAGCUAUGUAAUUGAUUAUGGCGGUAGUUUAUUUGACCACGUAUCUCUUGUGGAGUUUACGUACAAUAAUAGCUAUUACUCUAGCAUUGGUAUGGAUCCAUUUGAGGCAUUGUAUGGUAGAAGGUGUAGAUCUCUAAUUAGGUGGUUCAAAGUUGGUGAGGCAAGGUUGUUCAAUCUUGAUUGAGUUCAUCAAGCUAUGGAAAAAGUUAAGGUGAUUCGGGAUAGGCUUAAGACUGUUUAAUGUCACCAAAAGUCCUAUGUGGACAUAAGUCAAAGUUAGUUAAAGUUCGAUGUGGGUGAUUGGGUUUUCAUGAGGGUGUCUCCCAUGAAAGGAGUGAUGCAAUUUGGAAAGAAGGGGAAGCUUAAUCCUUUUUACGUUGGUCCGUAUUUGAUGUUGAAGAAAAUGGGAGGUUUACUUAUGGGUUAGAAUUGCCUACGAGUUUGGAUUUUAUUCACCCUGUGUUUCAUAUGUCCAUGUUAAGGAAAUCUGUGGGUGAUCCAUCCUUGUCGGUACCUAUUGAGAAUGUUGGUGUCUCAGAUUCCCUAUCUUACAAAGAGUUUCCGGUAGAGAUCUUAGAUAGACAAGUUCAUAGAUAGCAGACUAAAGAUUUAUCGUUGGUAAAGGUCCUUUGGAGGAACCAUAAAGUGGAAAAAGCCACUUGGGAGGCGGAAGAGGAUAUAAAGGCUAAGUAUACAUUUCUAUUCCAUGUGACGAAUGACGAAGCUUGAGGUAUGAAUUUUGUUCUUCUUUGUUGUUAUUCGGGUUUAUCUUUUGAUUAUGGUGUGUUGUUAUCAUUUUUGUUAGAAAUGUGUCUUAGCUCAUCAUUCGAGGAUAACCCUCAAAUUUUGUGUAUUUUAUUUUUGGUCUUUCUGUGCUUGAAAUAUCAAUUUUUGACUCAAAUUUUGUUUGGGAAUGUUAAAAGGGUAACCAGAAAAAGUUUUGAAAUUUUUGGACGAGGUUUGGAGUGGUUUUGGGUCACGGAGGUAGUAAGCCUCUGUGAUAUUAGCGUGCCACAUAGGUUAGUCUUUGCAAUAACCUUUGUCACAUAAAAGAUAAUCACUGCAAUAAGGUCAAUUGCAUAGAUGCUGGACCUCCGUGAUAAGGUCUGUGCCAUGGACCUAUAGUAAUUUCUGGUUAUCAUGUUAUUUUUAAAAUAGGAUGAGGGGUAAAGGGGUCCUUUCACCUAGAAAUGAUUUUUUAUCACUAGAAGGACCUAAUUCUAUCAGCUUUCAUUAUAUAAAGGUCAUUCUUAUUACUCUCAAGCAUCCUCUCUCAAAUUCCUCUGUUUAAGUAAGGCUAAGGUUCAAGGAGGUGAUCAUCUAGGGUACUAAGGGUGUGGUUUUCUUCAAAUUUAUUGGCAAUUAAGGCAUGUACCUCUUUCCUUUUUUAUUAGAUUAAUGGCAUGAAAAAUUGGUUUGUUAUUCAUGAUUUUGAUGUUGGGUUCUGAACUAUGGGUUGAGGGUUUUGAAUGUAUUUGGUUUAAACAUUUUUCCAUGAUUAUUAUUGAAUUGUUAUGCAUUAAAUUGAUGAUUAUGAAAUCUUUGGGUGCAUGGGGAUAAUGAAUGGAUUUAGGGGUACAAUGGAUUCCCUGAAAUAAAUGGUUUCGGUAUGGAAAUUGAUAAUAACCUCGACCUACUUGCAUAAUUGGCUUUGGAAUAUGAUUUAUCACUUUGCUUGGCUAUUCUUUUGAAAUGUUGCAUUGCAUAAAUGGUAAAUAGAACAUGAAUUAGUUUGGUUUAUUUAUCAAAUGGUUUAGAAAGGCCUUGAUGGCUACAAUUUUGGUUUAAUUGGAAACUUUGGAGUCAAAUUUGGUUGAAGGUUUUGUAUGGCAUAAACGAUAAAUUUGCUGGCUCUAAUUUUGGUAUAACGAUACCAAUGGGAAAUGCCUAAUUAAAAGACUCCUUGGUAAAUGAUUGGAAAUGUGUAAAUGGUUUUAGUAUGGGCUUAAAGGGGGUUGCAUAGCAAAGGCAUGGAAGGUAGAGGUCCCAAGGGAAUCGAUACUAGAAACUCAUGUUUGCCGACGUGAGGUUUGGUCAUAGUGACUGUGUACAUGAGAUGAACUUUAUAUUUUGGGGAAGGCAUUAGCCUUCUUAGGUUUUAUCUUGUACGUGCGGCUAACACACAUUAGGCCCUUUCAGCAGGGAGAGCUAGACCUAUAUAGCCCGUGGGUGCCUUUAGGAUGGUAAAGCAACACAGUCCAGGUUAAUGAUUUAAAAAUGCAUGCUAAACCUUGUUCCCCUUUUUCCCAGCAUAUGAUAUAGGGUUUUAGUGGUAUUCAUAUUAUGGAUUAUGGCAUUACUUUACUACUUUAUCCCUAAUUUACAUGUUAUUACUCCAACCACUAACCAUCUUCAGACGUUGUAUCCCUACGCGAUGUAGGGUCCGAAGGCAAUCUACCUUUCCUGUAGAGUGAUCAGGUGUUCGUGGUUAGAUCUAGAGUUGACUGGAAGUGAUGAACUUUCAUCCUUCAGAAGACUUCAUUUUAUGUUUUGGUUUCCCUUGUCUUAGACUUUAUUUUAGAUUUGUUUUGGCUAUGGUCAGAGGCUUAUCCUGACAUUCUACUGGUAUUUGGUUUUGUUAGAGACUUUUUUGGACUACUGUGGAUGUAGGCAUUAUGGUAGACGUUCGGUAUUAAUUUUUGGUAUUGUGGAUGGUUUUUUUAUAUUGAUCUCAUAUAGACUUUUGGGUGUAUCUUUCCUAUCUUGUCAUAUAUGUAUAUUAGUUACUUUUGAAUAGUCUAAGGGGUUGGUCUACGGUCCUCGGUGCACUUGAGAUACCUAUCAUGGCUAAGCCUAGUUCGUGCCAUGACAUCUAGUAGAAGAAUAUCUGAAAUGCAAUGAAAAGAUCCAGGAUGUUGAUCCGAUAAAUCCUGCUUCAGAUUAAGAAGGUUCAUCUGAUACAUAUGCAUACUCUAACACCGGCGAUAACUUUCUAGCUAAUGGAUACGUAAAAGACAGCAAAGAGUCUGCCGAUUCAUGGGAAUACAUUAAGGACACUCCUGAAUCCUAAAUUGAACCUUUAGAAGAAGACUAUCCACCAAUAUACAUGAACCACUCCAAAGAACUAGAGUUCUUCAAAGUUGUCGAUGACCAAGAUAGGAUGACGGAUAAUCCAAUCCUAGAAAAAAGGCCAGAUCCAGGUACAACUGGCAAAGAAAAUUGUGUGAAUUGGAUUCCACACAUUCACUCUCGAAGACAUCAAGAUUUAAUCUUGGCCCCAGAGGAUCUAAGACUUCUAUACUUAGAUGGCAAUGAAUAAUCUGGCUGAACGGAAGAAAUACAUGAUACUAUUGGAGUUCACAUCCAGAUUCUUCGGAAUGCUCAGAGACUGGUGGAAUGCUCUUGGGAUUUCGAUAAGAACAUUUAUUUGAUGUCACAAGACUUGCCCUUCAACAAUAGGAUCCUACACAAGGUCUUCUGCGAAGACACAGGCUAGAGACAGGAAAAGUUCCAACGACAACUUUUUGAGACGAAGUGCCUAUCAUUCGACAGACAUUGAUAUCUACUUCCAAAACAUGGCAAGGAUCUACUUUGAACUAGGUGGCGACCCCCGCCUGAAGAAAGCAUUCGUAUCAUCACUGCCAAAGAUGCUAGCAGGACACACAAUGAUGAUUAUGGAGGAGAAGUUCAAAUACAUAACCAUCCACAGAUAGGCUACAUCCAACAGGCCAUAUUCCAAUCUUUAGACAGCAUAUGCACAAAGAGAUCUAUACUGAAGUAGAUCUUCUAAUACAUCCAACCCUUGUUCAAGCAUGUAACAGGGAUGAUCUUGUAACCAAAUCAAACUAUCAUUGCUCAAGCCACAAAGAGAGACCGAAGAGCCAGCUAUAGUUUAGAAGGUUCAAAGUGCUAAACCUCCCGAUGACAAGAUCAAGGUGAUUUGGCAAACCAGGUACUUCAGAUGAAGAAUCCCAAUAGAAUACAGGAAGAAGAAUGAUUUCAUCAACAGAAAUCCUGGCCACUAUUCUAGAAAUUGUCCACUUCUUUGAAUAAAUAAUUGAUCAUGCAAGAAUCUAUCUCAACAAAGAUCACUACUUGAAUCGUUCUUCUUGUUGGAAGAAGAAGAGACGGUCAACACCUUCUUCUCCAUAGACAUAUAAAAAGAUUCAAGCGACAUUUAUGUUGAUGAUUUUUACCUGAUAUAUAGUACCAGAGAAGACAACCAGAAACUGGCUAGUCAAAUCCUCAUGUUCAACACAGCAGUAAUUCUAUCUUCUGAAAUAAUAGACUGCCCUCCUGAUCUUUCAACCAGUAUGUGGAUCCCUUCGAUCUAUCUAUCCUUCAAGAAAGAACAACCUUCUAUGAGCUUCAAGUAUUUAUAAAGUACGGAGGAUCCAUCCUAAAGCCAUUCGUAGUGCACCAAAAUAUCAUUUCUACCAUGUGUUCAUAGCACUACCCAAUGACUUCCCGCAAGAACUCAUGUGGUUAUUUUGGUACCUGUGCCAUCAGUACUAUAUUUUCAUAGAGUUCUAAUGUGAUCCCUUUAGGAAUUUCGAUCUAAUCCAACCAUCUUUGAAGAGAUUCAUGCUAUGGUUCAAGACAUGACAAUACUGGAUUUGAUGCUUCAGAGAUUUCUGUGAUACAAUAUUUUUUAUGUUGCAUCAUUUGAUAGGAAUCACAGGCCAUAACAUCUAAGCUCAGCACUUCACUCUCCAGCAGAAUAGAUGCAUUUCGAAAGAAAUCUGGCCGAGGAAUGGGUAAAGUGUAACUACGCUGAUGAUCAUCCCUACUGGGAUGACAUCCAAAGAGCAACAAAAUAUUGCCAUCCACCAUAUGAAAUCACGAGAAUGAAGUCACCAACUCCAUAAAAAGUAUACAGAUGAAAGCUCCCCCACAGGAAUGUGAACUACUCUAAUUAGGAGAAAUGAUCUCUCAAUAGAUAUAUAAGGCUGUGAGACAUAUACAUCUCCAAAAACAUCCCGGAGAAUUGAGUCCAUGAAAAUGGAGAAGAUCCAUCUGGUCUAGAAUCUAUAUAACCUCUUGGCCAAUGAUGAGUAGACAAGUUCAACUGAAAUAUGGUGUGAUCCAUACCAUAAGUCUCCACUACGCCCAAACCACGAAUCUAUCCUCACAAAAAGUUAGGAACUCAUGUGCAUCCUCUCUAGGAGAACCAUAAAAUCUCAGUAGAUCUAACCUUAAGAAUUUGCCCAACAUAUUUAAUUCCUCAGAAGACAUAGCAAGCUUGGAAACCACUGGUUGGGCAACUAUCAGCUGAGCAACUACCGAGCUGGGAGAUGCAACUACUGGUUGUGGCCCUGCCUCAGCACCACUCUAGCCUACAGACUGUACACCAUCAGGCAGCUCACCACUAAUAAUACUAUCACAACCCGAGCUAGGGCCCUGACCAUGACGGACUUCCUAAACUAUCAAGGACCGAGAGACCCCUAUAACGGUCCAACCCACUAGUGAUAUUGUCUGCUCUGGGCCCAGGCUUGGACGACUUUAAAAUAUAUCACUAGAGAGUAAGUCUUGCUUACUUAUAUCCCUCCUAUAUUUUUUCAAAAUGGAACUCCUUAUCCUAAAUUGGGGUUUCACAUACACCUCACCCCCAUUUUAUGGACUCAGCGUCUUCACUGAGGUUUGCCCCAUCAAAUGGGAUUUUCCUAGACUCAGGACUGAGGUUUGCCCCAUCUUAUCAGGAUUUUCCUAAACUCAAUUUGAACUCUGGUCCACAUUAACAGGGCUGACACGGGAGUAGAUCUAUACCAUUCUUGUCAAGACCAGAGUCAGGGCCCUAGCCGCGAUGAGCAUCCCAAACCAUUAAGGCCCGAUAGACCUCUAUAAUGGCCUAAACCACUAAUAAUUUUAUCAAUCUGGGAUAGGCCUGUACGACUUUAAAAUACAUCAGUUGGGAGUAAGUCUUUCUUACUUAUAUACCAAGCAUCACUCUUAUGUUUUGCCGAUAUGGGACUUUUUAUCCUAAUUUGGGGUGUCACAAAUACCCAGUAACUAAACCAAUGCAUCUCUAAGCACUAUAGAAAAAAUGAACCCUGGUGGACCCUGGGCUGGUGCCUGGCCCACCAUUAGUUGUGGCAGAAAAAUCUGUGGCUCAGGUUCAGGAAUAGGGUCUGGGAAGGCGGCCUAUCAUUGCCUAUAGCUGGGGCCAUGUAUCUAGGUUAUCCAUGACCUCUAGGUUAUCCACAUUCAACAACGGGAGUAGGAUCCCUAGGUUUGAUCUUGAGAACCUCAUCUCGUGUAGCGGUAGCACAUGUUUGGGCCUUCUGUGGAGGACUAAAGUCAAAUAAAUAUCCCACAAACCAAUAUAGACUCUUAGAACGAUAUGAAUAAAACAAGUAAAGAACUUCUAAGGAUGUCCAAUAGCCUCCUGAAGAUAGGAAACGAACAUCAACAUUCUGAUCCAUAGGACCCUACUAGACACUUAUUCUUGUACCAACAAUAUCGGUGAAACCUAGCUUUAAUACUAAUUUUUCAUGACCUAAUUUAUGAGUCAUUAUGGCACCUACUAAUUGCCACUAGUAGGUAAGAUAAUACCAUAACUCAAGCUAAUAGAAUAGGUUAAUCCAGUAAGAAAGGUCUGACAUAGGUAAAUAUUGAUAACAUCAAUUGUAAACAUAAUGGUUCUAGAUAUAACAACAGUCAUACAAGGUGCCAAUCCCAAAACCUUGAAGAGCUAAUACAAGAGCAACUAAUAUCAUCAAUACAACUCCAAGUUUAGAAUGGUUAGUUCAUCUGUCUCGAAUACCAAAAACUGAAUACAAGAGAUAGAAGGAAAUUGGAUAAACCAAACUCCAAGAGCUUACCCUAUACCCAAGUAUCAAUCAGCGCAUGAACCACAAUCAACAGCGAUAAAUACUGAAAUUUGCACCAAAAAGGUACAAAAGUGUAGUUAAGUACCAAAACAACGAGUACUCAGUAGGUAUCAUUGGACAACUAAGCUAAAUCAUGAUAUAAGAAUGAUAAAAUAUAAGAUAAUAUAACUAAGUCAAGGUACAGAAUUAAAACUGAAUCAUAUCUAUCAUCACUAUAUAUAAUAAGCACAUUAAAAUAACAGUGUAACAUAAGGCAUCAACACAUGCAAUAUCAUUGGACAUAAUAAGCAUUAAAUAUUGGAAUAACAAUAUAAUAUAAAGAAUUAAUGUAUGCCAAUAUCACAGUACAAACAAGUAUUAAAUAUGGAAUAACAAUAUAACAUAAGGUAUCAACGCAUGCCAAUACCAUCGUGCAUUAGAAAUAAACAAUUCAGAAUCAUAAAGUAACACAAAUACAAUCACAAGCAAACACAAGUACAAUAUUGGCGCCCAUACACUAACUAGUGCAUAAUGUAAAGAACUCAUCACGGUGUCCCAUACCACCAGAGAGUACACCCAAGAGGAAUAUAUAGGACUCAAAUCAACAAUAUAUCUAAACUUUUUUAUUAUCCAUAGUUUUCCUCAAUUUUCAUCAAACGGACAUUUGCCAACAUUUUUAAUCAUCAUCAAUAAUCAUAAUGGAAUAACAUAUACCAAUAUACUCAUAAAUGUAACCAUACAAUCAUAUAGGAUCUAUCUCGUCAAUACAACAUAUUCACACAUUAUUAGCUAGCCAAUGCUUAAUACCCAACCAAUUACUCACUAGUCAUCAUAUAACCUCUAAUUAUUAUUUAUUCACUAUUCAUCACAUAGUAACUAUUCAUGGUUUAGCGUCUAACCAGUAUUCACUAAGUAUCCAAUAUCUAGCAUCUAGUCAAGAUUUACCACUAAACCAUACUCACCAAUUAACCAAUAUUUAUUUCUAGUCAUUACAAUUCCACUACCUAUAAUCUAACAAGAGGCUGUCAAUCACCAUUUAUUCAUUAUCUAUCUAUCAACGAACAUCCUUUAUUAACUAUCAUUAUUAAUCCCCAAAUUCCCACUUAACAACUAAUCAACAUUAUAAACUUAGUCAUUAAUAGUAACUAAUAAGAACUAUUGAUAAACCUAUUAUUCCUAACAUCUGUAAUAAUAUAAUCAUCACUAUUAAUAGCCAUCAAUGCUACUAGUCCUAUUUAUCACUAAGGUUCGCUAAUCUAUUAGUCACUAUUAGCCAUUUAAGUAAUAUCCACCCCUAAGCAUCGUUCAACCUUAAAUCAACAACUAUACCACUUUUAUACCUUAUUCACUAAAAGACUAUAAUGGUUGUCUCUAGUCUCCACAUUAUAUCCAACUACACAAGAGCGUAAAUAAAUAUAUCAUUGCCAUACAUAGGGCUACCCAGACUUGAACUAGUAGAUAUACACAUAGGAAUAUUAAUAAUCAUCUUUUGAACUUAUCGGGCAUCGUCAUAUCAUCACAACAUCAUCCAUCCACAUUGGGUAUCAUCACAUGAAAUAUCCUGGGUUUUGAACUAUAGAAAAUUUACUAGAAUUCUAUCCUCUGGACCCAAUAUGACUCAUGGGUAUGAACCGUAUGCUGGGGUACGAGUGGUAUGGUCCUGUCGUAUGCUUACCAGUGUUAGCUGGUAGGAUUUUUUUGGUCACUGUAAUAGGUAUAACUUAGGGGUAUAAGUCAUAAGGGUUUGGUACGAUUCAUAGCAAGGACUUGUAUGGUGGGCAGUAUUUGAUUCUCCUGAUAUUUUAUUCUGCUAGAGAUACGGGUUAUGGGUACAAAUCGUAUAUUAUGGUUAUGACUUAGUUGGAUAUGUCAUAUAUUGGACAGUGUUUGAUCCAAUGGUUGAGUCUUAGAUACGAGUGGUAUGUACCAAUUAUAUAGAAGGGUUCAACUCGUAUGGGUUAGUCGUAUCCCUAUAGUGGGAUUUUAAGGGAUUUAAGUGGGAGAAUUUUGGAUAUUUCCCUACUCACCCUAAUACGGACCCAUGACUUCUAAUAUACUUUGUAGGAUAUUUACCCUAUUAUUCAAUUCAUUAACACUAAGAAAGUGUUCCAAAACACUCAAUAAUUCUCUCAAGAGCUUUUGCGGCAAAAUGGCUAGGUUUCAUCUUGUAGAUUGCUUUGUGGCUUGUCUUGGUGAUCUCUUUCCAUUAAUUAUUUGGUAUAAUGCAUGAUUCUCUUCCCUUGUUGUAAUUUUAACUAAAGGCAUGGUUUAUAUGAUUAAUUUCAUGGUUUUACUAUUUCAUAAUUAUGGUUUUCAACUAUUAUUUUAUGGUUUUGAUAUUGAAUGAUUGGUUAUUGUGUCCUAUGGUUUUAAUUAUGCUUUUAUAUGCAUCAACGAGGGAUUUGGUCAAUUGGAUUGCAUGGUAAAAGUUUAAUGGUAUUUGGAAUUGAUUUUGGUUAUAUUAUGCCCCCAAGGUGUUUGAUAAAAUACUUAUAAAUAUAUGUUCAUUGCAUUGACUAUUGCAUGUUUUAAACUUGAUAAAGGAUUUAUACAUGGUUUAAAUAGUUUAAAAAGGCAAAAAGCUACAUGUUUAUAUUUGUGAAGAACAUGGAAGUCUCCCAAAUAUAUUUAAUAAGGUAAUUAGAAGGGAACUAAGGUCCCCUUAACCUAAAUGGUUGCUAUGGAUAUUACUUGUAAGUAAGGAGUGGAAUGAUGAUACCACUAAUAUUGGCCUUGGUUCAUAUAUGGUAAAUGGAUUGUUUGGACAUGGUUUUAAUUGAGGAUGUGUAGCUAAGUCGUAGAAGAUGGCGACCUCGGGGGGACCAAAAUCAGAAACUCAUAUUUAUUGAUAUGAGGGUCUUGAUGACUGUGUUUCUGUGUUAUAUUUUAUGUUGGAGGGUGUACUAGUCAUCCCAUGGUAUAUUCCCUAGUCGUGGGGCUUCUUGCACUGGGCCCUUUUAGCAGGGUAGCUGAACCCAUAUAACCUGUGGGUGGUUUAGGACAGCUAAGCUACACUACAUAGGUAUAAAGGUUUUAAAAUACAUGCUAAACUUAGUUCCCUUUCCUAGAACUUAUAUAUGUAUGGUUGUAUACAUUAUGGAUGGUUUUACUUAGUUUUAUAACUGGCAUUAUUUUAUCCUUAUCCUGAGAUUCAUGCUAGCGGUUACUCCCUAACCUUUUAUACUAGCAGUGGUAUACCCACACUAUGCAUGAACUAUCUAUUCUACUCUUUUUUCUUAGCAUGUGGAUUUGGUAUCAGCAUUUGGACUAAAGUGGUGAGCUUCCAUCCCUUCGGGAGGCAUCAUUUCAUGUUAUGGACUUCUUUAGAAACUUUUCUUUUAUUUUAGAUAUUAGUUUUGGCCAUGGUUGGGGGCAUGUCACAAUUAAAUUUGUUUACUCUUUUGGAUAGAGGCUUUAUGGUACUUCUGAGGGUUGGUAUGGGCGGGAAUGGUAGAGGCGUUAGACUUAGCAUUGGUAUUGAAAUUGAAACUGGCAUCAUCAAACAUAAUUUUUCACUGUUCUGUCAUAUUAUAUUUUCUUAUUUGUUUGGCUAUCUUUGGUGCCAGGCCAUUAGUGUGCUCUAUUUUUCUUACUGUUAGUUUUGUCCAGACCUUGGUUUUGUUUUUUCUCCCUAUUUGAGUUUAGUUUUGUUUCUUGAUUAUUUCUUCUAAUUUGUGUGAGCCUUGUAUUUCCUGCUGCUGCUUUGUUACUACUAUUAUUUAUAUUUUCUUAUAUUUUCUUAUGGUAGUGGUGGUGGGCAUUAAUGGUUGGAUAGGGUCAUGUCCGAGGGGGUUAGGGCAGGGGUUAUUAUGGAGGCAGGGGAAGAGAAAAGGGUGGGGGUGGGAGGAAGGCCAAGGUUUAGCCUCAGGGGCGGUAGAGGAAGACGUAUGGAUAGAGAUGGUAGGUUGAGGGUUGGGUCUUAGAAUAUAGGGACUCUUCAGGGUAAGUCCAUAGAGCUUGUGAAGAUUCUUAGAAAGAGGAGGAUUAAUAUUGCGUGUGUUCAAGAGACCAAGUGGGUAGGGUCUAAGGCUAGGGAUGUGGAUGGUUACAAGCUUUAGUACUCUGGGAGCGAGAGGCAUAGGAAUGGAUUUGGCAUCUUAGUAAAUAAAGAGCUUAGGGGUCGGGUAGUAGAGGUAAAGAGGAUCAGCGAUAGAUUGAUUACCAUUAAGUUGGUUAUUGGGGGUUUACCCUGAACGUGUGUAGUGCUUAUGCACAGCAAGUGAGCUUGGAUGGGGAGGAGAAGAUACAGUUUUAGGAGGCUUUGGAUGAGGUGGUGGUGAGAGGCAUGCCUAGCUCAGAGAAGAUUGUUGUAGCAGGAUAUUUUAAUGGGCACAUCGGGGCAUUAUCGGGAGGCUUUAAUGAUGUAUGUGGUGGUUUUGGUUUUGGGGAAAGAAAUAAAGAGGGGGCUACUCUAUUGGAUUUUGCAAGGUCCUUUGGGCUGGUGGUGGUAAACACGGGCUUUCCGAAGGAGGACGAUCACCUGAUCACCUUUCAAAGCAUGAUAGCCAAGACCUAGAUUGACUUUUUGUUGCUUAGAAAAGAGGAUAGGGUGUUGUGUAAGGACUGUAAGUUCGUCUUGAGUGAGAAUCUUUCGACCCAGUAUAGGCUCUUGGUUACAAAUUUUGGUAUAAAGAAGGAUAAGAAGAGAAGGGGUGAGGAGUGUAGACCUAGAAUUAAGUGGGGCAGCUUGACUCCAGUGAAUGCGUGGGAGAUAAGGGAGAAGUUGGCAUGAAUGGAGGUGUAGGAGUGUAGGGGGGAUGUGGAUAGUAUAUGGGAUAGGGUGGCUAGGUGCAUCAAAGAGAAUGCUAGUGAGGUGUUGGGUGUUUCUAGGGGUCGGGCUAGGCAUCAUCGGGGGGAUUGGUGGUGGAAUAAAGAGGAUAAGAGAAAAGUGGAGACCAAGAAAGGGGUGUAUGCUAAGUUGGUUGAGAGUAAGGACGAAGAAGAUAAGUGGGUAAAUAGGAAAGAGUACAAGUUAGCUAGGAAGAAGGCUAAGUUAGUAGUUAUGAUGGCUAAGAUUGCAGCUUUUGAGAGCUUGUAUGCGGGGUUACAGGAGAAAGGAGGGGAAAAAAGUUGUUUAGACUCACUAAGGCUAGGGAGAGGAAGGGUCAUGACCUCGAUCAGGUGAAGUGUAUUAAGGGGAAGGACAGUACAGUUUUGGUGGAUGACGGCUACAUUAAGAAUAGAUAGCAGUCGUAUUUUCAUAGGCUCUUAAAUGACGAAGGGGAUAGAGCUAUUAUGUUAGGAGAGCUAGAGCACUCAGAGAAGUGUUGAGAUUUUAGUUAUUGUAAACAUUUUAAGGUAGAGGAGGUUAGAGAGGCUGUUUGCAGGAUGUGAAGGGGUAGAGCGAUGGGGCCUAAUGAGAUACCAGUGGAUUUUUGGAAGUUUUCUGGCGAGGCUGGUUUAAAGUGGUUGACUGGAUUAUUUAACAAAAUUUUCAAGAUGGCAAAAAUGCCCGAGGCUUGGAGGUGGAGUACUAUGAUCCCUUUUUAUAAGAACAGGGGUGAUAUUCAGAGUUGCAAUAACUAUAGGGGUAUUAAGUUAUUGAGUCACUUUAUGAAGAUUUGGGAGAGAGUGGUCGAGGUGAGGCUGAGAUGGAUAGUGUCUAUUUCGGAGAACCAGUUUAGAUUUAUGCCUGGCCGCUCGAUGACGGAGUCAAUUCACCUGGUACGAAGACUGGUGGAAUAGUACAGGGAAAGGAAGAAGGACCUGCACAUGGUGUUUAUCGACUUGGAGAAGGCAUACGACAAAGUCUCCAAGGAGGUUCUUUGGAGAUGCUUGAAGGUGAGUGAAGUCCCAGUGGCAUGUAUCAGAGUAAUUAAGGACAUGUAUGAUGGAGGUAAAAGUCAGGUGAGGACGGCGAAAAGAGACUCAGAGCAUUUUACUGUCUUGACAUGAUUGCAUCAGGGAUCUACUCUUAGUCUCUUUUUCUUUGCUUUGGUGUUGGAUGUGUUGAUGCAGCGUAUUCAAGGAGAGGUGCCUUGGUGUAUGCUUUUUGCAGAUAAUUUGUUUUGAUUGAUGAGAUACGGGGGGGUGUGAAUGAUAAAUUAGAGGUGUGGAGACAAACUCUUGAGUCGAAAGGGUUUAGGUUGAGUGGGAGCAAGACAAAGUAUUUGAAAUGUAAGUUUAAUAACAUGAGGCUGGUGAAUGAGGUGGUAGUUAAGUUGGAAUCAUAGGUCGUAUAUAAGAGGGAUAGUUUUAAGUAUCUCAGGUCCGUGAUUCAGGGAUGGUGAGAUUGAUAAGGAUGUCUCACACCGUAUUAGGGCGAGAUGGAUGAAGUGGAAGCUCACUUUAGGGUGUUAUUGAUAAGAAGGUGCCGCCCAAGCUUAAAGAAAAAUUCUACAGGGUGGUAGUCCGUCCGGCCAUAUUGUAUGAAGCGGAGUGUUGGCCAGUUAAGAACUCCCACAUUUAAAAAAUAAAGGUGGCAGAAAUGCAGAUAUUGCAUUAGAUGUGUGGGCUGACUAGGGGGGAUAGAGUUUGGAAUGAGACUAUCAGGGAGAAGGUUGGUGUGACUCUAGUGGAGAAUAAGAUGUGGGAAGUCCAAUUGAGAUGGCUCGGACACGUGAUGAGGAGGGGCGUGGAUGCCCCGAUUUAUAGGUAUGAGAGGCUAGCUUUGGAUGGUUUUAGGUGGGGUAGGGGUAGGCCAGAGAAGUAUUCAGGAGAGGUGAUUAGGUGGUACAUAGAGCAGUUACAGCUCACUGAGGACAUGACCCUAGAUAGGAAGAUCUGGAGAACGCGAAUUAAGGCAAAAGGCCAGGGUCAAUUUGGGUUGUUAGUGUAAGGAAUUACUUGGUGCGGGUAUUAUUCUUAUUAUGAUACCUUAUUUCAUGUUUUAUUACGAAUCUAUUUACUUUUCUUUUUUUUCUAUUACUUGUGGGUGUCAUAUUUAUGUUAUGCCAUCUUGUUCCAUGCUUUACUAUAAUUUGGUUAGUACUCUGUGUCUCGAGCUGGGGGUCUAUCAGAAAUAGCCUUUCUACUUCUUUAGAGAUAGAGGUAUGGACUGCGUACAUCUUACCCUCCCUAGACCUCACUAUGUGGGAAUACAUUGGGUUUGUUGUUGCUGUCAUAUUAUAUUUUGGUAUAGAUUUUUAUAUUAUGUUUUGGUAUUCCAUUUGGUUUAUUGUCUAUGGUUUGGUUUGGUAUGGUUGGGCGGUUGGUGCGGUACGGUUGGACUCAGUUGUGUCGGUCAUGAUCGUGACCCUUUCCUAGAGUCUUAAUGAGAACAAUAAUGCUAUCUUAUUAUAUAUUCAAAUUCAAUCCAUCUAAGUCUAGAUAUAUGUGGUUGGGUUGGGUAAUAGGGGAAAUCCCUAGUCCUAGUUGGACUUGGGAUGCCUAUUAGAACAAGGCUCGGGGUCUAGUUAUGCCAAGUUGGUAUUAGAGCCUAGGUUCAUGGUCACUUGGGAGUCCACAAAGUCGUGUCAAGUAGAGUAUCUUUUAGGGGUGUAAAGCAUGCCACAUUCACAAGAGAAAGGCUACAAGGCAUUUAGGAAUGUUUCAUUUUCUUUGUAUUCUAUCUUCAAGCUUGAGUUCUCAAUCAUGGAAUCUCUUCUAAUACUUGUUUGCUUAUAUUUUAGAUCAUGCCUACUAGAUCUAAAACAUAAGAAAAUGCUUUUGUCCUAUCUGGGGAUAAUUUUGAAGGGGUAUGUCAUACUUUUGGAGUACAUCUUUGAUUUCAUGGUCCUAUUCCUAAUGGUGUUGGAGUUCCUUCUAUUUUUUCCAGUUCUCCUCAAGUCCCUCAGGGUAAUGUGAUGAAUGCAAAAUUUAAUUAGUCUAUUCAUAUUAUUCAACUAGUUGCUGCUCAAGCUGAGCGGGGUACAACUGGUGCUUUAUCUGCUGAGACCAUAAGGGUUGGUCAAUUUAUAAAGAUGAAUCCUCCAAGUUUUAUUAGGGUGAAGGUAGAGGAGGAUCCACAAGGCUUCUUAGAUGAUAUGGAAAAGAUCUUUUGAUUGAUAUAGGCUACUAAAGUAGAGGGGGUUAACUAUGCAGCUUAUCAACUUAAGGAUGUUGCUUAUUAGUGGUAUGAGGAGUUGGAUAGAUAUAGAGGUGAUAUAGAAAAGGAAGGGUUAUAGAAGGCCUUUUCUAAUGCCUUCUUAGAUUGGUUCUUUCCUCAAGAGUUGAGGGAAGCUAAGAUGGAGGAGUUUGUGAACCUCAGGCAGGGAAGGAUGUCAGUAAAGGAAUAUGCUUUGAAAUUCUAUUAGUUAUCAAGGUAUGCUCCUGAUUUAGUGGAUGAUAUGAGGUCGAGAAUGAGGAAGUUCGCUUUUGGGUUUAAUAGGGAUUUGAUUCUAGAGAGCAAGACUGCCUUCCUGAUUAAAUAUAUGGACAUCUCGAGGUUGACUAUUCAUAUACAGCAGGUUGAGGAUGAGAAGAGAAAGUUGGCAGAGUUUGGGAAUAGGCAGAGAAAGAGGAGUUAGUUUUCUUAUUAGGGAGGUAUAUAGUCUCAAGGUGGAAGAGAUGGUGGAAAGUGGCAGUACAAGAACUGGGGGAGUUCUGGAUCCUUUUCUACUAGUGCUCCUUAUUAGUUGGGAGAUAGGCGUCAUCAAAGUGGUGAUAAUUCUCAGGCACUGGUUUGCCAAUAUCAAGCGACCGUAGGUCGAUUAGUUUUCUUGUGUUCUCCUUGUUGAUUCUGUGGAUGUCCUCACCAGGGCUAUUAUGAGGAAACAAGGAACAAAUUCUUCAAGUGUUUCUAGGUAGGCCAUCGGCUCAGGGAUUGUUCGGUCAAUAAGGUUGCUAUGAGGGCAAAUAAGAUUCUUGUGGCUUCAUCUUCUGUUCCUACACCUGGUGGGGUGGCAUCUUCUUCUAUUAUUUCUCCUUGUUCUAGUGUUAGUCAAAAUAGGUUGUAUGCUUUGGCGUCCUAAUAGGAAUCUGAGGCAUCACCUGAUAUUAUUACGGGUACGUUACAGCUCUUCUCUUAUAACAUAUGUUAUUUACUUGAUCUGUGGUCCACUUUUUCUUAUGUGACUCCACAUAUGGAUGUGUCUUUUGGUUUCAAUCUGGAAGUUAUCUUGGAUCCUUUUUCUAUUUCUACCUCGAUAGGUGACUCGAUUAUUGCUAAGAGAGUCUAUAGGGGGUGUGUGGUAUCUGUUGGUAACAAGCAGACCUUGGCAAAUCUAUUUGAGUUAGAUAUGGUAGAUUUUGAUAAAAUUUCUAGGAAUGAAUUGGUUGCAUUCUUGUUAUGCGUCUAUAGAUUGUCGGACCCGUAAGGUUAUCUUUAAAUUCCUUAGUGAACCAAUUAUAGAAUGGGAAGGUAGUUUCUUAGCUCCUAAGGGGGAGAUUUAUUUCUUAUCUUAGAGAUCGGAGGUUAAUCUCUAAGGGUUGUCUUUAUCACUUGGUUCAGGUUAAAGAUUGUAACUCGAAAGGUCCUUCUUAGUCUUCGAUCCCUAUAGUUAAUGAGUUUCCAAAGGUCUUUCUAGAUGACCUUCCUGGUGUCCCUCCGGAUAGAGAAAUAGAGUUUGGUAUUGAUUUGCUUCAGGACACUCAUCCAAUUUGUAUUUCUCUGUAUAGAAUGGAUCCGGUUGAGUUGGGGGAUCUCAAAAAUCAACUUAAGGAUCUUAUGGAUAAGGGGGUUAUUCAUCCUAAUGUUUCUCCAUGGAGUGCACCAGUGUUGUUUAUGCGCAAGAAGGAUGGUUCUCAUUGGAUGUGCAUUGACUACAGGCGGUUGAACAAGGUGACGGUCAAGAAAAAUAUCCUCCUUCUUAGAUAAAUAAUUAUUUGACCAGUUACAAGGUGCCAAGUUUUUCUCUAAGAUAGAUAUUUCCUCUGGGUACCGUCAGCUUAAGAUUAGGGAGGUGGAUAUCCCUAAGAUGGCUUUUAGUACUCGGUAUGGGCAUUUUAAGUUCUUGGUGAUGUCAUUUGGAUUAGCUAAUGAUCCAACAGCAUUUAUGGACAUAAUGAAUAGGGUAUUUUGGCAGUAUUAGGAUCUCUUCAUCAUUGUAUUUAUUGAUGACAUUCUAGUUUAUUCGAAGAGCGAGGUGGAUCAUUCUUAUCAUCUCCGUGUGGUGUUGCAGACCUUAAAGGAACAACAGUUGUAUGCCAAGUUCUCUAAGUGUGAGUUUUAGUUGAACAUUGUGACUUUCUUGGGCUAUAUUAUUUCACUGAUGGGAUCAUGGUGGAUCCAUAAAAGGUGGUUGUGGUAAAGAGGUGGCUAGGCCCACGACUCCAUAAGAUAUUCAAAGCUUCUUGGGUUUAGCCAGGUAUUAUAGGCGGUUUAUGGAAGGAUUUUCUUUGAUAGCUGCUCCUUGACUAAGUUGACUUAGAAGAAGGUUAAGUUUUCUUAGUCGGAUGCUUGUGAAUGGAGUUUUGAGAAGUUGAAGGAUAAGUUGACUUUGACUCAAAUCCUAACUUUGUCGGAAGGCAAUAAUGGGUUUGUAUUUUAUUGUGAUGUAUCUCGGGUAGGGCUUAGUGGUGUUUUGAUGCAGCAUAGAAAGGUGAUGGCCUAUACUUCUAGGUAGUUGAAGGUACAUGAGAGAAAUUAUCCUACUCAUGAUUUGGAGUUGUUGGCGAUUGUGUUUUCUUUGAAAAUAUGUUGGCAUUAUUUGUAUGGUGUUCACAUAGAUAUCUUUUCUGAUCACAAGAGUAUUCAAUAUGUAUUCACUCAGAAAGAGCUUAAUCUUAGGCAGAGAGGUGGCUUGAGCUUCUAAAGGACUAUGAUAUGAGUCUUCACUACAACCUAGGUAAGGCUAAUAUGGUUAUUGAUAUUCUUAGCAGGUUAUCCAUGGGGAGCUUGGCUCAUGUAGAGGAAGGCAAGCAGGAAUUGGUGAAUGUUAUUCACCGCUUGGCUAAUCUUGAAGUUCAUCUCUUAGACUCUAAGUAUGGUGGUGUGAUGGUGCAAGAAGUGGUUCGAUCAUCUCUUGGUGCGAAGAUUAAAGAAAAGCAAGUGUUGGAUCCUGUCUUGAUGAGAAUCAAAGGUGAUGUUGGUAGGAAAAAGGUAGUGGUGUUUGAGAUCAGUGGUAAUGGUACUUUACUGUACUAAGAGAGGUUGUGUAUUGUUUAUGUCGAUAGGCUGUGGCAAAGGGUUUUGGCUGAGGCGCAUGAGUCGCACUAUGUUGUUCAUCCUGGCUCGACUAAGAUAUAUCAUUAUCUCAAGGAGAUCUACUGGUGGAAUGGCAUGAAGAGGGAUGUGGCUGAUUAGUGGCCAAGUGUAUGGUGUGUCAAUAGGUUAAGGUUGAACACAUGAGGCUAGGAGUGUUAUAUUAAGAAAUUGAUUGACCUAAAUAGAAGUGGGAAGUGAUCAAUAUAGACUUUGUUACCGGUCUUCCUCGGUCUCAGAAUCAGUAUGAUUUGAUUUGGGUUAUCAUGGAUCGGAUGACCAAGUCUAUGCAUUUCUUGCCAGUGUGGACUACCUUUUUACUAGAGGAUUAUGCGAAGCUAUUUACUUAGGAGAUUGUGAAGCUGCAUAGGGUACCUAUUUUGAUUAUCUCUUAUCAUGGUAUACAGUUUAUGUCUCAUUUUUGAUGGUCUUUCCAGAAAGGGUUGGGGACUACGAUUAGCUUGAGUACUGCUUUUCAUCCACAGUCGAAUAGGAAAGUAGAGAGAACUAUUUAGACAUUAGAGGAUAUUCUUAGGGCCUUUGUGAUUGACUAUGGUGUCAAUUGGGUUGAGCAUCUACCUUUGGUGGAGUUUACUUACAACAAUAGCUAUCAAUGGAGUAUUGGUAUGGCAUCUUUCGAUGUGUUGUAUAGUAAGAGGCAUAGAUCUCCUAUUAGGUGGUUUGAGCUUGGGGAGGCAGAUAUUUUUGGUUCAAAUUUGGUUUAUCAAGCGAUGGAAAAGGUAAAGGUGAUUUAGGAUAGGCUUAAAGCUACCUAAAGUCGCCAAAAUUCCUAUGUGGAUGUUAGGCACAGAGACUUGGAGUUUGAGGUCGGGGAUAGGGUGUUCCUCAAGGUGUCUCCCAUGAAGGGAGUGGUGGGGUUUGGCAAGAAGAGAAAACUCAGUCCUCAGUUCAUUGGUCCUUAUUUGAGUUUGCGGAGAGUUGGCAAUGUUGCUUAUGAGUUGGAGUUGCCAUCUAGCCUAAGUUUGUUCAUCCGGUCUUUCAUGAUUCUAUGUUGAGGAAGUGUCUUAGUGAUCGUUCUUCGGUUGUUCCUUUUGAAGGAUUGGGUAUUUUUGAUACUUUGUAUUAUGAAGAGGUCACGAUUGAGAUAUUAGAUAGGCAAGUUCGUCGAUUGCGGACCAAGGAUAUGGCUUCAGUUAAGGUUCUAUGGCGGAACCAUAAGGUGGACGAAGCUACUUGGGAAGCGAAAGAGUACAUGAAGUCCAAGUAUCUGCAUUUGUUUUCUACUCCUAGGAUUUAUGCAUAAGGUAUAUGUCUUGAACACAUCAUUAUUUUUUGAGUUUGUUAAAGGAAAGAUUAACAUCUUUGCCUCUUUGUUUUCAAACUUUGUUAAAAGGAUAUUUGAUAAUGCAAAUGACUCUGUGUGUGGUUACCCCUACCUUGUCCGUCAUUGGGGGACGAAUGUUCCUAGUGGGGGAGACUGAAACAUCCUGGGUUUUGACCCUUAGAAAAUUUCCUAGAAUUCCAUCCUCCGAACCCAAUACGACUCAUGGGUACAAGUCAUAUGUUAAGGUACGAGUGGUAUGGUCGUGUCAUAUGCUGACCAUUGUUAGUUGGUGUGAUGGUUUUUUGUCACCGGAAUGGGUAUGACUUAGGGGUAUGAGUCGUAAGGGUUUGGUACGAGUCAUAGCAGGAACUUGUAUGGUGGGCAGUGUUUGAUCCUCCUGGUAUUUAAUUCUGACAGGGAUACGGGUUAUGGGUACAAAUCGUAUGUUAUGGUUACGACUUGGUUAGAUAUUUUGUAUACUGGACACUGUUUGAUCCAAGGAUUGAGGUUUGGAUAAGAGUGGUGGGUACCAAUCGUAUAGAAGGGUACGAAUCAUAUGGGUCAGUCAUAUCCCUGUAACGGGUUUUUAAGGAAUCUAAGUGGGGGUAUUCUGGACAUUUUUCUACUUACCCUAACUAGGACCCAUGACUUAUAAUACACUUUGGAGGCUAUUUACCCUAUUAUUCUAUUCAUUAACACUUAGAAACUAUUCCAAAACACUCCAUAAUUCUCACAAGAGCUUUUCGGGCAAGAAGGCUAGGAUUUUAUCUUGCGGAUUGCUUUGGGGCUUGUAUUUGUGAUCUAUUUCCAUCAAUUCUUUGGUAUAAGGCAUGAUUCUCUUCCCUCAUUUUAAUUUCAACUAAAGUCAUGAUUUAUAUGAUUGAUUUCAUGGUUUUACUAUUUCAUGAUUAUGGCUUUCAACUAUUAUUUGGUGGUUUUGAUAUUGAAUGCUUGGUUAUGGUUUCCUAUGGUUUUACUUAUGCUUUUAUAUGCAUCAAUGGUGAAUUUGGACAAUUGGAUUGCAUGGUAAUGGUUUAAUGGUGUUGGAAUUGGUUUUGGUUAUAUUAUGUCCGCAAGGUAUUUGAUAAAACGUUUAUAAAGAUAUGUUCAUUACAUUGACUUCUUUUAAUGGAACUCUUACAUGUUUUAAACUUAAUAAAGGAUUUAUACAUGGUUUAAAUGGUUCAAAAAGGACAAAGGCUAAAUGGUUAUGUUUAUGGAGAACGUGGAAGUCUCCCAAGUGGAUUUAAUAUGGUAAUUGGAAGGGCACCUAAGGUCCCCUUAACCUAAAUAGUUUGGAUAGGAAUAUAUUUUCCAAGGGGUUGUAUGAUGAUACAACUAAUAUUGUCCUUGGUUAAUAUAUGGUAAAUGGAUUGUUUGGACAUGGUUUUAAUUAGGCAUUAAUGUAGGGGUGUGUAGCUAAGCCGUGGAAGGUGACGGUCCCAAGGGGACCAAAAUUGGAAACUCAUAUUUGCCGAUAUGAGGGGUCUUGAUGACCAUGUGUGUGUGUCAUAUUUUAUAUUAGGGUAUGUAUUGUCAUCCCAUGGGAUAUUCCCCGGUCGUGCGGCUACACAUACUGGGGCCCUUUUAGUAAGGGUAGCUGAACCCAUAUAGCUUAUGGGUGUUUUAGGACGGCCAAGCUGCACAGUCCAGGUAUAAAGGUUUUAAAUACAUGCUAAACCUGGUUCCCUUUCCUAUUACUUAUAUAUGUAUGGUUGUAUGCAUUAUGGAUGGUUUUACUUGGUUUUAUAACUAGCAUUAUUUUAUCCUUAUCUUGAGAUUCAUACUAGCGGUCACUCGCUAACCCUAUCUACUGGUGGUUGUAUACCCAUGCUAUGCAGGAACCAGUCAUUCUACUCCUCCUGUUUAGCAUGCAAAUUUGGUAUCAGCAUUUAGACUGAAGUGGUGAGCUUCCAUCCUUUCGGGAGGCAUCAUAUCAUGUUAUGAACUUCUUUAGAUACUUUUUUUUAAUUUGGAUAUUGGGUUUUGCCAAGGUUGGGGGCAUGUCCCAAUGAGAUUUGUUUACUCAUUUAGAUAGAGGCUUUAUGAUACUUCUGGGGGUUAGUAUUAGCGGGAUCGGUAGAGGUGUCAGCCUUAGCAUUGGUAUUGAUAUUGAGGUUGGCAUCAUCGUACAUAAUUUCUCACUGUUCCAUCAUAUUACAUGUUGGAAUUGAUUUUUAUAUCAUGCUUUGGUAUUCCCUUUGAUUUAUGGUCUAUGGUUUGGUUUGGUAUGGUUCGGUUGGUGUGGUAUGGUUAGACUCGGUUGGGUCAGUCAUAGUCGUGACCCUAUCCCAGAGUCUUAAUGAGAACAAUAAUGCUAUCUUGUUUAUGUUUGAAAUUCAGUCCACCUAAGGAUGGAUAAAGGUGGUUGGGUUGGGUGACAGGGGGCAAUCCCCAGUUCUAGUUGGACUUGGGAUGCCCAUUACGACAAGGCUCGGGGUUGGGUCGGGUUAUCAUAUCAUCAUAAUGUCAUCCAUCUGCACCGAGUAUCAUCAUAUCAUAACAAUAUCAUCAAACCGCAUCAGGUAUCAUCAUAAUAUCAUCCGGCGGCACCAGGUAUCAUCAUAUCAUCACCACAUCAUUUAGCCACACUAGGUAUCAUUCUAUUUUCAUGACAUCAUCUGACCGCAUCGGGUAUCAUCAUAUCAUCACAAUAUCUUCCAACCUUUUUGGGUAUCAACAUAUCAUCACAACAUCCUCUGUCCUUGUCGGGUAUCAUCAUAUCCUCACAAUAUCUUCCGGCCUCGUCAGGUAUCAAUAUAACAUCACGAUAUGUAAAUUUAUAUCAUUAAUAAAUGGCAAUCUCCGUGAGGGCUAAAGUAAAUGGAAAUUCCAACGGGGGAUAAAGUAAAUAAAUAUAAACAAGAAGCGAAGAAGAGCAUACCUCCAUAAUCCAACGUUCAUCAUCAAUUUUACUUUAUCAAUAGAUAUAUGUAUAUGUAACAAUAUAACUAUCUUUGAGUUUUCUUUAAAACUUAUAUCAUUAAUACCAACAUCUUCCUCGUCCCAUACUAGAGACAUAGGAAUAUAGGCAUGCAAAAUAAGUGGCAAAAGCAUUAGCAUAAGUAAUUAUAUAAGGAAGCAUCAUGAGUUCAAGCAUAAUCUAUCGAAUAUAUUUACAUAUAGUCAACAAAUAUGCCUUCUAGCACCAUUACCAUCAUCAUUUCUAAUAUCAACAACAAGGAAGAUUUCCAAUACGAUAUAUUAGUGUGAUUAUUAAGCAUGAUCAUAACUUGGGCAAUAGUAUAGUUAACGGCACGAACACUAGCCUAAUCAAUGGCUUAAUCAAGAGUAUAAUCAAGGACUCAUCUUUAUAUAGUAAAUUAUCUAGUUGUUUACACCAUGGGCAUAACCAUAAGCGAUAUUAUGAGGAAUAGCCCAUUAGUAGCAUAUUCAUUGGCCUAUCAUUGACCUAAAGAUAAAUUAUCAGUAGUAUGAGCAAUAGCUUAAGCAUGACAUAAUCUAUAGCUUAUUCAUAACGUGGUCGAAACACCAUUUAUGGCUUAGGCCAUAUUAUAGUCAAGACUCAUUCAAUAGCACGUUCAUUAGCCCAAAUAAUAGUUAAUCACAAUAACAUAAUAGUUUGACCUAAGCUGUAGCCAACAAGGAAUACAAAAGGAAUAAUCACUUGGGUAUUAUUCCCAAUGUCAUUCCACAUAACCAACAAGUAGCAAGGGUCAUCAAUAUUUCCUCAAUAGGGCACUCUCUAGUCAAUUGCUAAGCGUAAGAAUUCAAGUAAACUAUCCAUAAGUCUUGCCUUAAGGUGGGUCAACAAGCCCACAUCUAAAUACCCGAAUGCAUUCUAUGUCAAUUUUUACCCCAGACUAGGCUACGGUAUCUAAAUCAACUCUUAGAUGUAUAGCAAGCCACCAUAAUCCCUAAGGUAGAUAUUUUACUCAAGCACCUUUACUAAGUUCAAUGGAACUAAGGCAACCUUCUCUAGUAUUAGAAACUAAGGCCAACUUACUCUAAGUAUAAGCAACUAGAGCAUUUCACCAAAUAUUGAGUAUUCUAAAGCAUUCUCAUGCUAAACCUAAGAAAUAAAGUGUAUUCUACCUAAGUCAAAGGGAAAGAAGUCAAGCUUUUCAACUUUAAGAUUCACAUAGCCUAAAUGGUUCAACUAACCCAAGUCUUAUAUUUCAUUAAUUCAAUACUUAGAACCCAUCACAAUCUAACAAGUUAUGAUUAUAUUAUGACAUAGCUCAAUCUAAAAAGGAAUAAGCCUAGCCUAUCUCAAACCUAAAGAAUGUUCAACAAUCUGCUAAACCUUUGUUUUUUCCUUUUGAAAAGAUUCUUCAAGGUUCGAAGCUAUCAAAAAUACAAUUUGCACAUGAUAACGAGAACACUGAUACCCAUAUUGCACCAUUAUGCUUCAGGUCCAAAAAUAACACCAAAAACCCCAAGUGGGUCCCACUUGCGGAAAAUACAUUUUCGAGACUAACCCAAUGUUCAUACACCCUUAUAGAAUAGGUAAAAUUUAAGCUUAUUUAGGAUAAAAUCAAACCCUUAAGCUAUUUGGGGUUUUGGUCAAGAAUUCAAGAAAUUUAAACAUGAAAUGGAAGGAUCCAUACCUCAAAUCCAUUGUUAAUCAUGAAAUCAUAUGUUAAUCAAGAUUCUAAGUUGCACUAAGAAUUAAUUUAGGAUUGGCAUAUAAUUUUAGGGCUCCUUGGUCUUAAAGAUGAGUGGAAAUGCCCAAAAGUUUUGCCUAAAGGGCCAUUUUAUAGCCAUACCAGGCCCUCAGCUAUGGCUAUCACCAUCUAGGGAUGGUUAUCAUGCAAAGGAAAUUGUGGACACUCACAUGGAGAUCACACAAGGGCGAUCGUCAUUCCCCUUAUGCAAUUGCACACACCUCAGCACUAGCGACUUGGGAAAUUUCUAAGUUUUCCUACGACAACAUGGGAUUCAUUCAAAAUAUAAUAUUUGUAAAUGAAUUAUUAUUGUCAAUUUAUUUAGAAUCUAAUAUUCCAAAAUAAACUAUGCAACCAAACUAAAUUCAACAUUCCCAAUGAUUAGUGAAGUCAAAUUUUCAAUCCAAGUCGUUUUGAUCAAAUGUGGGUCUUACACCUAAACUUCUAAUUUUUCAAAUUUCCAACCACUCGAAAUGAGUUUGGGUGCAUUGUGACCCAAACCAAAGGUUUACUUAGCCUAAAAUUAAUAUUCCAAAGUUGCUACGAAUUAAAAACUUGAAUGUAAGAUUGUUUUACUAAUGUUUUCCCCCGGUGGCCAUCUAGAACCAGCAAAGGGUCCUAAAAUAAGGAAUUGGACCUAAAAACCAAAUAAACUACCCGGUAAUCAAACUACCAGUUCUAACAAGUCAUAAAUGACUUGGGAAGCUAUGGAUAAUCUCUAAUGGCAAAAAUAAAUGGAAUUUCAGGAAAUGACUAGCAUGAGGGCUAGAAUGAGGAAGUUUGCUUUCGGGUUAUCCCGAGACUUAAUUUUUAAAAGUAAGGCUACUUUGUUGAACAAGGACAUAGACAUCUCCAAACUAAUUGUGUAUAUGCAGUAGGUUGAGAAUUAGAAGAAGAAGUAGGUAGAGUUUGGGGAAAGGCAAAGCAAGAAGUUUAGAUGGUGGAAAGUGGCCCAAGAAGAAGUAGGGAAAUUCUACCUCUUACUUGAUUGCUAGUGAUCCCUACUAAAAGUCAUAGGGUGAUAGGUGUUUUUCAGAGUGGCAAUAAUUAUUGGGUAUAGGAUGCCCAAUCUAAGGCUAGUGGGGCCCAGUCAGCUCCAUACUAUCCUCCUCGUAGAUUUUUUGGUAGAUUGCAUCGAGGUUACUAUGAUGAGGGAAAGAAGAAGUGCUUUAACUAUGAUCAGCCAGGGCACAUGAUUAGGUACUAUCCUAUUAGUAAGGUUUCUUUUAGGUUAAACAAGGUUCUUGUUUCCUCUUCUUCAGCUCCGACACCAAACGGUGUACCAUCUGGCUCCGACACUGGUUAAAAUCAUCUCUAUGCUCUCACUACCUACUAAGAGUUUGAGGCAUAGCCUGAUGUCAUGACUGGUGUAUUGAAACUCUUUUCUUGUGAUAUAUAAUGUUUACUUGCUCGGAGGUCCACUUUUUACUAUGUGACUCUAUUUGUAGUUGUGUAUUUGGUUUUGGUCGCGAGUGUAUCUUAAACCCUUUUUCUAUUUCUACACCAAUAGGUGACUCUAUGGUGGAUAGAAAAGCCUAUAGGGGUUGUGUGGUAUCUAUGGGUGGUCCGAAAACCUUGGUGGAUCUGUUUGAAUUAGAUAUGAUUGAUUUUGAUGUCAUAUUGGGUAUGGAUUGGUUGAUCUCAUACUAUGCUUCUCUAGACUGUCGGACCGGUAAGGUUGUCUUUAAAUUCCCAUAUAGGCCAGUUAUUAAGUGAGAUGGUGGAUCCCUAGCUCCUAAGGGAAAGUUCAUAUUGUAUCGUAGAGCUAAAAGAUUAAUUUCAAAAGGAUGUCUCUAUCAUCUGGACCGGGUUAAAGAUUCUAAAUUGGAGGGUUCUUUUCUGCAUUCUGUCUUGAUGGUGAAUGAAUUUCCUAAGGUCUUCCCUAAUAACAUUCCUGGUGUUCCUCCCGAUAGGCAAAUUGAUUUUGGGAUUGAUCUUAUUUUGGACACUCCUCCUAUCUCUAUUCCCUCAUAUAGAAUGGCUCCAGCUGGGUUAAAGGUGCUUAAAGAGCAAUUAAAGAAUCUUUUAGACAAGGGUUUCAUCUACCCUAGUGUGUCUCUUUGGGGUGCAUCGGUGUUAUUUGUCUCUAAGAAGGAUGGUUCCCUUCGGAUGUGCAUUGAUUAUCGGUAAGUGAAUAAGGUGACGUUAAAGAAUAAGUACCCUUUUCCAAGGAUAGAUGAUUUGUUUGAUUAGCUGUAGGGUACUAAGUUUUUCUCGAAGAUUGAUCUUCGAUUUGGGUAUCAUCAGUUAAAAUUAAGGAGGUGGAUAUCCCUAAAACUACUUUUUGGACUCGGUAUGGGUAUUUUAAGUUUUUGUUAUGUAUUUUGGGUUGACCAAUGCCUUGGAGGCAUCCAUGGAUUUGAUGAAUAAAGUCUUCCAGUAGUUUCUGGAGAUUGUGUUCAUAGACGAUAUCCUAGUGGACUCAAAGAGUGAGGUGGAUCAUGCUAAUCACCUUCGUAUAGUGUUACAAACCCUAAAAAAGUAGCAGUUGUAUGCUAAAUUUUUGAAAUGUCAAUUCUAGUUGAACGUUGUUAUUUUUUUGGGUAUUGACAUUUCUAGCGAAGGGAUCAUGGUGGAUCUGUAGAAGGUUGUAGUAGUUAAGAAGUGGUCGGACCCACGUCUCCAAUUGAUAUUCGAAGCUUCUUGGGUUUAGCUGGUUACUAUAGGAGAUUUGUGGAGAUUUUCUCUUCUAUAUCUUCCCUGUAGACUAAGUUAACUCAAAAUAAGGUGAAGUUCUUGUGGUCGGACGUGUGUGAAGGUAGUUUUAAAAGUUGAAGAAUUAGCUAACUUCAGCUCUAGUCUUGACUUUUCCCAAAGGCAAGGAUGGAUUUGUGGUCAAUUAUGAUGCAUCACGUGUAGGUCUUGGUUGCGUCUUGAUGCAGCAUGGCCAGGUGAUAGUUUAUGCCCCUGGCAGUUGAAGGUGCAUGAGAAGAAUUAUCCUACUCAUGACUUGGAAUUGUUAGUUGAGGUGUUCGUGUUGUAAAUCUAGCAUCACUAUCUAUAUAGCAUGCAUUUGGAUAUCUUUUCUAUUUAUAAGAACCUGCAAUAUGUAUUUACUAAGAAAGAGCUUAACCUCAGGCAAAGGAGAUGGCUUGACCUACUCAAGGAUUAUGACAUGAUUCUUCACUACCAUCCAGGAAAAGCUAAUAUGGUUGCUAAUGCUCUUAGCAGGUUAUCCACGGGAAUUCUGGCUCAUGUGGAUGAAGGGAAGCGGGAGUUGUUGAAAGUUACUCACUGUUUGGUUAACCUUAGAUUUCAUCUCUUAGACUCUGAGGAUGGUGGUAUGGUUGUGCAGGAGGUGGCACAGUCGUCUCUAGGUACUGGAGUAAAGGAGAAUCAAGUGUUAAAUCCUGUCUUGGUGAGGAUCAAAGGUGAUAUAGGUGGGAAGAAGGUAAUGGCCUUUGAGAUUAGUGGUGAUGGUACCUUGCGGUGACAAGGGAGGCUAUGUGUUCCCGAUAUAGAUGGUUUGUGUGAGAGGAUCUUGGCUAAGGCACAUGAGUCGCGCUAUGCUAUUCAUCCUGGUUCAAGAAAAAUGUAUUAUGGACUUAUGGAGAUAUAUUGGUGGAUCAAUAUAAAGCGGUAUGUGACUAGUUUUGUGACUAAGUGCAUGGUAUGCCAACAAGUGAAGGUUGAGCACAUAAGGCCUGGAGGAUUGUAUCAAGAGAUUGAGUUUCCUUUAUGGAAUUGGGGCGUGAUCAACAUAGAUUUCGUUACCGGUAUUCCUCGGUGUCUAAAUCAGUUUGAUUCUAUUUGGGUCAUCAUGGAUAGGGUGACUAAGUCUGCUCACUUUUUGCCUGUAAGGACUAACUUUUCCGUGGAGGAUUAUACAAGGUUGUAUCUCUAAGAGAUUGUAAAGUUACAUGGGGUACCUAUUUCUAUCAUCUUGGAUCAUGGUACGAAGUUUUAAUCUCACUUUUGGCAGUCAUUUUAGAAAGGUUUGGGGGCCAAGGUGAGUCUUAGUACUAUUUUUCACCCGCAGUAGGAUGGUGACCCAACCUGACCAGGGGCCUUGUCGUAAUGGGCGUCCCAAGUCCAACUGGGACCAGAGACCACCCCCGUUACCCAACCCAACCUCCAGUCGUCUUUCCUAAGUUGGCUAAAUUUCAAGCAUAUAACAAGAUAGUGUAACAUCUCACAUGAAGACUAUGGAAUAGGAUCACAACUGUGACCAUCCCAAUCGAGUCCAACCAUCCCAUACCAACCGCUCAAUCAUUCCAAACCAUUCCCAAGACCAUAAAUCAGGCCAUAACCAAAUAAGUUCCAAAACAUAAUAUAAUUAAUCCCAAAAUAAAAUACAAUGGAACAGUGAGAAAUUAUGUCCAAUGAGGUCCUCCCACCAGCUUAUUCAAAUGCCAAGGCCUACACCAAUACCGAUCCCACCGAUUCCAACCCAUAGGAGUACCACAAAGCCUCUAACCAAAAAAGUAAAAAAAUUUGGUUGGUACAUGCCCCCAACCAUGGACUAAACCAAUAUCACAAAUAAAAUCAAAGUGCCUAUAAAUAUCCAUAACAUAAAAUGGAGCCUUACAUAAGGAUAGAAGCUUACCACUUCAAUCCAAAUGCUGAUCCCCGAGUCAAUCACUAUGUAGGAGGAGUAGGACGACUGGUUCUUGUAUUUUGUGUGUAUACAGCCGCUAGUAGAUGGGUUAGCGGGUGAACGCUAGCAUGAUCUCAGGAUAAGAAUAUAAUAAUGCUAUUUAUAAGGCCAAGUAAAACCAUUCAUAAAGGCAAGGAUGGAUUUGUGGUCAAUUAUGAUGCAUCACGUGUAGGUCUUGGUUGCGUCUUGAUGCAGCAUGGCCAGGUGAUAGUUUAUGCCCCUGGCAGUUGAAGGUGCAUGAGAAGAAUUAUCCUACUCAUGACUUGGAAUUGUUAGUUGAGGUGUUCGUGUUGUAAAUCUAGCAUCACUAUCUAUAUAGCAUGCAUUUGGAUAUCUUUUCUAUUUAUAAGAACCUGCAAUAUGUAUUUACUAAGAAAGAGCUUAACCUCAGGCAAAGGAGAUGGCUUGACCUACUCAAGGAUUAUGACAUGAUUCUUCACUACCAUCCAGGAAAAGCUAAUAUGGUUGCUAAUGCUCUUAGCAGGUUAUCCACGGGAAUUCUGGCUCAUGUGGAUGAAGGGAAGCGGGAGUUGUUGAAAGUUACUCACUGUUUGGUUAACCUUAGAUUUCAUCUCUUAGACUCUGAGGAUGGUGGUAUGGUUGUGCAGGAGGUGGCACAGUCGUCUCUAGGUACUGGAGUAAAGGAGAAUCAAGUGUUAAAUCCUGUCUUGGUGAGGAUCAAAGGUGAUAUAGGUGGGAAGAAGGUAAUGGCCUUUGAGAUUAGUGGUGAUGGUACCUUGCGGUGACAAGGGAGGCUAUGUGUUCCCGAUAUAGAUGGUUUGUGUGAGAGGAUCUUGGCUAAGGCACAUGAGUCGCGCUAUGCUAUUCAUCCUGGUUCAAGAAAAAUGUAUUAUGGACUUAUGGAGAUAUAUUGGUGGAUCAAUAUAAAGCGGUAUGUGACUAGUUUUGUGACUAAGUGCAUGGUAUGCCAACAAGUGAAGGUUGAGCACAUAAGGCCUGGAGGAUUGUAUCAAGAGAUUGAGUUUCCUUUAUGGAAUUGGGGCGUGAUCAACAUAGAUUUCGUUACCGGUAUUCCUCGGUGUCUAAAUCAGUUUGAUUCUAUUUGGGUCAUCAUGGAUAGGGUGACUAAGUCUGCUCACUUUUUGCCUGUAAGGACUAACUUUUCCGUGGAGGAUUAUACAAGGUUGUAUCUCUAAGAGAUUGUAAAGUUACAUGGGGUACCUAUUUCUAUCAUCUUGGAUCAUGGUACGAAGUUUUAAUCUCACUUUUGGCAGUCAUUUUAGAAAGGUUUGGGGGCCAAGGUGAGUCUUAGUACUAUUUUUCACCCGCAGUAGGAUGGUGACCCAACCUGACCAGGGGCCUUGUCGUAAUGGGCGUCCCAAGUCCAACUGGGACCAGAGACCACCCCCGUUACCCAACCCAACCUCCAGUCGUCUUUCCUAAGUUGGCUAAAUUUCAAGCAUAUAACAAGAUAGUGUAACAUCUCACAUGAAGACUAUGGAAUAGGAUCACAACUGUGACCAUCCCAAUCGAGUCCAACCAUCCCAUACCAACCGCUCAAUCAUUCCAAACCAUUCCCAAGACCAUAAAUCAGGCCAUAACCAAAUAAGUUCCAAAACAUAAUAUAAUUAAUCCCAAAAUAAAAUACAAUGGAACAGUGAGAAAUUAUGUCCAAUGAGGUCCUCCCACCAGCUUAUUCAAAUGCCAAGGCCUACACCAAUACCGAUCCCACCGAUUCCAACCCAUAGGAGUACCACAAAGCCUCUAACCAAAAAAGUAAAAAAAUUUGGUUGGUACAUGCCCCCAACCAUGGACUAAACCAAUAUCACAAAUAAAAUCAAAGUGCCUAUAAAUAUCCAUAACAUAAAAUGGAGCCUUACAUAAGGAUAGAAGCUUACCACUUCAAUCCAAAUGCUGAUCCCCGAGUCAAUCACUAUGUAGGAGGAGUAGGACGACUGGUUCUUGUAUUUUGUGUGUAUACAGCCGCUAGUAGAUGGGUUAGCGGGUGAACGCUAGCAUGAUCUCAGGAUAAGAAUAUAAUAAUGCUAUUUAUAAGGCCAAGUAAAACCAUUCAUAUACACACAACCAUACAUAGAUAUAUAAAACCAUGCCAGGAAAGGGGACCGGGUUUUGCAUGCAUUUAAAACCUUUACAUGGAUUGUGUAGCUUUGCCGUCCUAAACGACCCAUGAUCUAUAUGGGUUCAACUCCCCCUGUUGAAAGGUCCCUAGUGUGUGUAUCCGUACGACCAGGGAACAAAACCUUGGAUGACUAGUAUGACAUCAUGCACACGGUCACCAAGACCAACCUCACAUUAGUAAAUAUGAGUUUCCAGUUUUGGUCCCCACGAGACCUCAACCUUCCACAUCUUUUCUACACACCCCGCCAUUAUUUCCCAAUUAAAACCAUUACCAAGAAACUAACCAAUCCAUUAGCCAUUUAUUAACCAAGGCCAUUAGUAAUGGUAUCGUCAUACCGACUAUACUUUCAAGUAAUAUCCAUAGCCAACCAUGUAUAUGUUUAAGGGAUUCCAUGCACCCUUUGAUUAACCUAACAAUAUUAAACUACUUAGGGGAUUCCCAUGUACCCCACAAGCAUAACAAAUUUUAUAACCACCAAGGGUGUACCAUUUAAUCCUUCCAAACCAUGUACACCAUUCAUACCAUUUAAAACCAUUCCAAACCAUUUAUGACCAUGCAAAAAAUUUAAAGCAUUUACGCCAUUUAAAUCAUGCAAAACCAUCAAAGUCCAUUUAGGUUUCCAUUACAAAACAAAACUAUGCAAGAGUUCCAAUGAAAGUUCAACAGCAGAGAGAAAACAUUUUGUAGGCAUUUUAUCAAACAUGUUGAGGGCAUACCUUUAUCAAGACCAAAACCAAUGUAUAAACCACCAUAAUUAGGGUUACUCAAGACCCAUUUGUUAAACCAUAACCAAAAAAUACCAACAUAUACAAACCAUUACCAAAAAUAUGUAAAAACAUAAUUUAUACCAAUACCAAACCAUAUGCAUCAAGACCCUCGACAUAUAUUUUGAAAACCACUAUUCAAGAUUCAUAAAUCAAUGUUUGAAACACAAUACUCAUGCCUUUAGUUAGAACUAAUAAUAAGGGAAGAAGUAUAUGCCUUGAACCAAAAUGAUGAUGGAAAGAGAUCACCAAGACAAGCCCCAAAUUAAUCCUCUAGUUGAAACCCUAGAUUUCCUUUCCCAAAAGCUUCUGAGAGAAUUAUAGAGUGUUUAGAAAGAGUUUCUGAGUUUUAAUGAAUGGAAUAAUAGGGUAAAUAACCUCCCAAGUAGGUUAGAAGUCGUGGGACCUUAUUAGGAUAAAUGGGAAAAUGUCUAGAAUACCCCAACUUAAGUUGUAUAAAAUCUCAUCACAGGUGUCCGACUGACCCUCAUGAGCCGCACCCUCCAAUAUGAUUAGUACCCUCCACUCGUAUCCUAGCCUCAACCAUUGGAUCUAACACUGUCCAAUAUAUGACUCAUCCAAUCAAGUUGUAUCCAAAGCUUACGAUCCAUACCCUUCAUCUGUACCCCUGGCAAAUUAAACCCAAGGGAGAUUUAGACAUUGUCCACCAUACGAGUCCACAGUAUGACUCAUACCCUAGUUUAUGGCUCUUGGUGAGCCACUCUUACUCAGAUCCAACAUAAGUAACCUAGUCUAAGAUUAAGUUAAGGAACCAAAACAAUCCAUACCCACCAAUACGACUUGUACCCCUAAGUCGUAUCCAUUUCAGUGACUAAAAUUCAUCCCACCAACCAACAAUGGUUAGUAUAUGAUAGGACCAUACCAUUCAUACCCCUUCAUACGGCUCGUACCCAUGAGUCGUAUUGGGUCCAGAGACCAGAAUUCCAGGAAAUUUUCUAAGCGUCAAAACCCAGGGUGUUAUAGUCUCCCCCACUAGGAAUAUUUAUCCCCGAAUGAUGAAUAAGUUAGGGGUAACCACACGCAUGAGUCAUUUGCAUUAUCUUAUCAAAUAUAUUCCCUAUCUUUAACAAAGUUUGAAAACAAAGUGGCAAAUAUAUUAAUCUUUUCUAUAAUAAACUCAAAAAAUAAAGAUGUGUUAAAGACACAUACCUUCCGCAUGAAUCCCAGGAGCAGAAAACAAAAGCGGAUAUUUGGAAUUCAUGUCCUCCUUCGCUUCCCAAGUAGCCUUUUAUGCCUUGUGGUUCCUCCAUAGAACCUUAACCAAAGCCACAUCCUUGGUCCACAAUCAACAAACCUUUCUUUCCAAGAUCUCAAUUGAGAUUUUCUCAUAAGAUAGAGAAUCUGUCAUACCCAAUCCUUCUAAAGGAACAACCAAAGAAGGAUCACCAAUAUACUUCCUCAACAUGGAAACAUGAAAGAACGGAUGAAUCAAGCUCAAACUAGAAGGAAAAUCCAGCUCAUAAGUAACAUUACCAACUCUCCACAAAAUCUCAUGAGGACCAACGUACCAGGGACUAAGAUUCCCCUUCUUACCAAACCACAUUACUCUCUUCAUAGGAGAUAUCUUGAGGAAAACCUUAUCCCCAAACUCAAACUCCAAGUCUCUAUGCCUAACAUCUGUAUAGGACUUUUGUCGACAUUGGGAAGCCUUAAGACUAUCUCGAUCACCUUCACCUUCUCUAUAGCCUGGUAAACCAAGUCAGGACUAAACAUGUCCACCUCACCAAGGUCAAACCACCCAAUAGGAGAUAUACACCUCCUACCAUACAAUAUUUCAAAAAGAGCCAUACCAAUACUAGAAUGAUAUCUAUUGUUGAAAGCAAACUCCAGCAAAGGUAGAUGCUCAACCCAACUGCCACCAUAAUCAAUCACGCAAGCUUGAAGCAUAUCCUCUAAUGUCUGAAUAGUUCUCUCCGUUUUUCCAUCUAUCUACGGUUGGAAAGAAGUACUCAAACUAACCUUAGUCCCCAAUCUUUUCUAAAAAAAUCUCCAUAAGUGAGACGUAAACUGAAUGCCAUAAUCAGAAAUAAUCAAAACAGGUACCCCAUACAGCUUUACAAUCUCUUUAAGAUAUAACUACGCAAAAUCCUCUACCAAGAAGGUAGUUCGCACUGGUAAAAAGUGGUCAGAUUUAGUCAUCCUAUCCACGAUGACCCAAAUUGAAUCAUAUUGAUUUCGAAACUGAGGAAGACUGGUAACAAAGUCCAUAUUGAUCACUUCCCAUUUCCAUUCAGGCAAAUUAAUUUCUUGAUACAACUUUCCUGGCCUUAUAUGCUCAACCUUAACAUAUUGACACACCAUGCACUGGGCUACAAAAUCAACCGCAUCCUUUUUUAUGCCAUUCCACUAAUAGAUCUCCUUGAGAUCAUGAUAUAUCUUAGUCAAGUCGGGAUGAAUAACAUAAAGUGACUCAUGUGCCUCAUCCAAAAUCCUUUGUCAUAAUCCAUCAAUAUUAGGAAUGUACAACCUCCUUUGGUACCAUAAAGUACCAUCACCACUGAUCUCAAACACUACUACCUUCUGCAUACCCAUAUUACUUUUGAUUUUUAUCAAGACAGGAUCUAUCACUUGCUUUUCCUUAAUCUCCGUACCAAGAUAUUACCAAACCACUUCCUACACCAUCACACCACCAUCCUUGGAGUUCAAGAGGUGAACUCCAAGAUUAGCCAAGCGAUGAAUAUCCUUAACUAAUUCCCACUUUUCUUCCUCUACAUAAGCCAAACUUCCAAUGGUUAACCUUCUAAGAGACUCAGCAACCAUGUUAGCUUUACCUGGGUAAUAGUAAAGACUCAUAUUGUAGUCCUUGAGAAGCUCCAACAAUCUCUUCUACCUGAAAUUAAGCUCCUUCUGAAUGAACAUAUACUGUAGACUAUUAUGAUCAGAAAAUAUAUCCACGUGUACACUAUACAAAUAAUGCAGCCAUAUUUUCAAAGCAAAGACAAUCGCCAAUAGCUCCAAAUCUUGAGUAGGAUAGUUUCUCUCAUGUACCUUCAACAUCCUGGAAGCAUAGGUAAUCACCUUCUUAUGCUGCAUGAACACAUAACCAAGCCCUACCCGAGAUGCAUCACAAUAAACCAUAAAGCCAUCAUUGCCUUUCGGCAAAGUUAGAAUUUGAGCUGCAUUUAACUUAUACUUCAACUUAUUAAGACUUCCUUCGCUGGAAUCCAACUAAGAUAACUUGACCUUCUUGUGAGUCUACUUAGUCAAAGAAGCAACUAUCAAUGAAAAUAUUUCCACAAACUGCCUAUAAUACUUGGCUAAACCCAAGAAGCUUUAAAUAUCGAAUAUAGUCGUGGGUCUAGUCCACCUCUUCACCACAAUAACCUUUUGAGGAUACACCAUGAUCCCCUCACUAGAAAUAAUAUAACUAAAAAAAGUUACAGCAUUCAACCAAGACUCAGAUUAAGAGAACUUGGUGUAAUACCCCAUAAAAUCCUCUUCCAAUUUGAGCCUUAGAGCGUAUUUGGUAAAGCGAAAAUCUGAGUCAAAAUGUUUCAAAAAUAUCCUUCCAAGUAUGAAAUACUUUGAAUCAUGUGGGAAUCUAUUUGAGCAUGAAUUAAGAUCAUAGAGGUCCCCUAACUCAUGAACGAGUUGAAAACUUUUCUAUCGCUCAAGUUUUAGUGACCAUCCAAAUUUGGGUCAACUUCAAUCGAACAUAACUCAUUGUAUAUUAAUAAAUGGAUAGUUUUCUAUAUAUAAAAUGAAAUAUCUUUGAAUUAUCUUUUCAACUAUACCAAUUUUGCCUAAAUCCAAUAUCGGAGCAAAGAUUUAUGCCCAUUUUAAUCCAGCAUGUCAAGCUGAAAAAUGGUGACGACGUUACUAAUGGGAUAUCACAUUUCUGACACCUUUUCUGAUGAUGUCGUCACAUUUUGACAACAUUUCUGAUUAUGUCGUCAGCCCUAGGCAGAAAAUCAAGAAUUUGGACCCCUUCUGUGAUGACCAUUCGUGAUGGCCGAUCACAGACCUGACGGCCUAUCACGGAUGGCGUCAAGUAUAUUUUUUCAGCAAUUCAAGGGAAUUUUUGUAAGGGUAUUUUGGUCAUUUCCCACCUUUUUUUAGCCUCUAUAAAUAUGAGAAACCCUCAUUCAAACCCUAAUUCCAUCAUUUUCUUUUCCAAUUCUCUUCAGAAUAUCUAGGGUUUCAAUCAAGAACCCUAAUCUUACAAAAAUCAUCCAUAAAUCUUCAAGGUUUCUUAAAGAAUCAAGUUCCUCAUAGUGUGGGCUUCAAGAAUUUAUUUAUUUCAAGUGUGGAUAAAGUUUCAAGCACUAUAGUACAUCCAAUUUCAAAGGUUAAGGUAUGUAGAUGUUGAUUCUUGGGUCCCUUUCAUCCAAGAAGCUCAAGAACCCUUUUUAAAACAAAAAGAUUUUUAUGUUUAUGAGUUGUUAAUGAUUUGUAUGAGUUGAAAUGGAUGUUUAAUGUAUUGUUGAGUUUUGAUUUAUGUUUGCCUACAAAAUUUAUGAGCUUUGACCCUAGUAUGUGGAAUUCAUGUGAUAUUUGUGAUAGACCCUCUUAAAGUUGUUUUUCCAUGUGAUGUGUUCAUGACUUUUGGGUGUAGAAAUGGUUGAAUAAGUGAAGAACAUUCUCCAUAGGUUUGAUAAAGAGCUUAGGUGAAGCAUAAGGGCCGCUAUAGUAUGUUGAAUAGGAAACUCCAAAUUGUGAGCUAGUCCAUGCAUGCCUAGUGUUUGAUAAAAUGCCUUAGCAAGUGAAAUGUGCCAAGAUAGCAAGAAAUCCCCAAGUAGGUGUAAAAUCGGUCAUGUCUAGUGGUUGUUGAAAGACCCUAGUGAACAAGUUGAGAUAUGAUGGUUGUAAAUCCCCCAAUUUUGUGCUCUUUGAUAUAUGCUAUGCUUUUAAUACAUGUCAAGUGGUUAGCAAGUAAAUAGUGACGUGUUAGUAUGAAGUUUUCCCCAAACCAAGUGAUAUCCAAAUACAUAACAAGACCAAUAUAGGUAUGAAGUAUUUGAUAUAAGAUCUCGUUGAAUAGGGCAUAAUCUAAUAGCAUGUCUUCCCUAGGCUAGUAUAUGAUGAUGAAUAGAGGUCUAUGUUUCCUAAAUGCUUAAUGCAAUGUCCUAAGGAUCUUAAGAGGGAAAGUAUGUUGUGAUGCCCAACUACUCGAAGUAAUUCUUUAAUGAUUGUGAUAAUAUAUGAAUGAUUGUAAUGAUGAAUGAAUGCUUGUAAUGAUGAAUGAAUGAUGGUAGUGAUGAAUGGAUGACCGUGAUGAUGCAUGAAUAAUUUAUGAUGAAGAAUGAUUAUGUCUUACUUUUAUGUUAUUGAGUCCUGGGGGUAUUUAUACCCUAAAAUAGAGUUUUUUUCUAGAGCUUGUGUCAGUUUCUCGAUAAUUCCAAUCGAGCCAUGAUUCUCAAAACUCAGUGAACUAUAGAACUCUGUUUCCUUAGACAAGUGCGAAGCUUAAUAAAGCUCGGUAAUCUGAGUUAUCUCUGUAAUCUCUGUAUCGCUAGUAACCUAGCCUCAGACCUGCAAUCAGUUCAGUUCUAAUAGUAUUCGAGUGAUUCAAUCCUAAUCUUAGAAGCGAUUUGAGUAAUCCAUGCAAGCUCUGUAUCGUCAGUCAGAUACCAUGAUUCGAUAUCUUUUCCGUCAAAUAUGAAAACAAAUGAUCUCAGCAUAACUCAGUCAGACCUUUUGAGUAGUAUGAUCAGUGUUAGAUUCAGUUCAACCAGUGUUCAGUUGAGAAUUCAGUUCUAAGUCUUUUAGUUGGGAGAGAAACUAGCACCGAGUGAGCUCAAGGAUGGGAGCUCACCAGCUAGUAGAUGGUGUGAUUCUUAGAAGCAAUCCUUGUGCUCCAGAACUAUGUAUCCAGCUUAGGUUGAGAUAUCACACCUAUUAGUUGAGGGUGGAUGAGAGACAUCAUACCUGCUAGAUGAGGAUAAAGGAGGUGGCUUGACCUGCUAGAUAAGGGCUCCACCAUUCUCGUUUGAGGACCUGCUAUAUAAGGGUCACAUAGAGUAGUCUUUACCAGUGGCGCGAUAAUGACACCCUUCCAACUGGGCAUGAGUUGGACCCCAUAUGUGGUAGGUCAGGGAAUGUCGGUUAAGUGACUACUUCCCACAGUUUUAGUUUCAGAUUCAGUCUCAGUUUCAGAAUUAGUCUUCAGAAAUCAGGACUGUCAGAUACAGUCAUCUAUCAUUAUGAGGAACUUAUAUAGUUCCAUUGAUUUAUGGACCAUCCCAUCAGAUAGACUUGGUCUUACAUACAAUUGUUUGAUAUUAUACUCAGAGAUAUGCUGUCAGCUAGGCUUGAUCACAGUAUCAUAUUUCUAUUGAGUAUUCUUGUUGUCAGAUUCAGAUAUAAUCAUAUUUUUUAUCAUUGAUAAAGCUUCCAAAAUCAUCUAUUAGAAAGGUUGAUCUCUAAUCUUGUAAGUCGAAAGUAGUAAGUCCAAGAAUUCAGUCAUUGAUGUAAGCACAUCCAGAUCCUCAGUUAUCAAUAUCAGAUGAGUCAGUGAUUCAGUAUCUCAAUGUCAGUAGUAAGUUCAGUCUGCAGUAAAGUAGUAUUUGAGUUUCAGCAUCUAAAGUUGCGAUAAUUGUGUUCAUGUUCUGUGCAUUCAUGUAUGUGUUCUCAUGCGGCAUUUUCAUGAUUAUUCCAUUUAGAUAUUAUGCUUACAUGAACCCUUGCAUUAGCCUACCCGUCUACAUACUCGGUACAUUUUUGUACUGACGUAUUUGCUCUAUGGUGUUUUAUUUCACACCACAGGUUCAGAGGCAUAUGAUCCAGUUUUUCCUCAGCAGUUCAGUCCCAGUCAGCAGCAUUAGCAGUGAGUCUUCUUCCUCCGAGGACGAAUUUUAGUGUACUAUUAUUGCUUAAGACUUUGUUUAUUUUUAGUUAACGGAGUUAGUUGGGGACAUGUCCCAUCAAAUCCAUAGUUCAGACAGUUUGAGGCUUUUCAGACGGAUGUAUGAGUAUUCAAUUUUCAGUUUUGUGUAUGUAUAGAUGUGUUGAACCUUAUGGAAAGUUUCCGUAUUUGUUUAGAUAUUAUGCAGUGUACAGCUACAGAUAUUAGAAAAGGGUUAGCUUGUGGUCCUUUGGGUCCAUAAGCACCGUGUGACAUCUCGGGAUGGGAUCUUAGGGCGUUACACUUGUCAUAUAACUAUUGUUCCUUUAAGGCCUUCAACACCACACGGAGAUGAUUAGCAUGAUCCACCUUACUCUUUGAAUAAACCAGAAUGUCAUUAAUAAACACAAUAAUGAAGAGAUCCAAAUACUGAUGAAAAACCCUGCUCAUCAGAUCCAUUAAUGUCGCUGGACCAUUAGUCAACCCAAAUAACAUUUCCAAAAACUCAAAGUGCCCAUACCGAGUAUGAAAAGUCAUUGUAGGGAUAUCCGCCUCCCUAAUCUUUAGCUGAUGGUACCCAAACCAAAUAUCUAUCUUAGAAAAUAACUCGGCACCUUGUAACUAAUCAAACAAAUCAUAUAUCCUUGGAAAAGAAUACUUGUUCUUAAUAUUCACCUUGUUCAACUGCCGAUAGUCAAUGCACAUAUGAAGGGAACCAUCUUUCUUGCGCACAAACAACAUAGGUACACCCUAUAGAGACGCACUAGGACAAACAAACCCCUUAUCCAGAAGAUCAUUAAGUUGUUCCUUGAGUUCUCUCGACUCAGAUAGAGCCAUUCUAUAUGGAGGAAUAGAAAUCAGAUGAGUGUCCAAACCCAAGUCAAUACCAAACUCUAUUUCCCUAUCAAGAUGUACACCAGGAAGAUCAUUCGAAAAGACCUCUAGAAACUCAUUAACCACUGGAACUAACUGGAAGAAGGACCUUCUGAGUAAGAAUCUGUAACCCAGACUAUGUGAAUCUGUAACCCAGACUAUGUGAUAAAGACAACCUUUAGAGAUUAACCUCUGAGCUCUAAUAUAAGAAAUAAAUAUCUCCCUAGGAGCUAAAGAACCACCCUCCCAUUCUAUAACUGGCUCACCAGGGAACCUAAAGAUAACCCUACGGGUUCGACAAUCCAAGGACGCAUAAUAAGAGUGAAACCAAUGUAUACCUAGAAUGAUAUGAAAAUCCACCAUACCCAACUUAAACAGAUCCACUAAGGUUUGCUUGCCACCAAUAAAUACCACACACCCCAUAUAGACUCCUUUACCAAUAACUGAGUCACCUACUGGGGUAGAAAUAAAAAAAGAAUCCAAAAUAACUUCUGGAUCAAAACCAAAAGAUACAACCAUAUAAGGAGUCAUAUAGGAGAGAGUGGACACCAGAUCAAGCAAAUAAUAUAUGUCAUGAGAGAAAAUCUAUAAUGUACUAGUAACAAUCUCAAGUGAUAACUCAAAUUCCUAUCUAGAUGAUAAAGUACACAACCUAUUUUGACUAACACUAGAACUAGGAGCAGUAACAAAAGUGGAUGCAACACCACUAGGUGUAGGAGCAGAAGAUGAAGUCACACGAAUCUUAUUCACCCAUGUAACAACCUUAUUAACUGGACAAUCCCUGAGUUGAUGGCCUGCCUAGCCACACUUGAACCAUUUGUUCCUUCCUUCAUUGUAAUAACCCCGAUAAGGACAGUCACAGAACUGACAAAGAGGAGAUGAAAAAACUAACUAACCUCUACUUGCCUGAGAUUGGUCACCCUGUGCAUAAAAAUUGUCACCACCUUGAUGACGCCUGUUUCCCGACUGGUAAGAAGCACUAGUACAAAAGAAGGAACCAAAACUCCUCUACUUUUUUCUGCCAUUUGCCACUAUCCCAACCACCUUGAGCCUGAGCACCUCCCUGGUCAAAAAACCUGCUCCUCUUACACUAUCUAUCUCCAACUCUACUUAUUUCUUCUUCUCAUCCUCUAUCUGUUGCAUAUGAAUAGUUAACCUAGAGAUAUCCAUAUCUUUAAUUAGUAAGGUAGUCAUGCUUUCCAAAAUCCAAUCCCAAUUCAACCUAGAAGCGAACUUCCUCAUUCUUACCCAUAUGUCAGCCACUAAAUUAGGAGCAUAUAUUGACCACUGGUGAAACUUCAAAACAUAUUUCUUGACAGAAAUCCUCUCCUGUUUGAGGUUCUCAAACUCCUUCAUCUUUCCUUCCCUCAACUCUAAGGGAAACAAAUAAUCUAAGAAGGCCUUAGAAAAAGUCUCCCACAAGAUUGAUUCUUCCAUAUCACCCCUAUUAUUGUCCCACUCUCUAUUCUAUUGAUAUGCAAUAUCUUUAAGCUAAUAAGCUGCAAAGUUUACCCCCUCCACAUUGGUAGCCUACAUCACCCAAAUUAUUUUUUCUAUUUUAUCAAAGAAGACUUGUAGAUCCUCCUCCAUCUUUACUCUAGAAAAAAUAGGAGGACCAUCUUCAUAAAUAGGCCAACCCUUGUAUCCUCAGCAGAUAAAGCACCAGUCGCACAUAGCUUAGCUUAAGCAGCGACCAUCUAAGCAAUAAUGUGAAUAGACUGACGGAAUUCCGCAUUAGUUACCUUAGCUUGAGGAGGACUAGUAGCGAUCGGUGGAACUCCAAAAAUAUUAGGGAUAGGACCAUGAGAUCAAAGAUAAACAACAAAAGUAGGAUGAACCCCUUCAAUAUUACCCCCAGAUACGAUAGAAGAAUUUUCUUAUGUUCAAGAUCUAUUAGCCAUAAUCUGAAAGACAAAAAAACAAGGAUUAGAGAAGAUUCUAGGACUAAGAUCCCAAGCUUGAAAAUAGAAUACCAAGAAAGUGAGACAUUCCUAAAUGACUUAUUACCUCACUCAGAUGAGUGUGGCUCGCUACACACCCCUAAAAGAGGCUCUACUCAAAACAGCUUUGUGGACUACCAAUUGACCAUGAACCUAGGCUCUGAUACCAACUUAACAUGACCUGAUCGGGGGCUUUGUCGUAAUGGGCAUCCUAAGUUUGACUGGAAUCGGAGACCAACCCUGUUACCCAACCCAACCUCUAGCCACCUGCCCUGAGUUGGCUGAAUUUUGAGCAUAUAACAUGAUAGUGUAACGGCUCACAUGAAGACUCUGGAUAAAAUUAUAAUCGUGACUAGCCCAAUUGAUUCCAACCAUCCUACACCAACCGCCCAAUGGUACCAAACCAUUCCAAAGACCAUAACCCAAUAAGUUCCAAAACAUAAUAUAAUUAAUCCCAAAACAAAAUAUAAUGAAACAGUGAAAAAUUAUGUCUAAUGAUUUCAUCCCACUAGCUUAUUCCAAUGACAAGGUCAACACCAAUAUUUAUCUCGCCCAUUCCAACCCAUAGCAGUACCACAAAGCCUCUAACUAAAAGAGUAAUAAAAUCCAGUUGGGAUAUGUCCCCAACCAUGGCCAAAACCAAUGUCCAAAAUAAAAUUAAAGUGUCUAAAAAUAUCCAUAACAAGAAAUGAAGCCUUUUAAAAGGAGGGAAGCUCACCACUUUUGUCCAAAUAUUGAUCCCUGAGUCAAUCACUAUGUAGGAGAAGUAGAACGGUCGUUUCCUACAUAGCAUGGGUAUACAACUGUCAAUAGACAGGGUAGAGGGUGAAUGCUAGCAUGAUCUCAAGAUAAGAAUAAAAUAAUUCCAUUUAUAAAGUCAAGUAAAGCCAUCCAUAUGCAUACAACCAUAAAUAUAUAUAUAUAUAACACCAUGCAGGAAAAGGGGACCGAGUUUAGCAUGCAUUUAAAACCUUUACCUAGACUGUGUAGCUUUGUCGUCCUAAACUACCCAUGCGCUAUAUAGGCUCAUCUUCCCCUGUUAAAAAGUCCCUAGUGUGUUUAGCCGCAUGACUAGGGAAUAAAACCUGGGAUGACUAGUACAUCCCCCAUAAUAUAGUGUGACAUUUUGCUCACGGUCACCAAUAACCUCACAUCGGCAAAUAUUAGUUUCCAGGUUUGGUCCCCCCAGGGAUAUCCACCUUCCACGGCUUUGCUACACACCCCCACCAUUAUUGCCUAAUUAAAAUCAUUACUAAGCAACCAACCAAUCCAUUAACCAUUUAUUAACCAAGGCCAUUAGUAGUGGUAUCAUCAUACGAAUUAUACUUACAAGUACUAGUCAUAGCCAAUAAUGCAUAUGUUUAAGGGAUUCCAUGUACCCGUCCAUUAACCUAACCAUAUUAAACCACUUAAGGGAUUCCUAUGUACCCCACAAGCAUAACUAAUUUCAUAGCCACCAAGGCUUUACCAUUUAAUCCUUCCAAAUCAUGUACACUAUUUAUACCAUUUAAAACCAUCCCAAACCAUUUAUGACCAUGCAGAACAUUUAAAGAAUUUAUAUCAUUUAAACCAUGCAAAACCACCAAAACAUAUUUAGGGUUCCAUUACCAAACCAAACUAUGUAAAAGUUCUAAUAAAAGUUCAACAAUAGAGUGAACAUAUUCUUUUAGGCAUUUUAUCAAACAUGUUGAGGGCAUACCUUUACCAAGACCAAAACCAAUGCAUAAACCACCAUAAUUAGGGCUACUUAAGACCCAUUUGUUAAACUAUAACCAACAAGUACCAACAUAUGAAACCAUUACAAAAAAUAUGUAAAAACAUAGUUUAAACCAAUACCAAACCAUAUGCAUCAAGGCCCUCAACAUAUAUUUGGAAAACCAUUAUUCAUGGUUCACAAUCAAUGUUUAAAACACAAUAUACAUGCCUUUAGUUGGAACUAGAAAUAAUGGGGGGAGUACAUUCCUUAAACUAAGAUGAUAAUGGAAAUAGAUCACCAAGACAAGCCCCAAAUUAAUCCUCUAGUUAAAACCCUUGCUUUUCUUGACCAAAAGUUUUUGGGGGAAUUAUAGAGUGUUUAGAAAGAGUUUAUAAGUGUUAAUGAAUGGUUAAGUGGAGAAAUAUCCAGAAUACCCCCACUUAAGUUGCAUAAAAUCUCAUCACAGGGGAACGACUGACCCUCAUGAGUCGCACCCUCCAAUGCGAUUGGUACCCUCCACUCAUAUCCUCACCUCAACCUUUGGAUCCAAAAUUGUCCAGCAUAUGAAUCAUCCAACUAAGUCGUAUCCAAAGCUUACAAUUUGUACCCUUUAUCUGUACCCCUAGCAAAUUAAACCCAAGGAAGAUUUAGACAUUGUCUACCAUAUAAGUCCAUGGUACAACUUUUACCAUAGCUUACAGCUCAUAGUGAGCCACUCGUACUCAGAUCUUACCUAAGUAACUAAGUCUAAGAUUAAGUUAAGGAACCAAAAUGAUCUGUAUCCACCAAUACGACCUGUACCCCUAAGUCAUAUCUAUUCCAGUGACCAAAAUCCAUCCCGCCAACCAAUACUGGUCAAUAUAAGAUAGUACCAUACCAUUCGUACCCCAUUAUAUGAAUCAUAUCCAUUAGUAUUAUUGGGUCUAGAUACCAAAAUUUUGGGAAAUUUUCUAAGGGUCAAAACCUAGGGUGUUAUAGAUGGGCAAUCUAAAAGGACUAUUCUGGCAUUAGAAGACCUUCUUAGAGAUUGUGUAAUUCACUAUGGUGGUAGUUGGUUUGAGAAUUUUCCUUUUAUAGAGUUUGCAUACAAGAAUAGCUGCAAAUCUAACAUUGGGAUGGCUUUGUUUAAGGCAUUAUAUGGUAGGAGAUGUAGAUCUUCUAUAUGGUGGUUCGAGGUUGGUGAGGUGGAAAUAUUUAGCCUAGAUUUAGUUCACUAAGCUAUGGAGAUGGUGAAGGUGAUUUGGGAUAUACUUAAGGCUAACUAAUGUUACCCAAAGUCCUAUGCGAAUGUGAGGUAUAGGAAGUUAAAGUUUGAGUUUAGGGAUAGGGUGUUCAUGAAGGUAUCUCCCAUGAAGGGAGUGAUGAAAUUUGGGAAGAAGCGGAAACUUAGUCCCCGAUAUAUUGGUCCAUACUUAAUUUUGAGAAGGGUUGGUAAUGUUGUGUAUAAGUUGGAGUUGCUUUCUAUAUUGGUCUCUAUUCACCCGAUAUUCUAUAUUUCCAUGUUCAGGAAGUUCAUGGGUGAUUCAUUGCAAAUUAUGACUAUCAAGAAUAUUAGUAUUUUGGAUUCUCUAUUGUAUAAGAAGGUCUCUAUUAAGAUCUUGGAUUGGUAGGUUCAUCAGUUGUGGACCAAGGAUGUAGCUUUAGUAAAGGUUUUAUGGAGGAACCAUAAGGCUUAAGAGGCUACAUGAGAAGCUGAGAGGACAUGAAAUCCAAGUAUCCAUUGUUUUUUUCCGCUCCAAAAAAUCAUGUGUAAGGUAUGUGUUAUUCUUAACAUCUUUAUUUUCUAACUUCGUUAAAGGUAAGAGUAGAUUGUGAAUUCCUUGGUAAUCAGUUUUUUGUCUUAAAGGUAAGCGUAGGGUUGUUUGGGGGUUUAAUCGUGCUAGUCACUACUUUGUCCCAUCAUUUGAGGAUAAAUGGUCCAAGUGGGGAAGAAUUAAACCACCCAGGGUUUUGGCCCUUGUAAAAUUCCUGAGCUUUAAGCUCACUGUCCUAGUAAUGACUUACUAUACGAGUCAUAUGGUGUGGGUACAGGUCAGGCAUCCCUACUCAUAAGGUGUCCAGUUAGUGUUGGUUAGGAUUCUUGUAUGGAUAGGGUUGGUGGUGAUGUCGUUAGGUAAGGUGAUGAGUCAUUGGGAUAAUCCUUUAUCAAAUCAGAAACUUAGUAACUUAACUUGGCUCUGAGUAUGAGUGGCUCACUAAGAGCCAUAAGGAUAGGGUAUGAGUGGUAUAGUUGAAUCCUAUGUUGUCUAGUGUCCAAUCCGUUUGGUUUCUGCUUGGGUACAACUGGAACAUACAAGUCGUAUGGUCUGGUAAUGAGUAGGGAUCAAGGAGUCAUAUAGUCAACAGUGUGUGGGUUUCCAACUCACUGUUUAGGUGAUGACUCAAACGUACGAGUAGUAUAUUAUGGUAAAGAGUCAUGGGAUCGACUCAGAUCCACCUGCGGUAAUUCUACAAUUUUAAGUUAGGGCAUUCUGGACAUUCCCCCUUUGUAACUUCCUUUGAUACCACAACAUAAAACACCUUUUGGGAUAUUAUUAACCUAUUAUUUUCAAUCAAACACUCUCAAAAUCUCUCUCAAGCAAAAGGCUAGGGUCUUAUAAAGAUAAUUAAUCAAGGCUUUCAAGGGUGGUUUCUCUUCGUCUUCCUUGGUGUCUAAGGCAUGUAACUCCUCCCUCAUUGUUAUUUUACAAAGAUCGUGUGUUUUAAUGUAUGAUUUUUCAUGACAUUAUUAUGGUUUGAAAUAAUGGUUGGGGUUUUUGGAUGCUCAUUGUUUAAUUAUGUUUUCUUUUAUGCUUUUAGUAUGAUUUUGACAUUGAGGGAUGCAUGUUAAUGUUAAAUGGAUUUUGGCGUAUUAUGGAUUCCCAAAUUACUUGGUUAUGAUUUUGAAACAUAUGUUCCCUCAACCUGUUUGAUAAAAUACCAAUGAGAAUGAUUUUUGUCACAUAGUAUGACUAUUCUUGAAAUAUUUGUAUUGCAUAAAAGGUAAUGGAACCUUAAUUGAUUUGGUUGAUUUUAAAUGGUUUGGAAAGGUCUUGAUGGCCAUGGUAUUGGUUUAAUUGGAAACUUUGAAGUUAACUUGGUUUAAUGGUUUUGGUAUGGCAUAAAAGUAUAGACUUGCAAACUCUAAUUUUGGUAGGACAAUACCAACGGUUAAUGCCUAAACAAAAGAAUCCUUGGUAAAUAGUUGGAAUAUGUAAUUGGUUUUAAUAUGGUCUUAAAGAGGAUUAUGUUAGCAAAGUCGUAAAAGGUGGAGGUCCCGAAGGGAUCAAUACUGGAAACUCACUUUUGCAGAUGUGAGGUUUGGUCAUGGUGACCGUGUGCAUGAUGUAACACUUUAUAUUUGGGAGAUGUACUUGUCAUAUCAGGUUUAUCUUUCUCCGAUUCAUGCAGCUAACACGCACCAGGGCCCUUUCAGCAGGAGGCUGAACUCUAUAGCCCGUGGGUGGACAUUUAGGAUGGCAGAGCUAUAUAGUGCUGGUUAAGGUUUUAAAUACAUGCUAAACCAACUCCUUAUCACAGCACGAUAUAUAUAUGAUAUGAGUAAUUGCAUAUGGUUAUUUGAUUUGGUUUUGAAUAAUGGCAUUAUUUUAUCUUUAUCCCUUAGUUCAUGCUAGCGUUCAUUCCACUAACUGUCUUUGGGCAUUGUAUCCCCACCGAUGCAGGAACCGGAUAUACUACCAUUUCUUUUGCUUAAUGACUUGGAUUUGGGGACAUCUUUGAGUCAGAUUGAAGUGGUGAGCUUCCAUACACUAGAAGGCUUCAUUUCACACUAUGGACUUCUUUUAUUUUUUGUUAUUUCUUUGGUUUGGUCUUAGAUAUGGUUAGGUGCAUUCCCGACCAGAUAUUAUUAAUUCUGAUUAGAGGCUUUGUCAGACAACUAUGGCAUAAGCGGUGUUGGUAUUCGUGUCAGCCUUUGUAUUGGUAUUGGCAUUAAGGUUGGCACCAGUUGGAUAUUUGUUUGACGUUGUUGGAUUAUAAUCAUAGACUUUAUUUAAACUAUUAUUGUUUUAUCUUGUUAUAUGUUUGGAAUUCAUCCGACAUAGGGAGGAGGGUAGUUAUGGUUGGCUAUUAGGGGUGGUCUUUGGUCCUGGUUGGACUUGAGAUGACUGACACGACUAGGACCUAGUUUGGGUCAUGUCAUACACUAAGAGACUCCACACAAUCUAUUUAUAAUAUUUUAAUUCAGCUAGUAAGAACACCAUAUCCUAUAUAAUUAGCCUUUUCCUCACUUAGCAACUCAAGGUACUAACUAGGCACACACAGCACUAAAUAACUUAGAAUAUCAUGCAACCAUAAACUACCUGGGGUACAUAUCUAUCUUUAUAAUGCUUAUGGAUCUCUUUUAUCUAAUGACUUCAUUACCAGUCACUUAAUGCAAAUUAGCCAACUAAAAUUUAUUCAUACACUAUGUCAAGCCUACUAGAUCAACAAACUAUCACUUUUUCUACCUCGAUGGUCAUCCACAAUUCAAAGCUAGUGUCUUGUAAAAUCAUAGAUAGUUGUGAAACUCCUUACAUAUUAAACAAGCUUACAUUUACAAGAUAAAAAUUAAGGCAUACUAGUCUUAUGACAAAAAUAAUCAACCUUAACCACACCACCAAUUUAACUUUACCAACAAGUGUAUUCUUCUACAUGACAUGAAUAUAUUUCCUACUAACCCAUUAUACAUCUCUUUUUCCUAAACUAGGUUCAUAACCUUGCAAAAGUCAUGGGUCCUCACUUUAACUUAUUAUGUAUCUGGGUCCUCUCUUUGACUCAUUGUGUAUCAUUUAAGCCAACCAAUUUCUAACCGUUUAUCCUAUCAUUCUCAACCUAGACUUGCUCCUUACUUACUCAAUGACAUACUUUGAGUCAUCUUAAUGAGAAACUCAUUCUUUAUAUACUACCAUGAAAUUUAUUCAAUAUUUAUUACCUCUAACUUAACAACUAAAGACGUAUUGCCUCAUUACCAACUUAAUAGAUACAUAACUCUAUCUAUAUAUUAUACCUUAAUCAAUCACUAUUUCCACCCUCUGGUCACUACACUUCUAAAUUCAUACCUCUAACUCUAAGUUCAUUCUACUACUUAUGGCUUAUAACAUUUGAUAUGAGAGUAAUCUUUGACGACGAGAACAAACACAAAUAUUAAAGAAACAAUGAAUUGACAAAUGUAAGGUAAAAGGAUAAAAAGGAUAGAUGAUAAAAAGAUAGACACAAGAAGAUAACAAAGGGAAACCAAAGGGUAUACCAAACUCAAAUACCUCUCUUAUUGAUUACCAACGAGCACCUAGCUCUUACAUUGAUCGCAACUAAAUCAAAGCUCCCUUACAACUACCAUUUCUAAAUAAGGUUUAACAUUGGUUUUCCCCAGCACUUAGCACUCCUAAUGGAGUUUUCAUGAAUUCAUCAUCAUCAUUAAACUAAACUAAGGAAAUAAGUCUAGCUACCAAGUAUUUAUAGUUUGGCUAAAUAUUACAUAAUUAGGUCCCAAAAGAGACCCAAAUGCAAUAAAAGGCCCACUAGGGGCUAUUUUGGCCCGCUCUUGAAAUGCUAGAGCAGAUCAAAGGUAAAUCCAAAGUUCAUUGGGUGUAUGUCCCUUCCAAGUGGCUUUUGAGCCCUACUUUGCACUCUUUAGAUGACGUCAAAGUCCUUUGACCCUCCUUAAUGGUAAUCUUUAUCCAUAUGGCAUAUUUUAAUAGCACUAAGGAGUCAUCAAGCACCUCAUGGAUCAUAUAUAUCCUAUCCAAAGGUUCGGAGGCAAUUUGGCUUGUAUCAUCCUCCGCUUCUUGAAAAGGAUUUGACCUUGAAUCCACACUUUCCAAAACCAAAGGAAGGAAAAACAAAUAAAACAUCCUCAUGACAUGAGGGUAAGGGUUAGCAUAAAUAAUCAUAGCAUCAAUCCAAGGUUGCACACACUUAAGAUAUAACCAAGGAUCUUUUUUCUGAAUCAUGAAAAACUUAUUGUAAAGGUUACAAAGAAAUUAGAUAUGACAAAUAUUAAGAGAUAAGGGAACCAAAAAUGUCAUAAUGUCCUCAAAAAGCCAAGAAAGUAAGACUACAUUCCUCUUAGGAGCCAUAAAACACAAUAUCAUUAUCUCUUCAAGAGACCAUACCAAAUGUGGUACCACCAAUGGUUCAAAAAUCCUUAAGGGUUUUUUAGAGUCAAAGAUGUAAUGAUAUACCUAGAAUUAUCACUCAACAAAGUGGACCAACCAACAAGUUUCCUACCUCCAUAUAUAAUAAUUUCAAGAUGAGAAUGGAUACCAUCAUAGGCAAAGAGGUAAUAUAGAAAUAAAUCAAGUACACAAGCAUCAUCCAAGGCGCUAUUAUCUAUAAGACAGCCAUUUGGCUCAAAAUAUUUAGCACAUAAUGCACAUAACGAUGGAAUUAAAUUAUUUAAGCACAAAUAAAUUUUCCCUUUCAAACAACUUUCCUUAAGAAAGGGGCUACCAAUUGUAAACAAGUCACAAAGAAGGGUAUCACAUUCAAGGAAUUUAUCCAAAGUGUUUUUAAAAGGUAACUCUCUACUUGACCUACAAGUAGUGAAACUUUGGUUAACAAUGGAAACACAUAAUGUUUAACUCUCUUCGAUCUUUUAUUUUUUCCCUUCUUUAAUAAACACUCAUUUUAUUGUGAAUGCCCCUCAUUCACAAUUGGGUCUAUCAGUGGAUUGCAUAUCCCCAAGAAAGACUUUCCAUAAUAUGGAAGGAUUCCAACAUCCUCCUUCAAAUCUUGCUUGUCAUCUAGACCAAGCACCAAGUUGGGUGUGUGAAAAACGUCACAUCCUAUUAGGUUACCGAGCUUAAAUUGAAGAAUUAGGCAAGAGCAUAUGUUAAGGCAAUAAUCACUUCACCCCCAAGAUGCCAUUUUCAUAAUUAGAUUUACCCUCUAUAUAACCAUCAACAAUUUCAUAAGCAGAGAGAGGGUAGAGAAAAGUAUCAUGCAAAUUAACUUCAACUAGGGUGUCCUCAUGUAUAAACUGGUUAUUGGAUUCAAUAUCAUCACCACAAGUGUUCUCAACAAUAGAGGCACACAACAAAAAGGAACAAUUUUUGAACAAGUAACACCCUCUCUUUCAAGGGAUGAAUCCUUAAGUAGACACAAAUCACUAAUAACAUCAAGGGGAUUAUUACUAAAUUCAUUACAAGAAUCAAGCAAUUCAUCCUCAUAACUAUCAAACAAGGGUAGGGUUUUCAUACAAAGGAUCACAACCAAAAUUAUAUUCAUUGGAACAAUCACUAAUUAGGUUUCUCCAGCAUUCAAGUAAAUAAAGUUAUCAUCACCCAAUUGAUCAUUCCUUUUCAAAACUUUACAUUUUUUCACCUUAAGAGUACUCUCAUCUUCAAGGAAAAAAUUUCCAUCUUUUAGAGGAAUUUUGUCACACCAUUGUGGGUUGUCAUAUAGGAUAUAGACCUUAAUAUAAGAUACACCAUCAACAUGAUCCACACCACUAGGUAGUGUAUUAGGAGUGGUUUCAUUAUCUUCGAACAAGAUAUUAUAAUUAGAGAUAGAAGGUGCAUUCUAUGAAAAAAAUUAGAACACGCAAAUUCACUCUUUGAAAAACAAAUAUCAGGUGCCAAAGAUAUGUCAAACACAUAAUUAUCCCUAUGAUCCAAGAAAGCAAUAGAAUCUUCACUAAAAUACAUGCUCAAAGGGUCACUCCUAUUCACUAUCAAUAUUUUCAACAUCGUCACUCACUUGAGGUUCAGUAAUCAAAUCAUAAACAUUCUCAAGUGGUCGGAUAGUUUCACACAUAAGUUGAUCAACACAAAUUUCACAAGACAAUGUACCAUUAUUCAUUACAUUGGCUUCAACACUAGGUGGACUCAAAUUGAUCUUACAAGAAGAGUCACUAUGGUCAUUAAUAGUAUUAACUAGUGUAUCCAUACUCUCAAUGGGUAUAUCAUCAAUGAGAGGUAGAGAAUCAUAAGACUCAUAUAUAGGAAAGAUACUACUCACACUCAAUGGGCUAAUAGCCUCAUAAUCAUCAUUUAUAUACAAAAAAAAUGUAAGAGUGAGCUAUUUUACCUUCAAGCCUUGAGAACAUUCUCCUUUACCUUGGUGUGAAGGUUAUCCAUAAGUUUUGUAAGCAUCAAAGAUUGUCCUCAUCAAAUAUUUGAAGCGAAUCUUCUCUUUUGGUACGUGUUCUCCUCUGCUUGUUGUGUUGGUACCUACACACUUGUCCUUAUUAAAAGAAGAAAAAACAUUAUUAUCUUAGUUUGAUGGCAACCCUCUCACUUCACUCAUAAUAACCUCUCUUUUUUUGUCUCUUAAGUUGCCACCUUGCACUCCCUUAGUCUUCUCAAUCUUUUCUCUUAUUUCCAUUAGGCUUGGAAUAAGUGGCCAUAUUUCUUUGAGAUUUGGGAAGAAUAGGUGGAAAGAGAUGAUUUCCCCAUUGGUCCCUUACAACCUAAGGCUAAUUUUUCUCAUUUGAAACUCUAUGUCAUGCAAACUAAUCGACACCUAAGCAUAAAUGUCCAUGUUCCAAGGGGAAGUUGUCACACCAAACCUCCUCAUGGUACCCACAUCGAGUGAAGGAAAUCAUUACUCUCUCAAAAACUCUAUACCCCUUCAAGAAAUAUAGAAUAAUUAGAGGCUCUCAAGAUAUCCCUAAAUGGUCAACCAUGGAUGGGAUGAUGUAGUUUCUAUAGCACCAAUCGUCUAGACCAAGGAGGCAUCCUAGAGCCCUACAAAUUCUUACCUUUUCAAAGUGAAUGUUUCUUAUUGGAUCAACAUUGUAAAGCUUCGUAUACCCCAUUGGUACAUGGGCACCCCUCAUGAUUCCUUUCAAGGCACUCAAUGUUCAGUCGAACUUUCUUAUGAGUUCCCACCACAAUAAUGUUGGACUUUGAAUAUGUUUAAGGGAACAUGUAGCUCUUUAGACUUUGCUCAUAUCAUAAUCCUAGAAGAUCCUUUCACACUCUCAUUCCCAAUCAAGAUAAUCUUUAGGACUCAACUCUCGUAUAAAGAUAGAAAGAGAAGAAAGAUCUCGAUUCCUACUAUACCCUCUAUUUCUACCUUGGUUCCCAAUUCUAUGUGAUUGGGCACUAGUAAAAGAAGAAUAAGAUGUAUUACCCCUAGGAUUUGGAGAUGCACACUCUUUCAUUCCCAUGGAGAAACCUCUACUAUAGUUAGUAUAACCAUUCAUAUUAAUUCGGCCUUGAUAAGAGGUACUAAAAGACAAGGAAUACGAAACUUCACAAUCCUCAUGUAUAUUCUCACCAUGAUCCUUAUAAGAUUUGUAAAUGAAUGCGUUAUACCUUAUAUCACCUCUAUGCUUGGAGCGGGAAGUGUAAUACUCCCCACAUGCCUCAUCUUCCUUAUAAAAACCUUCACAUAGCUCUUCAUCAUCUUCAUACUCACUAUAAGAAUUAGGGUCAUUAUUCAUCUCUCAUUUUUCUUUGGAAUAGUAUCCCUCAUUCUCAUCCAUCUCUUAAUCAUGGCUAUAUUAAUAGCCCCCAUAAUCUUCAUCUUCUUCGGAGCCAUAACUAUCUUUACUACAAUCAUAGUCUCCUAUGUUGUAGUCACAAGUAUCUGAGGCUAUCAAAGACAUACUUCCAUAUAUCACCUUGUACCUACCAAAUGAAUAAAUAAUAUUAGUAUUAAAGCUCCUUACCAAAACUCGUAAGAUUCUCACCUUUGUAAUCCUCACAAUUGGAUCGGUGAAUGUUGAAAGUUGCUUAUACUCCAAUGAUAAAUAAGGUAUCAAUAUCUACUUUCAUCCAAAGUGGAUUAUUGUUAGAAUGACUAAAAUAAAUACAAAAUACUUACAAACUUGAAUCAAGAACUAAUAACAAAUUCAAAAAAGAGAAAAGCUUGAAAGAAAUUGAACGAUGAAAGAAAUGGGAGUCAAGAACUAAUCAAUCAACUUAGUAGAUGAAUUAAUUAGUUGUUGAGUAGUUUAAGAAUCAAAAGAUGAUUUUACUAAUCAAGAAAAUAAAACUAAAGAAUCAAAUAUUGAGCAAAAUGGAAUAGGAAAGCUUGAAUUGUGUUUGGAUGAGUUGAUGUGUGUUGGAAAGGGUUGAUCUGCAUUUGGGGACCUGCUUCGGCAGGUAUCACCAACGCACCUUGGAUGCACUAGGAAUCCUAGCUACUGGUUUGACAUAUGUUUGGUCUACUGUAGAAGCUCCAAUGCAGGUCAAGGGAAGAUGAGGCACAGAUCAGCCGCCCAGCCCUCUUGGAAUGGCAUUUCUGCCCCUCUAUUGGUCCCCCUUUGUCUUUUUUUCUUGGAAUAUUCUUGGAACCUUUGGAGAUGAUUUAGUAAUAACAAUUUUACAUAUUUUUCUUCCUUAUUUUUGUAUCAAACAACCAAUUUAGGAUGAACUUUCAAGGUGAAGAUAACAAUCUCUCCAAGAACGCCAACUUUUCCAACUUUCUCUACUUAGCUUGAAAUAAGUUGAAAUUUCAAACCUAAGCACUUUUCAACAUUCUAAAAUCAUCCCAAAUAUUAUUUUGCUCAAAUUCUUCACCUAAAACUUAAUAUCUUGCAACCAACUUCAAACUUUUUCAACCCAAGCUUCCAAUAAGGAUAGAACACUCAAAUAAGCUUUGAUUUGGCUCAAAUUUGAUUUAUAGACUUGUAUAGUGUUAGAGAAAACAUAUAUAACACUAGAAACACAAGAAAAUACUAAAAUCAAAAACUAAAAAUUUAACCAAAGACCAAAAAUGUGAAUAGUAAAAAAAUUAUGAUUUUUUACUUUCUAAGACGGCUAUACCCAAGAUUGUCUUCGUAGGAAUGAAAUCAAGCUCGGCUCUGCUACCAAAUGAUAAGAGAGUAAUAUACGACAAUGAGAAAAAACACAAAUAGUUAAGAAACAAUGAAAUUUACAAACAGAAAGUAAAAGGAAAAAAAGAUAGAUGAUAAAAAGAUAAACACAAGAAGAUAACCAAAGGGCAACCAAAGGGUGUAUCAAACCCAAAUAUCUCCCUUAUUGAUUACCUAUGAGCACCUAGCUCUUAUGUUGAAUGCAAGGGAAUCAAAUCCCCUUACAACCAUCAUUUAUAAACAAGGUUCAACAUUGAAUUUUCCAAGCACUCAAUGGAGUUUUCAUGAAUUUAUCGUCAUUAUUAAACAAAACUAGCUAAGUAAAUAAGCCUAGCUACCAAGUAUUUAUAGUUUGGCUAAAUAUUACAUAAUUAGGGAUCAGAAGUGACCCAAAUCCAAGAAAAGGCCCACUAAGGGCUGUCUUGACCCGCUCUUGAAACGUUAGAGUGGAUCAGAGGCAAAUCCAAAGCACCUUGGUAGCAUGUCCCUACCAAAGGCUUUCAAGCCCCGUUUUGCACUCCUUAGACAUUUUCAAAGUCCUUUGACCCUACUUAAUGGUAAUCUUUAUCUAUUUGCCAUUUUUUAUAGCACUACAGAGUGAUAAAGCACCUCAAUCAUCAUAUGUAUCCCAUCCAAAGGUCCGGAGGCAAUUUCACUUGUAUCAGCAUCCCAAAUCACACUAUCUUACAUAUGACAAUAUUAUUCAAGAAUCUAGAUACAUACUUUCCACUUUCAUGUUUUUUAUCUAUAAUAAAGAUCUGAUAAGAGUCUGAGAGAACAUCUAUUUUUGGCUCAAACAUAUAAAUUAGCAAAAGUCCUUGAGAAAACAAAUCUAUUGCAUGAUCUAGUGUAUGAAAUAAUAGAAAAAAUUUCUUAAAUGUUUGUGACCCCUCAUUUAUAGAAAUAGGGGCCUUACAACCAUAUAUAAGAUCCUAAAGACAUACUUUAGACUUUCUAUGAAACUAGAACUUAGUGCUCUGAUAUCAAUUUUAUCAUGACCUGAGCCUAAACCCUUACUGUAACUGGCACUCAGAACCACGAGUAGCUCAAGAGAACUACUUGGCCUAAUAUGAAAUAUAAAAACAAAAUUUAAAGAUAGUGUAGAAGCUAAAAUAUGGGUUGAACUAUUGUAAUAAGAUAAAAUAAAAUAAGCUUCUAUUAACUAAGACAAAGAGUCAUUUAAAAAUCUAUUACAAGUGAAUUGAAUUGGUUAGCUAUCUAUCUAUGAAACGUCUAAGACAUACUAAAUAAAUUUCACUAGGACAAGGCCCAACCUAUCCUUAUGUAAUAAAACUAACUAGAAUUGAAAUUGAUGGCCAUAUCUAGUCCUCUAGAUGUAAGAAGGAAUUACCACAAGCUGAAUAUGCAGGUUUAAUAAAAUAUCUGACUGGGAGCCUACGUCUGGGCACUACAAUCUACAUCAUGAAAUAUGUGGCAUGAAAUAAUGUAGCACAAGAAGAGUGUCAAUAAAAUUGAAUAUAUUGGUAUUCAAGAUAAAAACUAAACAUGCUAAUAACAUAAUACUAAAAAGAAACUAAACAGCUAAGUAUAUCAAGGUAUAACUUACUUAAUGACAACACUCAAAACUGAGGCACAAGAUAUGAGAUGAUCAUUUCAAUAGAUUAAUAGCAUAAAUAAAUUAUUUUUUGAAAGUUAGAGCAUGUAAUAAAACUAAUUAACUAAUAUAUAGUAGUUGAAUAACUGAAAUUAAGAAACAUGUAAAAUAAUAUUCAAAUGAAUAUGAAACACUUUCUCGAAAAUUGGUUACUUGAAGACAUAAAUCAUUCUUUUAAAACCUACUAAAAAUCAGAACUAAGUAACUAAGUCUGAAUAGCUAAAUAGCUCAAUGAAUAAAUAAUACUAUCUAAAAUCAUAAACUGGAUCAAAAUACUAAUUCUAAAAGAAAGGCUUAAGUAAAAUAUUAUAAAUAGCAUUUAUCUUAAAACUAAAGAUAUUAUGUCAAAAUAAUCAUUCUUAAAGCAAUUUGAGUCUUUCUAAUUUGGGGAGUUUCUUACAACAACAUAAAUCAUGUGAGCUCAAGAUGUCCAACAUCUAACCCAGUUGGAAGGGUUGCUUUAAACCCUGCAGAUGUAUAAAGACUAUAUAUCUAUCAUGGAUCCACUAAUGAGCUUCUUCUACUAAAAAAAUUCACUUGACUUGUGAGUGAUCCUUAAUCUUGUAAUGGCAAUGUAAUUAUGGGACAUUUGUUAUAUAAACAUGUGUCUUGCCAAUGCUAAAUAAUCCUACCAAUACCAUCUUUAUAAUUAUAUAUGCUCAUAAAUAUCAUGAAAAUAAUAUGUAGUCAUAAGGUGAGUUUGCUCAAAAUUUGGUUUUUUAUUAUUCUAUUAUAAGCCUAUGCUCAAAUUUUUUGAACUCCAUAUGUAAAUUAUGAACUUUUGAGUAAAUUAAACAUUCCUUAAUAUGUAUGGAAAAUAGUCUGGAGGAAAUUCCAUACGGGCAUGAUAUAGACCUUAAGAAAUUGUGGAAUAAAGCUUCAACAUUCAUAAACAGUUAAGACAUAAAUUAUAAAUUAGGGGUUUAAGAAUUGACGAAAAUUUCCUAACAUGCUAUGAUUAUCAUGGAUAAAUAGUACUAAUAUCAAACCAAAAAGUAGAAUAAAAUAAAGGAAAGCUCAACAUACUAAGGUCCCGCUAUGCUCAUAGUUCGGGAAAGGGUCCAACCACAUGGAUCUAUUGUACGCAGCCUCAUCUUACAUUUUUGCAAAGAGCUGUUCUAAGGCUUGAACCUGUGGACUUCUGAUCACAUGGAAGUAACUUUACCAGUUAUUCCAAGGCCAUCCUUCAAUUCAAGAAGUAGAAUAAGUAAAAUUAUAAAUAUGGGGUUUCAGACCCUAACUUCAAACUUCUAUUCUCAAAUUUUCAUUAAAAAAAACUAUAAUCCCCUUGGCAAAUCUUUCAUAAAAUAUUACAAGACAUAAAGAAUUAAAAUUUAGGGAUUUGGAGUUUUGAAAUACUAACUUUAUAUUCAAGUAACAUAACUUUUAAAAUCAUGGUGUGAGGAUGAAAGGAUUUUUAUCACUAAACUCUUAUGUACUUGAGGAGAGUGACAAGAAUUGGAAGAGAGACUUGAAUAAAACUUACUUGGAACCCUAAUCUUGACCUCUUGAGAAACUUUCUUUUUUUGGAAAUCAAGAGAGGUUUAUGAGAGAAUGGUUUGAGUAAUCUUUGAUAAUGAUAUAUUAUAGGGUAGUUAAGGUCGCGCAAGAGGUUUUGUAAAGGUGAAAGACCAAUGUGCCCUAACUUAAAAUAGAGUUGGGAGAAAAUAUCCCAACUAAGAGAGGAAAGGCAUGAUGCAACUCCCACAGCAGCACGUCAUACAGAUAGAAGGGUAAAUAGUGGACUCUUCUUUGUACAUUCCAGAUGAGCCACCCAUGCUCCAAUGGGAUGAGAUUUUGACUUUCGACGAGGAUUCGGUGGUUAUUUUGGGUAAAGAGGUCAAGAAGCUGAGAUCUAGAGAGAUUUUAGAAGUUAAGUAUAGUAGAGGCACCACCCAAUCAAAAAGGCUACAUAGGCGACUAAUUAGGACAUGCGAACCUAGUAUGCUUACUUUUUUGACACUUCAGAUACAUCAUUCAGCUUGACUUUUGAGGAAAAAGUCCUUUUCAAUAGUGGGUGUUGUAAUGACCAUCCAUAUUAUUAUUUGAAUUUUUGUGCAUUUUCCUCUUUUUACCUUUUGAUACAAGCCAAAUGGGUGUUAACGCUUUAGAUCGCGUAACUUGGGGCCAACACAGGAAUGUCCAAGCCAUAUCACCCUAAGGAUUCAAGAAUAUGCUUGGAAGACCUUCUUUGAGCUCAUAACUAAACAAUGUUGUAUUUGGAAGAUAGCUUGGAGCCGAGGAAACCCAUGGCACAAGGAAUAAAGAAAGAUAUUGUGGGUUAUUUCUAAAAUAGCCACUUUUGGGCUAUUCUGUAAUAGGUUAUUUAUGAAAAGGAAAAUACUAUAAAUAGGUAUCUUAGAAAUUUUCUUUCCUUAGUGUUUUUGGAUGAACUAUGAAUGAUUACUCCUUUGUUAGUGAGUGGCAAGCUUGUUGUGGAAAGCUUGGAUUCUCUUGUAUUGAUCUUCAUUUAGAAACAUUGUUUUCUUGGGAAUCUAAUUAUUUCAUGGUAUACAUAAGAUCUAUGUGCUCAUAGGUAAUCAAUAAGGGAGGUCUUUGGGCUUGAUACACCCUUUGGUUGCCCUUUUGUUAUCUUCUUGUGUCUAUCUAUCUUCUAUUCCUAUCCUUUACUUAAUUGUUCUUUCAUUUUUGUAUCUUAGUUUAAUUUUUGUUUUCGUACUUUGUGUUCCCUUAUCAUUUGGUAUCAUACCCGAGCUUGAUUUCAUUUCUAUGAAGUCAAUCUUGGGUCUAUUCGUCUUAGCAAAUCAAAGAAUCACAAAAAAGUUACUAUUGACAUUUUUGUUCUUAAGUCAAAUUUUGAGUUUUCAAUUUUGAUUUUUUAUUGUGUUCUAGUGUUAUAUUUGAGCUCUCUAACACUAUUAGAUCAAGAAAUCAAAUUUGAGCUAAAUUGAAGUUAUAUUGAGGCUUCUACUAUCAUUGGAAGCUUAGGUUGAAGAAGUUGAAGUGGAUUGUAAGCCUUAAAUAUUUUGGUGAAGAGUUUGAGAAAAAUAAUCAUUGGAAUGAUUUUAGAGUGUUGAAAAGUGCCUAGGUUCAAAAUUUCAACUCAUUCCGAGCUAAGGAUAAAAAGUUGGAAAAGUUGGUGUUCUUAGAGAAAUUGAUAUCUUCAAGUUGGAAAAUUCAGCAAAAUUGGUUGUCUGGUCCAAAAAAAAGAAAUAAAUAGAGUGAAAAAGUGUUUGUACUAAAGCAUCUCAAAAUAUUCCAAGGAUAUUCCAAGAUAAGAGUACAAAGGGGGGACCACUGGAGGGCAUUUCGUCCAUUUCAAAGGGCAUUUUUUGCCUUGUACAAGAUGAAUUUCGGGCCAUCUACCUUGGAAGUGCCUUGUAAGUGCACCCAAGCUUAUAAAGUAGGUCAAGGCCACCUCAAACCCAUAUGACCUGUUUCCAGGAUGCCUUGCACCUGCGUUCCACAUGCAAAAGCAGGUUGUACAAUGCAGACAACCCCUCCCUAACGUAAAUUGAGUUUCAAACCUCAAAUUCAAGAUUAAAAACACAAUUCAACAUUUAAAUUACCCCAUUGAUCAAGGUUUGAUUAUUUAGUUUCAUUUUCUUGAUUCCUAAACUCAUAUUUUGAUUCUUAAACUAGUCUACAACUAAGUAAUUCAUCUACUAAGUUGAUUGAAUAUUUCUUGAGUCCCAUUUCUUUUAAGCUUCUCUUUUUCAAUUUUUUGUGAUUCUUGAUUCAUGUCCUUAAGUAAUUUUUAUUUUGAGUCUUUCAAACAAGAAUCCAUUUCUAUCUCAAGCCACAAUUGGUACCAAGUAUUCUCAUUAGAGUAUAAACGAUCUAUCAAUGCUUGUGAUGCUAAUUGAGAGACAAUACAAAGAUGUGGUCUUUGAGAUAUUGUGAGGUUGUUUUCCUAACUUUAUCUUGUUUUUUGUUUUGGUUUUUGUUUAGUAUUUACUUUAUUAGGUACCAUGGAUGACAACACCUCAAAUGCUAUCUUAGAGGCCCUUGAAUCUCUCAACUCUAAGAUAGAUAACAUAUGUGGGAGGAUGGAUAAAAUGAUAGAUCAUCUAAACUAUCGUAACUCCAACCUUCAAGCUCCCUUGAGUGGACAUGCUCCAAACAAACUUCAAGGUAACCAAGCUAACUUAUGCACCCAAGUAAAUGUGAAAUAUCAUUGUAGGGCUAGUAGCCGACUAAAUGUGACUGAUAGCUUAUCUUAGGAGAGCCUAAUGUCUCUUUUCUUUAUAAUGAUAAUGUACAGCUUGAGAAUGUAGAUACACUAGUUGAUCAUAAUGAUGACAACACUGACUCUUGUAGUAAGAUUGAUUUGUGUACACCUAAUGUUGAAUCCAAUGUGAUGAAUGAUGGUACAUUGUCUUGUGAAAUUUGUGUUGAAAAACUUAUAUGCAAAACUAGACCACCACUUGAGGAUGUUUGUGAUAUGAUUAAUGAACCUUAAGUGACUAAUGAUAUUGAAAAUGUUGGUCAAGUAAAUAGGAGUGACCCUUUGAGCAUGACUUUUAGUAAGGUUCCUAUUGCUUGUUUGUCUCAUAGGGAUAACCAUAUGUUUGAAACAUCUUUGACACUUGUUAGUAGUUAUUUAGAAAGUGAACUUGCAUGUUCUAAAUCCUCUUCAUGGAUAAACCCUUCUUUCUUUAAGAAUAAUAUAUUAUUUGAAGAUGAUGAAAUUAUUCCUAAUAGAUUACCUAGUGGUUUGGAUAGCAUUUAUGAUAUAGCUCAUCUUGAGGGAUAUAUCCCAUAUGAAAACCCACUAUGGUGUGACUAUAUUCCUCCUAAUGUUGGAAAUCUCUUCUUUGAAGAUGAAAGUACUCAUAAGGGAAAGAAAAGUGAAUUUUUUGGAAAGGUAUGAAUGUUUGAGAAACACAAUUAGUGAUUGUUCCUAUAAAAAUGAUUGAGGUUGUGAUCCUUUAUAUGACACCCACCCUUGUAUAAUUAUAAGGUGAAUUGCUUAAUUCUUGUGAUGGCUUGAGUGAUAACUCUUUUGAUGUCAGUGGUGGUUUGCGUCUAUGAUGUAUGAGCAGAUGCUAACACAUUUAAGGCUUUUAACUCUAAAUAAUUGUGAAGUCUUAAGAAACUUUUGGUUGUUUUUGAUCGUUUUCUUGUGAUAUCGCAGUUGUAGCAAGGAUAGGAGGAAAACAUAGGAAAGAUGAACAAAAUAAGUAAAAUCUAGUACAAGUGAGCGGAUAUGAGUCUGACGGCAUUUCUUGCAAGCCGUCAGAGAUGUGGUAAGCUACCAGAAAAAGGCGCCAGGAAGAACAGUGGAGAAGAGUUGCUGGAUGAGAGUGAUGACAUUCUCAAUAUGUCAUCACAAGUGUGGUAAGCCAUCAGAAUAUGCCAUCAGAGUGAGGCAGAACAUGGUGAAAUAAGAUGAAGGUCUGAUGACAUUUGCUACACGCCAUCACAAGUAUGGUAAGCCAUCAUAGGUCAUCAUCAGAGUGAGGUAGAAUAGGUCAAGAUGGCAUGACUUCUGAUGACAUAUCUGAGACGCCGUCAGAAGCUGACGACCAACACCAAUAUGGCAUCACCUAAAUCUGAGCCCAGCUGUGAUUUUGUUAUUUUAUUUCCUUAAUUAGGCUUUAGUAUAAAUAGCAGUUUUUAGGGUUUUUAAUAGAGGAAGUUUUCAUUAUUCAGAACAAGAAUUUUGGAGGGAGAAACACGUACAUUGUUCUCUUUUGCCAAUUAUUUUUAGUUUCUUUCUUAUCAACUAUUCUUGGGUUUCUAAGUUGGGAUUUAAUUGAAAAAAUUAUUUGUUGUUGUCCAUCUAUAUAUAAGUUUAUCAUUAUCAUCAUGAAUUUAACUUGUGAUUUCCUUCGUCAAAUCAUGAGCGGCUAAUUUCAUUAGCCGGGGUUAUGGGAUCCAAGGAUUAGGGUUUGAAAUAAUGCUAGGUGUUUAACGGAUUCAAAGAGCAGUAGAACAUCUUGAAAUUCCAUGGUUAUAACUGAAAUCUAGUGGUUGAAAACAUUAGAUUAUGCCUUAGGUUUUAUUUGCUUCUAACGGAGAAAUAUACUAGAGGACGGGAAUUAUCAACAAAGACUCAGAAGCUACCAACCUUCUGUUUAAUGAUUAAUUUCAUAACUGGAUUAAUCUACCUGAGAUAACAUCCGAUUAGAUAUAGAUAAAUUAUCUAAGUUCGAGAGAAUUAGAUGAUAAAUUGUCUGGUAAGGUCGAAGGAUCCCUAGAAUUACCUGGUAUCUUUCAAUACCCUAAACCUUUGGUGAUCAUAACCCUGGUUUCCUAUUUAUAUUGAUAACAACUCUAAAAAUUCAAAAAGUGAAGAUUGAUACAUUAUGAACUUUAAACCCCCAACUUUUGGAAAUGAUAAACUACCAGUAAAGUAUUUCGUAAACAAAUUGAUGUUUACACCCUAUUCCCUGUGGGAUUCGAUCCCAACCUAGUUGGGUUUUAUAGUGAUAACGAUCACUUACACCCAUUCAAGAGUAUAAUUUGAGCGUUAUAAGUCUACUUGAGGAUUCACCCCUUGAAAUAAAAGGUGUUACUUGUUUUGAAAUUGUUCCUUCUUUGUGUGCCUCUAUUGAUCAGAAUUCUCAUGGUGAUGAUCUUGAAUCCGAUAAUGAGUAUAUUGAUGUUGGGUGUAUUUGUGCAUUCUAGUGUCACCAUUCUAGCCUUUUUAGCCUUAUUUUGAGGAUGAUUAUGUACUAUAUUGGUUGAUAAUGAGAUAAAUGUGUAUAAAAGUGUUAAAUCAUGUGUUUAAAAGGUUCUAAGUGAAGUCCAAACAAUUUUGUACUUGAAAGAAUCAAUUUGAGUUCAAGAGAAAACUAGUCUUCAUAGCUUGAGCUAGUGGCUUUUCUAUUCUAUCUUGUUGGAUUCUAUUGAGUUAUAUCAUUUCCUUAUGGUUUUAAAUGUUUUAUGAUAUGUGGAACAAGAUUUUAGGAUUGUACAAAGUACAUAUGAGUCAAAUAAAGAGUGGAAACUUGAAGGGAAAGAUCAUGAAACCAACCUAGUAUAAGCUCUUGUUUUUUAUUCAUCGUAAUGGGUUUAGUGUUGUUUGUGCUUCUAAUUUGUGUGGUGUAAUGAUGUAAACUACUUUUGGAUCUGAAUAUGAUGAUAUUUUGAUGUUAAUGAGGCUUGGAAAACAAUGUAAAGACACCACAAGAUAAGGGAUGGAAGGAGGAAGGGUUGACACUUAACCAAAAUUUGGAGGACAAAUUCCAGAGAGUGCAUGCAUUUAGCAUGUGUCGCAUGCUCCACUCCUGUGAAAUAAAGGGUGUGGUUCACACCUAGUUUCAUAUAUAUGUAGGGUGAUAUGCACACUCCACUACACACUAGGGUGUUUCAAGCUAAUUUGACUCCUACAUGGACUUGGCUUACCCUUAUGCUAUAUAUACAUGUUGUAUCACAUUUUUACAUAUCUUUUGACGUAUUUUGGAGACCAAAGGCUAAUACAACUUCAUAAUUAGGUUUUUAUUAAUUUCAUUUAGUUCAUACAUGUUUUUAGUCAUUAAUUACAACAUUGUGAUUGUGAUUAUGACUAUGCGUGGCUAAACGCCCUCUUUUUGGGGUUGAAGCCAAAAACAAGAUUAUUAUUACUAUGGAUUAAGUUUUUUUGAUUUGCGUAUCAAUAUUGGUUGUUUGGUUAUUCUUAUUAUAUUUAUUUUAAGGAUUUACGACCCUUAGAAUACAUCCAUUGUCAACCUUGUGAACUCGGGAGAGGGAAUAGGGCAAUAGAACAUGGUAAUAAGCAAAGUAUGGUUCUUGAUUCUUUAUAAAAUAAGAAACUUGAAUUAGUAUUUAGGACAGUAAUGUACUUAGAUACCUUAAUUGAGUGAUGUUGGGUGUAUUUAUGCAUUCUAGUGUCACCACUCUAGCCUUUUUAGCCUUGUUUUGAGGAUGAUUUUAUACUAUAUUGGUUGAUAAUGAGAUAAAUGUGUAUGAAAGUGUUAAAGCAUGUGCUUAUAAGGCUCCAAGUGAAGUCUAUAUAAGUUUGAACUUGAAAGAGUCAAUUUGAGUUCAAUAGAGAAAACUAGUCUUCCUAGCUUGAGCUAGUGGCUUUUCUAGUCUAUCUUGUUGGAUUCUAUUGAGUUCUAUGUGUUCCUUAUGAUUUUAAAUGUGUUAUGAUAUGUGUAACAUGUUUUUAUGAGUGUACAAAGUUCAUAUGAGUCAAAGAAAGAGUGGAAACUUGAAGGGAAAGAUCAUGAAACCAACCUAGUCUAAGCUUUUGUUUUUUAUUCAUCAUAAUGGGUUUAGUGUUGUUUAUGCUCCUAAUUUGUGUGGUGUGAUGAUGUAGAAUACUUUUGGAGAUUAAUAUGAUGAUAUUUUGAUAUUAAAUAGGCUUGGGAAUCAAUGUAAAGAUACCAUAAGAUAAGGGAUGGAAGGAGGAAGGGUCGACACUUAACCAAAAUUCGAAGGACAAAUUCCAGAGAGUACAUGCAUUUAGCAUGCGUCGCAUUCUCCACUCCUGUGCAAUACGGGUGCGUCACAUGACCCAUUCCAUAUAUAUGGAGGGUGUGAAGCAUGCUUCACUCCACACCUGGGCGUUUCAAGCUAAUUUGACUCCUACACGGACUUGGCUUACCCUUAUGCUAUAUAUACAUAGUGUAUCACGUUUUUACAUAUCUUUUGACGUAUUUUAGAGAUCAAGUGUAACGAUCCAAAAUCACCUCCUGGGACAUCACACGGUGCUUAAGGAUACAAGUAGCCCUAUUUCUACUAAUAACACUCAUUUCAAGAUAAAAUAAUUCAAACACUAGCAUAGUCAUAUCAUAUGAAAGAAAAUAUGGAGAAAAUACUCGGUCCAAAUGACCAAGCAAUACAGGAAAACCUCAACACAACCACAAUCUGAUAACUAGUCUGACAAAGCCUCUACUAAUCCAUGAACUAGAGAGACAUUGAGACAGGUCCCCAACUGACUCGAAAUAAACUGAUAGUAAUAACAUAGUCUCCCAAAUGCUGAAAAGUCUAACAAUAGGUCCUCGAACUAUGAGGACUCACCACUGUAGGGAUAUAGAAAGAGGUACUCGAAAGUCACUGAUGAAGCUAGGAAUGAGCACCUGAACCUACAUUAUAAGACAAUGUAGCACAUAGACGUAUAUGUGGAUCAGCACUUGGGAAUGUACUAGUAUGUAGGGGUGCAUGCAUUUAUAUAAAACAACAUCAAUACUCUUUAAUCAACUCAUGCAUGUAAUAAGUAAUGAUUCACAUAGCUUAAAUAAUUAAAAAAUACAAAGCUCAUGAAUCAUGUGAAAUGGAACAUGUAACACAAUCUCGUGAGUCAUUAUACUUUUAGCUUUGAAAUUUGUACUCUUCUCUUAUUUGGAUUACUCAAGGCUAAAGGAAACUUUAAGCAAUACUUUCAACUCAUGCAUAUGUCUCAUGGAGAGUAAAACUUAUUCAAUGCUCAAGAACUCAUAACUCUUUUGAACUCAAAUACUUGGAAUUCGGAAUCAUAUAACUUUGGAACAUACUGGAAGGCAUUUCAAUCAGUUAGGAAAAUAUCUCAUUUCAAGCUUUAGGGAAAAAUACUUAUAUCAAGGGAAAGUAUAUUAGUUUUAAAGGAAAAUAUCUUAUCUCAAAGCUUUAGUUUUAAGGGAAAAUAUUCUAUCUCAAUGAAAAAUACUUUAGUUUAGGGAGGUUCUCUUAACCGACAUAAACCAUGCGAGCUACAUGGAGUCCAAUGUUUUGUCCUCCUAAGGAAGAGACCUCACAUUGGGGAGAGGCGUCAUACUCUUGCCAGGGAAUAUAACCUAGGUCCAGUGAUCACUAAACAAACUCAGCCUUGGGCCCAAUAUCAACUUGGCCUUAAGCCUAAUAAUAAUCAUAAACUCAGCCUCAGGACCAACCUACGAUAGCACGUAGUUUUGGGGUAAGAAACCAAAGUAACUUACCCUCUCGGUGCUAAAUACUACUCCUUUUAGAUUAUCUAUGCUCAUCUCAUAAAAAUCCACUUUUAGAAAUAAUCUCAUGGUUAACCACGAACUCAAUAAUCAAAUCUGUAAUCUCAUGUAGUAGAGUGGAUUUCAAAACUCAAUGACCAUUAGGUCUAAACAUUUCUCGAUAAUCUCAGAAUACUCAAAUCAUGGGUGCUUAUAGCAUAAUAGUUCAUAAAAUCCCAAUUCUCAAGUAGGGCUUAAUAACCCAAAAUUCAAUCUCAAGUUAGAACUCAUCAAAAGCAUAAUAGAUAGCAUAUAGAUUCAUAACUCAUGUAGAAAUCUGGAAAUUUCAGCAAUUUAUCUCAAAAUCUCAACAUACUCAUAUACUUCAAUGUUUCAAACAUUUCAACUACUAACUUCUCAAGGAUUAAAAUCAUGGGGUAUAGACCCAGCUACAGUUUCUCAAGAACACAUGUUAAAAUCAUGCCAUUAGACUCUCAAUUCAUGGGAAACAUCAAAAUAUUGCAAUCAAUGAAAAUAGGAGAAAAACCCUAAUUCAAAUUCAUGUAAAAUCUCAUAAUUCCAGAAAAACAUAGUUUAAAUAAGCCUUUGAGCACAAGGAUGAAAGGAUUACCCUUGUUCAAAACCCCACAUACCUUAGAUUAUGAAAUUGGAUGAAUAAGCUUGCUCUAAACUCUUCUUCUCACUCUUGAGAGAGGGUUCUUUCAACCUUUGAACUUGGGGAACUCAAAUUUCAACUCAAUUUAUAGAAUCCAUGGUGAGUUCUUGAAUUUCUUGGAGAAGGGUUUUAGAUUUGCUCUUAAGGGAGAAACCCUAGCCUUUGGAUAUUUUGAGAGAUACUAAGCCUAUUAAGUUCGUUUGGAAUAUACCUGAAGGUUAAAAGGGAAAAGACCUAAAAGCCCCUUUUAAAAAGGACUUAAAAAUACUGAACGGGGGCUGCGACGGUCCGUCGCAAGUCCAACAGUCCGUCGGGUCGUCCAUCGCACGAUGACCAAAAAAAAGACAUACUGGCUUGAUGCGAUGGUUAGAUCAACGGUCCAUCGCAGAUCUGAGGGUCCGUUGGAUCAUCUGUCGCUCGAUGGCCAAGAUGAGACCACACUUUCUUAGUGGUGACGGUCUCAGCGACAGUUCCUCGCAGCCUUGAUGGUCCGUCAUCUUGGCUGUCACACCUGGGCCAGGAAAGGAAGUUUCUGCAUUGGUCACGAUAGUCUGAGCAACGGUAUAUCGCAGACUCGGUAGUCCAUCGGAUCAUCCGUCGCACCUGGGCAGUUCCGAUAACUCUCAAUAAAACAACCAUAACUACUCACCCCGAUGCCGGAUUUGGACGAAAUUGGUAUCGUUGGAAAGCUAAUUCAAUUAUCUACAUGACAAAAAGUCAAAUUUAAUAAAAUUCUAUAUGGUUUAAAUUCCUAUCACUUGGGAUGUCUCUUCUCAAUCUUUUAGGGUCGGAAUUAUACUUCACUUGACACGCUUUAAAGCCCGGACUACGAGGAAACUUUAUGGGGUCUUACAAUAUCUCCCUCUUGGAAACAUUCAUCCUCGAAUGUUGCUAGUUAGACUAGGAACAUAGGGAAACAGCAGAGUACACAUAGCCAAAGAAAGUUGCUAAAAAGGGUUCAACAUCUCUCUAAACUCUCGAAUGCCUCAGAAAUUGCAAGAACUCAUGGAAGAAUAGAUAUAUAUAGCUGAGCUUUAGAUUAGAAGGGCUGAAUUAAGGAAGAAUAAUACCUUUAGAUUGAUCUGAACUCAUGGAAAAGAGGUGUUGGUACUUAACUCGCAUGUCUGCUUCUGCCUCCCAAGUAGUUCCCUCAACAGACUGGUUCCGCUAUAACACUUUGACCAAGGUAACCUCUUUGUUCCUUAGUCUAUGGAUCUAAAAAUCUAGGAUCUAAAUGGGAAUAUCAUCGAAUGAAAGACUGUUCUGAUUAUCAAUACUCUCCGAAGGAUCUACCACAACGAAAUCACCAAUAUGCUUUUUAAGUAUGGAGACAUGAAAAACAGGAUGAACAACUGACAACUCGGUGGGCAACUCAACCUCAUAGGCUAAUUUCCCAACACGGCUCGAAACUCCAUAUGGGCCAACAUAAUGAGAACUAAGCUUUCCCUUCUUACCAAACCUCUUCACUCCUUUCAUAGGUGAAAUCUUUAAGUACACCAAAUCACCCACUUCAAACUCAAGAUCUCUUCUCCUCACAUUGGUAUAUGACUUUUGAUGACUCUGAGCUAUCUUUAACCUCUCUCUAAUCAACUUAACUUUCUUCAUAGCUUCAAAUACUACAUUAGGCCCAAUCACAGCAGCUUCACCCACUUCAAACCAACCUAUGGGUGAUUUACAUCUUCUACCAUACAAGGCCUCAAAUGGUGCCAUCCCGAUGCUAGCAUGGUAACUAUUAUUAUAGGUGAACUCUAUCAAUGGAAAAUGCUCAUCCUAACUACCUUUGAAAUCAAUAGCACAUGCCCUCAACAUAUUUUCUAGGGUCUGAAUGGUCCUCUCAGCCUGACCAUCUGUCUGUGGAUGAAAAGUGAUACUCAAAAGAACUUGGGUACCAAGACCCUACUGAAACGCCCUCAAAAAUUGAGAAGUAAAUUGUGUACCCCUAUCCGAAAUGAUAGACGAGGGAACUCCAUGCAGCCUGACUAACUCCCGGAUAUACAUACAAUCUAGCAUAAUCCUCAGCUGUAUAGGAUGUGUGCACGGGCAAGAAAUAAUCAGACUUAGUCAGCUUGUCUACAACAACCCGAAUAGAAUCAUGAUGAUGAUGCAAAAGAGGUAACCCGGUCACGAAGUCCAUAUUCACCACCUCCUACUUCCAAGUGGGUAUACCAAACUCUUGCAUCACACCACCAGGUCUUUGAUGCUCUACCUUAACCUGUUGGCAUGUUGCACACUUUGCUACAAACUCAGCUAUAUCCUUUUUCAUACCAUCCCACUAAUAGAUUUCCCGCAAGUCGCGGUACAUCUUGGUAGUGUCGAGAUGAAUAGAAUGUCGCGCGCCAUGCGCUUCAGCCAUAAUCCUCUACCUCAUACCAUCAACACACGGAACGCAUAAUCUACCCUGCAAUCUCAAUACGUCAUCUCCCUCUUUGGAAAAAACCUCUACCUUUUGGUCCUUAACUGUCUCCUUCAGUCUGACUAAACUAGGAUAUCUAUCUUGUUUCUCCUUCACUUCCAAAACUAAAGAGGAUUCGAAACUACUCUGCACCAAAGUACUUCCCUCAGAUGAAUCAAGCAACCUAACAGCUAAUCUAUCCAAACAAUGCAUAUCAUGAGCUAACUCUUUCUUACCUUCCUCUACAUGAGCAACACUACCCGUAGACAAUCUGCUAAGGGCAUCCGCCAUUAUGUUGGCUUUGCCCGGGUGAUACAACAUACUCAUAUCAUAGUCUUUUACAGCUCUAACCAUCUCCUCUGCCUAAGAUUCAACUCCCUCUGAGUAAACACAUAUUGCAGGCUCUUAUGAUCAGUAAACACAUCAACAUGAACACCAAAAAGACGGUGUCUCCAGAUUCUCAAAGAAAAGACCACAUCAGCUAACUCAAGAUCAUGGGUUGGGUAAUUCUUCUCAUGCAGCUUUAACUGUCUAGAGGCAUAGCCUAUAACCUUACCUCCUUACAUCAACACACAACCUAAAUCAAUUCUAGAGGCAUCAUAAUAAACCACAAAAUCAUCUGUUCCAUCAUGCAAAGUCAACACAGGGGUUGAAGUAAGUCGAGUCUUCAACUCCUAAAAACUCUUCUCAUAGGAAUCUGACAACUAGAACUUAACCUUUUUUAAGUCAACUGAGUUAUGGGAGAUGCAAUAGAAGAGAAACCUUCAACAAAAUGAUGGUAGUAGCCCGCUAGACCCAAAAAACUUCUAAUGUCAGACGGAGAGAUAAGUCUAGGCCAAUUUCUCACAGCUUCUAUCUUUUGGGGAUCAACUCUGAUACCUUCGGCUGAAACAACAUGACCCAGAAAGGCUACAGACCAUAGCCAAAAUUCACACUUACUAAAUUUAGCGAACAAAUAGUGAUCUCUAAGAGUUUGCAAGAUAAUUUUAAGGUGAUUUACAUGGUCACUCUCAUAAUGAGAGUAUACAAGGAUGUCAUCUAUGAACACUAUGACAAAUAUAUUGAGAUAUUGCUUGAACACUCAAUUCAUGAGGUCCAUAAAAUCUGCUGGAGUAUUGGUUAGCCCAAAAGACAUGACGAGAAACUCAAAGUGACCAUAGCGGGUUUGGAAGGCUAUCUUUGGAAUAUCGCAUUCCCUCACUUUAAGUUGAUGAUAGCCAGAUCUAAGGUCUAUCUUGGAGAAAUAACUUGCACCUUACAACUGAUCAAACAGGUCAUCAAUUCUCGAAAGAGAAUACUUAUUUUUUACUAUGACCUUGUUAAGAUGAUGAUAGUCAAUGCACAUAUGCAAAGAACCAUCCUUCUUCGGCAUGAAUAGAAUAGGUGCGCCCCAAGUAAAAAUACUGGGCCUUAUGAAACCUUUGUCUAAAAGAUCUUUGAGCUGCUCAUUCAACUCCUUAAGCUCUAUAGGUGCCAUACAGUAUGGUGGAAUAGAAAUGGGAUAAGUGUCGGGAAGAAGGUCAAUCCCGAAUUCUAUCUCUCUAUCGGAAGGUACCCCUGGGAGAUCUUUCAAAAAAACAUCUGGAAACUCAUUAACAAUAUCGACUGAUUGAAUAGUUGGAGCCUCGAACUUAGUGUCUUUUACCCUAACUAGGUGAUAGAUGCAACCCUUGGAUAUUAGCUUUUUGGAUUUGAGAUAGGAGAUAAAAUGAAUCUUGGGAGAUACCGAACUCUCAAACCACUUAAAAACUGACUCAUCAGGGAACUAAAACUUGGCCACAUAGGUACUACAGUCUGUAGAUACAUAACAAGAAUGAAGCCAAUCCAUACCUAGAAUAAGGUCAAAAUCCACCAUUUCUAACUCUAUCAAAUCCGCAAGUAUGACUCUAUGAAGAACAGCAACAGGACAAUCUCUAUACACUUGUUUAGCAACAACAGACUCCUCUACUGGUGUAGAAACUCAGAAGGGCUCAGAAAUCUUUUUGGGACUCAUUUUGAAAUUCACAGCUAUAAGUGGGGCCACAUAAGAGAGACUUGACCUGGGGUCCAACUACACAUAAACAUCAAAACAAAAGACGCGGAGCAUACCAGUAACAACAUCGAGAGAGUCCUCCUGCUCCUGAUGGGAUUGUAAGGUAUAGAAUCUGUUCUGGCACUGACCGCGAGCAGUUCUAGAUGAAGCGCCCUAAGCAAGGGUGGGAUGGGGUAUAGGAUCUGGUGCACUAGUAGACUGUGCCUAAGGUCGGGCAUCUCUGUUCCCCUGUCUAGCAUGAGAAAAAUCUCUAAGUAUGUGGCCCUACUUUCCACAACCAAAAUAGUCCCUCAAAUCUAUAAAAUACUUAUCGGGAUGAUCCCUACCAUACAUAGCACAAGGAUGAUAACGGGGCCUGUUACUAAUACUGUUCUGCAACCUAAAAAUAAAAGCCUGCCCCCUUGCUCCUGCCAGCCUCUAGGCAUGGGAGCACUAGCUGAUGAAGGCGCUGGCAUAGACGGACAUCUCUGAAAUUGAGGGUGGUUCCCUCUAUGGAACCUAGGCUGGCUAAACCAAUGCUGCUCAGAUCUAGCCCUCUUGUUACCCCUCACUCUAUCUCCUUCUCUAAUCUUAUCCAUCUCUAUCUGUUAGGCAUGCAUCAUCAACCUAGUCAGAUCCAUAUCUCUAUGCAGCAUCGUAGUCCUAGGAGAGCACAAAUUAUUAUAUGAGAGGGACAACUAUAGGCACGAUAGAUUCUGAAAGAAGAAACAAUUUUUUCCUAAAACAUCUCGCAGCCUCUUUCUCAUAGAUGUGGCGUGCUAUACAAUGAUGAUCAAGACUCUACUUGACGUAGUUUUUAAAACUCCCUAGGACUCCUUAAAACCCUAGGUUCUGAUACCAAGUUUGUAAUGACCCAAAAUUGCCUCCCGAGAUGUCACAGGGUGCUUAAGGCUACAAGUAACCCCAAGCUAACCCUUUGAACCUGUUUCUACUAAUAACACUCAUUUUAAGAUAAAAUAAUUCAAACACUAGCAUAGUCAUAUCGUAUGAAAGGAAAUACGAAGAAAAUGCUCAGUCCAAAUGACUAAUAAAUACGGAAAACCUCAACACAACCACAAUCUGAUAACUAGUCUGACAAACCCUAUACUAAUCCAUGAACUAGAGAGCCAUUAGGACAGGUCCUCAACUGACUCAAAAAGAACUAAAACUAAUAACAUAGUCUCCUAAAUGAUGAAAAGUCUAACUAGGUCCUCGAACCAUGAGGACUCACCACUGUUGAAAUGUAGACAGAGGUACUCAGAAGUCACUGAUGAGGAUGGUACUGAGCACCUGAACCUACAUUAUAAGACAAUAUAGCACAUAGACGUAUAUGUGGAUCAGCACUUGGAAAUGUACUAGUUUGUGGGGGUGCAUGCAUUUAUAUAAAAUAAUAUCAAUACUCUUUAAUCAAAUCAUACAUGUAAUAAGUAAUGAAUCGCAUGGCUUGAAUAAGUAUAAAAUGCAAAGCUCAUGAAUCAUAUGAAAUAGAACAUGUAACACAAUCUCGUGAGUCAUUAUACUUUUAGCUUUGAAAUUUGUACUCUUCUCUUAUUCUCAUUACUCAAGGCUAAAGAAAACUUUGAGAAAUACUUUCAACUCAUACAUAUGUCUCAUGGAGAGUAAAACUUAUUCAAUGCUCAAGAACUCAUAACUCUUUUGAACUCAAAUACUUGGAAUUCGGAAUCAUAUAACUUUGGAACAUACUUGGAGGCAUUUCAAUCAUGUUAGAAAAAUAUCUCAUUUCAAGCUUUAGGAAAAAAUACUUAUAUCAAGGGAAAGUAUUUUACUUUUAAAGGAAAAUAUCUUAUCUCAAAGCUUUAGUUUUAAGGAAAAAUAUUCUAUCUCAAUGAAAAAUACUUUAGUUUAGGGAGGUUCUCUUAACCGACAUAAUCCAUGCGAGCUACAUGGAGUCCAACAUUUUGUCCUCCUCAAAAAGAAACCUCACGUUGGGGAGAGGCGGCAUACUCUUGCUAGGGAGUAUAACCUAGGUCAAGUGAUCACUAAACAAACUCGGCCUCGGGCCCAAUAUCAACUCGGCCUUAGGCACAAUAAUAAUCAUAAACUCGGCCUCAGGCCCAACCUACGGUGCCACAUAGUUUUGGGGUAAGAAACCGUAGUAACUUACCCGCUCGAUGCUAAAUAAUACUCCUUUUAGAUUAUCUAUGCUCAUCUCAUAAAAAUCCACUUUUAUAAAUAAUCUCAUGGUUCACCACGAACCCAAUAACCAAAUUUGUAAUCUCAUGUCUGAGUAAGGAGUUAUACUCGUUUUACUUUAGCCUAUCAAAACAUAUUUUUAGGGUCAACUUCAAACGACCAUAACUCCUUGUACAGGACGAACUGGGUGGCCUACUUUAUAUGAAAUAAAAUCUCUUUGAAUUAUCCUUCUAACGAUACUAAUUUUACCCAAAUCCGAUAUCGAAGUAAAGAGUUAUGGUCGAUCUAAUUUAGCUUAUCAAAACAGUCCACCAAAGAAUAGAUUUGACAUUAUUUAAAUUUUUAAGGCAUUUUGUUCAUUUCCUAUUAUAUUAUGGACGGGAAUAUGUGUAUAUAUACAUGUAUAUGAGUUCAAAAACUCAUUUUCAUCAUCAAUCAUUGAGAAAGAACAAACCCUAGCCAAAUUUGACCUUUAAAUUACUUUUGAUUCAACUGUAGAAAUUCCAAAAUAAUCCGAUAACUGCCUUUGUCAUCUCAAGAGCUUCGAACAGCACCUAUUAUUUGUGCAAACAGGAUUGCAUGAUCAAGAGGUGAAUUCUAAGGAUUGAAUAUUGUAUGCCUUGUUCUUUUCCAUAUGUAUAUGUGUGAUAAAGGAUUAUAUGUAUUGGUUGUUAUUGAAAGUUGAUAGAAAUAGGGUUAUGGACUAUUUUGCAUGGUUUGGUUGUAUUGAAUUAUGGAAGAUGGAUAUGGUAAUUGAGUUAUGGAAGGUGGAUAUGGUAAUUGACUAUUGAAUUGAUGAUUAUUUAUCUCCAUGGCUUAAUUUGGUUUAAUUGAUUGGUUGGAAGGAUAAAUGAAUCCAAACUUGAUAUUGGAGGAUGUUGUAUGAAUAUGCAUGGCAUGUGAAAUGUAAUUGGGUAUAAGAGGGUUAAAGUGACACCCUUUAUGGUGUAAUUAAGGCUUACUACUCAACCACUAGUUUGGUGAAUUCAAAUAAUUGAAUUGUGAUGUUUGGCUAAUACUAGGUUGCUAUAUAUGUUUAUGAAAAGAUGGGAAGUCCAUUUGGGACUAGUAUUGAAGGUUGACAGUCAGGUAUGUAAAGCAUACUCUAUACCAUAUCUUUGGCAUGAAAGUGAACAAUUGUUCUAUUAAGAAAGUUUCCAAAGUUAUUCAAUAACAUGUGAUCCAUAAUAGUUUUGUAUGACGUCCUANNNNNNNNNNNNNNNNNNNNNNNNNNNNNNNNNNNNNNNNNNNNNNNNNNNNNNNNNNNNNNNNNNNNNNNNNNNNNNNNNNNNNNNNNNNNNNNNNNNNNNNNNNNNNNNNNNNNNNNNNNNNNNNNNNNNNNNNNNNNNNNNNNNNNNNNNNNNNNNNNNNNNNNNNNNNNNNNNNNNNNNNNNNNNNNNNNNNNNNNNNNNNNNNNNNNNNNAUUGAUGUGCCAAUGAGUUUUUACUUCAUUGUUAUUGCAUUGAUGGUCUAUUUAUAUGUCUCUUAUUGAUGUAUCAUUGUUUCAAAGUAUCAAAAAUUUGGUAGCGACCGAAAUAACUAUCUCAAAAAUUAAUUGAACUAAGUGAUGGAAGUUCUCUCUUAUCGGGUGGUAUCCCAAGGCGUAAGCCAUGAGUCGAUCCCUAUUUAUGUGUUUAUGGGUGGUAUCCCAGGGGCAUAAGCCUAUCAUGGGUCGAUCCCAGUUGAUAUGUACUGGAGGCAGCCUAAUGGUCACAGUACAGUACAGUAAUGAUUACAAAGAUGAUAAGAACGAAGGUAAAGUGAUUGAAUAAAUACAAUGUACAGGUUGUCACAAGUUCUAGUAAGUGUGUUCCACUCCUAUUAUGAUUUAUUCACUUGUUUCUGAUUUCUAUUGAGCUCCUAUAUCAUAUGUGAUUAUCUAUAGCUUUACAUACUCAGUACAUAUUUCGUACUAACGUCUCCCAUAGGGGACCUGCAUUUCAUGCUGCAGGAACAGGUACCUCAGCUCAUACACCGCAUAAGUAGGAGCCAGGAUAUCCAGCUGCUUUUGGUGAGCUCCAGUUUGCUUUGGGGCUUUCCAUGACAUAUCCAGUCACUUUUGGUAUUGUGUAGAAGUUAGUUAUAUGGCGGGGUGUGUCCCGACCUUAGUUAAACUCUGUGUAUUAUCUAGAGGCUUUGUAGACCUAAUGUACAGUCAAGGUGGUAUUUUGUUAAUAGACGAGAUGGCUCCAACGACCAAGUAUUAUAUAUACAUAUAUAUGUUUGCUCGAGCUUAUACAGGUGAUUAUUUCUUUUUAUAUGCGACAUGAUGUUGUCUGAAUUUUGGGUUGUCAUAGAGGUAUGCAUGGGAAGUCUAAGUCUGCCCCAAUAGGAUUUGAGGCGUGAAAAAAGUGGUAUUAGAGAAGUUUGUCCUAGUAAGUCUACAAAGUCGUGUCUACGUAGAGUCUUGUUUAUCGGUGUGUCGUGCACCGCAUCUAUAAACAGAAGGCUAUGGAUAUUUAGGAAUUAUUUCUUUUCUUCAUGUCUUAGAUCAUGCGAUAGAGCCUAUAUUGUAUAUGAAGUCAUAGUUGACCACUAAAUUCGUUUGUUUCUCUUAUUAUUAUAAUGAUGCCGGUUACCAGAAGCAACAAUACUGGUAAGCAAGUAGAUGUGGCUAUCGAAGACUAGUAAGUCACCCACUAUAUCAGCUAAUUAAAGUAAGGCUCCAGCUGAGCAUGCAUCAGAAACUUCUUCCACUCCAAAAGAAAUAAGGGGAAGGAGAACUAUAUCCCCAGAGCCACCUAUUCAUGCUGCUGAUCAAGAUCUUAGAAAUGCAGUGCAACUUUUGACUCGAAUAGUUAUUGGGCAAGCUCAAGGGUAAGCCAUUCCUACCACGGGUCCUAGUGGUACAGAUAGGGCGGUUAGCCUUCGAACACAGGAUUUUCUUAAUAUGGAUCCUCCUAUUUUUACUGGAUCAGAUCUUAACGAGGACCCACAGGACUUUAUUGAUCAAAUUCAAAGGGCCUUAGAUAUUAUGCAUGUAACGGAUAGAGAGACAGUGGAGUUAGCAGCAUAUAGAUUCAAAGGGUAGUCUAUAUAUUGGUACGAGGACUGGAAAUGAUCUAGAGGUAUUGAUGCACCCCCAGCUACUUGGAAAGAGUUCAAAGAGGUAUUUCUUAAUCAUUAUCUUCCAUUCGAGAUUCGUCAGGCCCGUGCAGAUCAGUUUUUAAAUCUUCGUCAGGGGAAUAUGAGCGUGAGGGAGUACAGUCUCCGAUUUAAUUCAUUGUCGAUAUAUUCUCCUAAUGUUGUAGCUACUAUGGAUGACAGAGUUCAUCAAUAUGUGGAUAGGUUGGAUCCAUAUCGGGUUAGAGAUUGUACUAUUACCGCUUUGAACAAAGAUAUGGACAUAGCGAGGAUCCAAGAUUUUUUGCAGAAAAUAGAAGAUCAGAGGCAGAGGAGAAGAACACGGGAAUUAGAAAGAGGAUAUUCCAAGAGGGCUAGAUCUACAGGGCAGUUCAUGGCAUCCCAAGGAGGGUUCAGACCACAGUUUUCUAUUAGACCACCUAGGCCAUUAUCUUCUUAUUCUGCAGCUAGUGCCCCACCACAGUUCCAAGGGUCCAGAGGAAAUCAAUUAGGGCACAGAAGUGAGAGUCAGAGUUUGCAAAUAGUGGGGUACCAAGGGAAAGAAAAUAUGAGCCAAUCGAGACCUCCUAGAGCCAUGAAAUAAAUAUGGAAGGUAUCAUUUGGGCAUAUGUCGGCUGGGGACCAAUGUUUGCUUUUAGUGUGGUAUGUCAGGGCAUAUGAUGAGAGAAUGCCCACGAAGGGGCAUAGGGGGUAUGGCACGACCUAUGGGGUCAUUUGUGUCAUCAUCAUCAUCGAUGCCUUAUCAGGAAGGGGUGCACAACCAAUGGGUCAUGUUAGAGGUGAUAGAGGAGCCACGAGUUCUAGCGGAGCUUAAAAUCGUAUGUAUGCUCUAGCGGAUCAACAGAAUUUAGAGGCUUCCCCAGAUGUGGUUAUGGGUGCGUUGUCUAUCUUUUCAUUCGAUGUAUAUUCCUUAAUUGAUCCCGGUUAUACAUUAUCUUAUGUUACUCCAUUGGUUGCUGGAAAGUUUGAAAGAAUACCCAAACUGUUAGUUAAGCCAUUUAAAGUGUCCACACCGGUUGGAGAAUCUAUUAUAGCUAGAAGGGUUUACCAAAACUGCAUAGUAACUGUGUGUUGUCGUGAUACGAUGGCUGAUCUUGUAGAGUUAUAAAUGGUAGAUUUUGAUAUUAUAAUGGGUAUAGACUGGUUGGCGUCUUGUUAUGCCACAAUUGAUUGCUGCACGAAAAAGGUAUAUUUCGAUUUUCUAAAUAAAUCAAUCCUUGAAUGGAAAAGUGAAAUUGGUGCGCUAAGAGGUAGAUUUAUUUCUUAUUUUAAGGCAAGAAGAAUAAUUUUCAAGGGAUACAUAUAUUAUUUAGUUAGAGUAAGGGAUACAGAAGCGGAGCCACCAACUCUUCAAGCUGUUCCAGUGGUAAAUGAAUUUUCUGAUGUAUUUCCUGAAGAUCUUCCAGGUUUACCUCCGGAACGAGAAGUAGAGUUUGGUAUUGAUGUAAUACCAGGCACCCAACCAAUCUCUAUUCCUCCGUAUAGAAUGGCCCCAGCAGAAUUACGAGAAUUGAAAGAGCAAUUGAAAGAUUUGCUAGAAAAGGGGUUCAUUAGGCCUAGUAUUUCCCCUGGGGGAGCACCAGUGUUAUUUGUACGCAAAAAGGAUGGCUCGCUGAGGAUGUGUAUUGAUUAUCGGCAAUUGAAUAAGGUGACUAUUAAGAAUAAAUAUCCUCUCCCAAGAAUUGAUGAUUUAUUUGAUCAGUUACAGGGCGCCAAGUGCUUUUCUAAGAUUGAUUUGAGGUCAGGUUACCACCAAGUGAGGGUCAAAGAAAAAGAUAUACCCAAAACAGCUUUCCGAACAAGGUAUGGUCAUUAUGAGUUUCUAGUUAUGUCAUUUGGGCUAACAAAUGCACCCGCAGCUUUUAUGGAUUUGAUGAAUAGGGUUUUUAAGCCAUUCCUGGAUGUAUUUGUGAUAGUUUUUAUAGAUGAUAUUCUAGUUUAUUCUAGAUCAGAAGAGGACCAUGCCAAUCACUUACGACAGGCAUUGCAGACUCUUCGUGAUUGUAAGCUUUAUGCAAAGUUCUCUAAAUGUGAGUUUUGGUUAAAGUCGGUGGCAUUUUUGGGUCAUAUUGUAUCUAGUGAAGGGAUAAAGGUUGAUGCUCAAAAGAUAGAAGCUGUGAAGAACUGGCCAAGGCCCACAACGCCUACGGAGAUUCGUAGUUUUCUUGGGUUGGCCGGUUAUUAUAGAAGGUUUGUCAAAGACUUUUCUUCCAUUUCAGCACCCUUAACCAAGCUAACCCAUAAAGCAUCCAAAUUCCAAUGGAAUGAUGCCUGUGAGAAGAGUUUUCAAGAUUUAAAGAACAAGUUGAUUUCUACACCCGUGUUGGUACUACCAGAAGGCACCGAAGGGUAUACAGUGUAUUGUGAUGCUUCCAGAAUUGGUUUAGGAUGUGUAUUGAUGCAGCAUGGUAAGGUAAUAGCAUAUGCUUCUAGACAAUUGCGGCCACAUGAGAAAAAUUAUCCUACACACGAUCUUGAGUUGGCAGCAGUUAUUUUUGCUUUAAAGAUAUGGCGCCACUACUUAUAUGGGGUUCAUGUUGAUAUAUAUACUGACCAUAAGAGCUUGCAAUAUAUUUUUAAUCAGAAGGAUCUAAAUUUAAGGCAGCGGAGAUGGCUUGAACUAUUAAAGGACUAUGAUGUUGAUAUCUUGUACCAUCCAGGGAAAGCAAAUGUGGUAGCUGAUGCGUUAAGUCGUAAGGCUAUGAUGGCGCCUAUAGAAAGGCAAGGGAUGGUUAAAGAUCUUCACCAGUUAGCUAGUUUGGGAGUUCGCCUUCUUGAAACUCCGAAUAAAGAGCUUAUCGUACAUAAUGCUGCGGAAUCUUCAUUAGUAGCUGAAGUGAAAGAGAAGCAAUAUGCAGAUCCUAUUUUAUUACAUCUUAAGGAGAACGUUCAGAGUGGUGCGACCAAGGCAUUUGAGCUUACGCGAGAAGGAGUACUUCAGUGCCAAAACCGAUUGUGUGUGCCGGAUAUAGACGGGCUAAGAAAGAAGAUUAUGACAGAGGCACAUUUUUCAAGGUAUUCCAUUCAUCCAGGAUCAACCAAAAUGUAUCAAGAUUUGAAAGAUAUGUAUUGGUGGAAUGACAUGAAGAAGAGCAUUGCAGAAUUUGUAGCUGAAUGUCCAAAUUGUCAAAGAGUUAAAGUUGAGCACCAAAAACCCGGAGGCUAUAUGCAAUGCAUAGAUCUUCCAAUUUGGAAGUGGGACAUGAUCAACAUGGAUUUUGUUACAGGUUUGCCUCGUACAGCUCGAAAAUUUGAUUCUAUAUGGGUGAUUGUGGAUAGGCUUACUAAAUCCGCACAUUUCUUACCCGUUAAGACCACUUACACAGUUGAAGAAUAUUCGAAGCUGUAUGUUAAAGAAAUAGUCCGAUUACAUGGAGUGCCAACUUCUAUUAUAUCGGAUCGGGGAACUCAAUUUACUGCAAACUUUUGGAAGUCUUUCCAACGGGGUUUGGGAACACAAGUGAAUCUGAGUACAGCUUUUCACCCUCAGACGGAUGGACAAGCAGAGCGCACCAUUCAAACACUUGAAGAUAUGCUACGAGCAUGUGUUAUAGAUUUUAAAGGCAGCUGGGAUGAUCAUUUACCUCUUAUUGAGUUUGCCUACAAUAAUAGCUAUCAUUCAAGUAUCAAAAUGGCACCAUAUGAAGCUUUAUAUGGGAGAAAGUGUAGAUCACCAAUAGGAUGGUUCGAAGCGGGUGAAACUCUUAUGUUCGGACCGGAUCUUGUGUAUCAAGCCAUAGAAAAAGUCAAGGUGAUUCAGCAACGGUUGAAAACAGCCCAAAGUCGACACAAGUCAUAUGCGGAUAGUAGAAGAAGAGGGCUAGAAUUUUCGUUAGGCGAUUGGGUAUUUUUGAAGGUAUCGCCAAUGAAAGGGGUGAUGAGAUUUGGCAAGAAAGGAAAGUUGAGUCCACGAUAUAUAGGCCCGUAUAAAAUUAUUCGAAGAUGUGGGCAAGUUGCUUAUGAAUUAGAUCUACCCCAGGAACUAUCAUCAGUGCAUCCAGUAUUUCAUGUAUCGAUGCUUCGAAAGUGCAUCGGAGAUCCGUCCCUUAUUACUUCUACUGAAGAUGUGCAAGUAACAGCAGAUCUUACCUAUGAGGAGAUGCCUAUUGCUAUAUUAGAUCGACAAGUUAAGAAGAUGAGAAAUAAAGAAGUAGCAUCGGUGAAAGUACUUUGGAGAAAUCAACAAAGGGAAGAGAUUACAUGGGAAGCUGAGGAAGCAAUGAAAUCUAAGUACCCUCAUUUGUUCAAAGAUGAAGAGGAAGUUCAAGAAACGGAGUUAGAACAUUAACAAGUAAGUUUUUGUUUAUAUAUGCAUAGUAUUUAUGUGAUGAUGUGUUGGUGUAUUCGAGUACGUGUAUUGGUCUUAUUUAUAUGGAAUUCAUUUUUUUUAUUAUUUUAUUUAUACCAGAAUUUUCCCGUCGAUGGUUCCAUGCGAAGGUUACUGAAUAAGCUUUCCAACAAUAUAAAGAUUUCCAAAAAAGAAUAGGUUUCGAAUAUAAUCUAGCAUGUUCGAAACUGUAAAACGGUGUCAGGGAUAUUUGGGAAUAGUAAAUGUGCAGGAAAAUUUCCUGCACACAAACUACUGAGGCCAGCCGAAUUUUUGGGUCAACUUUGAAAGAUCAUAACUCCUUUAAUAUAAAGAACUGGGAGAGCUACGACCUAUGAAAAGAAAUAUCUUUGAGUCUUAUUUCCAAUUCAAUUGGUUUCAUCCAAAUCCAACAUCUGAGUAAGGAUUUAUAGUCAUUUUACUUCAGCCUAUCAACACAGAUUUUUAGGGUCAACUUCAACCGACCAUAACUCCUUGUACAGGACGAAUUGGGUGGCCUACUUUAUAUGAAAUGAAAUCUCUUUGAAUUAUCCUUCCAAUGUACCAAUUUCACCCAAAUCCGAUAUUGAAGUAAAGAGUUAUGGUCAAUCUACUUUAGCUUAUCAAAACAGUCCACCAAAGGACAGAUUUGACAUUAUUUAAAUUUUAAAGGCAUUUUGUUCAUUUUCUAUUAUAUUAUGGACAGGAAUAUGUGUAUAUAUACAUGUAUAUGAGUUCAAAAACUCAUUUUCAUCAUUAAUCAUUGAGAAAGAACAAACCCUAGCCAAAUUUGACCUUUAAAUUACUUUUGAUUCAACNNNNNNNNNNNNNNNNNNNNNNNNNNNNNNNNNNNNNNNNNNNNNNNNNNNNNNNNNNNNNNNNNNNNNNNNNNNNNNNNNNNNNNNNNNNNNNNNNNNNNNNNNNNNNNNNNNNNNNNNNNNNNNNNNNNNNNNNNNNNNNNNNNNNNNNNNNNNNNNNNNNNNNNNNNNNNNNNNNNNNNNNNNNNNNNNNNNNNNNNNNNNNNNNNNNNNNNNNNNNNNNNNNNNNNNNNNNNNNNNNNNNNNNNNNNNNNNNNNNNNNNNNNNNNNNNNNNNNNNNNNNNNNNNNNNNNNNNNNNNNNNNNNNNNNNNNNNNNNNNNNNNNNNNNNNNNNNNNNNNNNNNNNNNNNNNNNNNNNNNNNNNNNNNNNNNNNNNNNNNNNNNNNNNNNNNNNNNNNNNNNNNNNNNNNNNNNNNNNNNNNNNNNNNNNNNNNNNNNNNNNNNNNNNNNNNNNNNNNNNNNNNNNNNNNNNNNNNNNNNNNNNNNNNNNNNNNNNNNNNNNNNNNNNNNNNNNNNNNNNNNNNNNNNNNNNNNNNNNNNNNNNNNNNNNNNNNNNNNNNNNNNNNNNNNNNNNNNNNNNNNNNNNNNNNNNNNNNNNNNNNNNNNNNNNNNNNNNNNNNNNNNNNNNNNNNNNNNNNNNNNNNNNNNNNNNNNNNNNNNNNNNNNNNNNNNNNNNNNNNNNNNNNNNNNNNNNNNNNNNNNNNNNNNNNNNNNNNNNNNNNNNNNNNNNNNNNNNNNNNNNNNNNNNNNNNNNNNNNNNNNNNNNNNNNNNNNNNNNNNNNNNNNNNNNNNNNNNNNNNNNNNNNNNNNNNNNNNNNNNNNNNNNNNNNNNNNNNNNNNNNNNNNNNNNNNNNNNNNNNNNNNNNNNNNNNNNNNNNNNNNNNNNNNNNNNNNNNNNNNNNNNNNNNNNNNNNNNNNNNNNNNNNNNNNNNNNNNNNNNNNNNNNNNNNNNNNNNNNNNNNNNNNNNNNNNNNNNNNNNNNNNNNNNNNNNNNNNNNNNNNNNNNNNNNNNNNNNNNNNNNNNNNNNNNNNACCAAUAAGUUCCUACUUCAUUGUUAUGGCAUUGAUGACUCUAAAACACUUCAUUGAUGUGCCAAUGAGUUAUUUCUUCAUUGUUAUUGCAUUGAUGGUCUAUUUAUAUAUCUCUUAUUGAUGUAUCAUUAUUUCAAAGUAUCAAAAAUGCGCUGGCGAUCGAAAUAACAAUCUCAAAGAUUAAUUGAACUGACUGAUGGAAAUUCUCUCUUAUCGGGUGGUAUCCCAGGGGCAUAAUCCUAUCAUGGGUCGAUCCCUAUUUAUGUGUUUAUGGGUGGUAUCCCAGGGGCAUAAGCCUAUCAUGGUGGUAUCCCAGGGGCAUAAGCCUAUCAUGGGUCGAUCCUAGUUGAUAUGUACUGGAGGCAGCCUAAUGGUCACAGUAUAGUAUAGUAAUGAUUACAAAGAUGUUAAGAACGAAGGUAAAGUGAUUGAAUAAAUACAAUAUAAAGGUUGUCACAAGUUCUAGUAAGUGUGGUCCACUCCUAUUAUAAUUUAUUCACUUGUUUCUGAUUUCUAUUGAGCUCCUAUAUUAUAUGUGAUUAUCUACAGCUUUACAUACUCAGUACAUAUUUCAUACUGACGUCCCCACGGGGGACCUGCAUUUUAUGUUGUAGGCACAGGUACCUCAGCUCAUACACUGCAUAAGUCGGAGCCAAGAUAUCCAGCUGCUUUUGGUGAGCUCCAGUUUGCUUUGGGGCUUUCCGUGUCAUAUACAAUCACUUUUGGUAUUGUAUAGAAGUUAGUUAUAUAGCAGGGUGUGUCCCGACCUUAGUUAAACUCUUUGUAUUGUCUAGAGGCUUUGUAGACCUAACGUACAGUCAAGGUGGUGUUUUGUUAAUAGACGUGAUGACUCCAAUGGCCAGGUACUGUAUAUACAUAUAUAUGUGUGCUUGAGCUUAUACAGGUGAUUAUUUCCUUUUAUAUGCAACAUGAUGCUGUCCGAAUUUUGGGUUGUCCUAGAGGUAUGCAUAGGAAGUAUAAGGUUAUGAGCUGGUUCUCCUAGGCCUCCUCGAUUAUGGGUGCCAGUCCACCCCAAUAGGAUUUGAGGCAUGACAUAUGGUAUGUUGCAGGUUCGUCGGAUCAUCCGUCACUCGAUGGCCAAAAUGAGACCACACUUCCUUAGUGGCGACGGUCUCAGCGAUGGUCUGUCAUAGCCUUUACGGUCUGUCAUCCUAGACAUCACACGUGGGCUAGGAAAUGGAGUUUCUUCCUUGGUCACGACGGUCCAUCACAAACUCGACGGUCUAUUGAAUUGUCCGUCGCACCUUGGUGGUUCUGAUAACUCACAGUAAAAUGGUCAUAACUUCUCACCCCGAUGUUGGAUUUGGAUGAAAUUGGUAUCGUUGGAAAUCUAAUUCAAUUCUCUAUAUGAAAAAAGUCAAAUUUAAGAAAAUUCUAUAUGGUUUAAAUACCAAUAACUUGAUACAUCUAUUCUCAUUCUUUAAAAACCAGAAUUACACUUCACUUGACAUGCUCUAAGGCCCGAACUACAAGGGAACUUUGUAGGGUCUUACAUAAAGGGGCUACUAUAACUUCAUAAUUAGGUUUUUAUUAAUUUCAUUUAGUUCAUACAUGUUUUUAGUCGUUCAUUACAACAUUGUGAUUGCGAUUAUGACUAUGUGUGACUAAAUACCCUCUUUUUGGGGUUGAAGCCAAGAACAUAAUUAUUAUUGCUAUGGAUUAAGUUUGUUUGCUUUGCGUAUCAACACUGGUUGUUUGUUUAUUCUUAUUAUAACUAUUUUAUAAAUUUGCGACCCUUAGAAUACAUCCAUUGUCAACCUUGUAAACUCGAGAGAGGGAAUAGGGCGAUAGAACAUGGGAAUAAGCUAAGUAUGGUUCUUGAUUCUUUAUAAAAUAAGAAACUUGAAUCAGUAUCUAGGAUAGGGAUGUACUUAGAUACCUUUCCUGAGUGAUGUUGGGUGUAUUUAUGCAUUCUAGUGUCACCAUUCUAGCCUUUUUAGUCUUGUUUUGAGGAUGAUUCUAUACUAUCUUGGUUGAUAAUGAGAUAAAUUUGUAUAAAAGUGUUAAAUAAUGUAUUUAUAAGGUUCCAAGUGAAUUCCAAACAAGUUUGUACUUGAAAGAGUCUAUUUGAGUUCAAUAGAGAAAACUAGUCUUCCUAACUUGAGCUAGUGGGUUUUCUAGUCUAUCUUGUUGGAUUCUAUUGAGUUCUAUGUGUUCCUUAUGGUUUUAAAUAUGUUAUGAUAUGUGUAACAAGUUGUUAUGAGUGUACAAAGUUCAUAUGAGUCAAAUAAAGAGUAGAAACUUGAAGGGGAAGAUCAUGAAACCAACCUAGUAUAAGCUCUUAUUUUUUAUUCAUCUUAAUAGGUUAGUGUUGUUUGUGCUUCUAAUUUGUGUGGUGUGAUGAUGUAGAAUGAUUUUGGAGAUAAAUAUGAUGAUAUUCUUAUGUUAAAUAGUCUUGGAAAUCAAUGGAAAGACACCACAAGACAAGGGAUAGAAGGAGGAAGGGUCGAUACUUAGCCAAAAUUCGAAGGACAAAUUCCAAAGAGUGCAUGCGUUUAGCAUGCGUCACAUGCUCCACUCCUGUGCAAUACAGGGUAAAUCACACACCCCAUUACAUAUAUUUGGAGGGUGUGACGCACACUUCACUCCACACCUGGGCGUUUUAAGCCAAUUUGACUCCUACACGGACUUGGCUUACCUUUAUGCUAUAUAUACAUGUUGUAUCAUAUUUUUACAUAUCUUUUGAUUUUUUUGGAGAUCAAAGGGCUAAUACAACUUCAUAAUUAGGUUUUUAUUAAUUUAAUUUAGUUCAUACAUGUUUUUAUUCAUUAAUUACAACAUUGCCAUUGCGAUUAUGACUAUGUGUGGCUAAACGCUCUCUUUUUGGGGUUGAAGCCAAGAACAUGAUUAUUAUUGCUAUAGAUUAAGUUUGUUCUCUUUGUGUAUCAAUAUUGGUUGUUUUUUAUUCUUAUUACAACUAUUUUAAGAAUUUGCGACCCAUAGAAUACAUCUAUUGUCAACCUUGUGAACUCGAAAGAGGGAAUAGGGCGAUAGAACAUGGGAAUCAGCAAAGUAUGGUUAUUGAUUCUUCAUAAAAUAAGAAACUUAAAUUAGUAUCUAGGGCAGGGAUGUACUUAGAUACCUUACUUAAUUCAUAUGUAGGAUGAUAUUUGUUAAGAACUUAAGUGAAUUAUUACAUCCCCGCUCAAUGAUGUAGGUGUAAAGUUCAACUUAGGUAAUAGAUUAGAGGUUGGGAAACCAUAAUCCCGCAAUUAACCCUAAGAAUCAACAACCAAGAUAAGAAAGUUAGCGAAUGAAAUCCAAUAGCGUAAUAUGAUUGUUCAGAGUGCUUCAACCCUGGGUUUUCUCUUAUUGAUUGUCUUAAGACCUUUACUUUCUGCAUUGUUUUAUUUUUAUUGACAAUUUUCAAACUCUUUAUUUGUUUACUCUCGUAUCAAUUGAAUCUAAAGUGUGAACUGAAAUCAAAUCAUUGCCAAAUCUAGUCUUUGUGGGAUCGAUAACUCGACUUUCUUUAAGGCCACUAUAUUACUUGGUAAACCACGUACACUUGUUUGUGCUCUUGGGCGCUGUCAUAUAUGCAUGAGGACACCUUAGUUGAAGUUAAUUUGUAUGAUAGUUUUAUCUACCCUCCCUUUGCUUAUAAAAUUUUAAAUGGACAUGUAGAGGGUAAACUUAAUAGUGAAAAUGGCACCUUUGGGGAAAGUGAGUAUUGCCAUGACCCAUGUUCUUGGGUAAUUCUUCUAUUUGACCCCAGUGACCUAAUAGAAUGUGGUGAUUUCUAUAUACCCAACUUGAUGCUUGGUCUAGAUAACAAGAAAAGUUUGAAUGAGUAUGUUGGAACCCUUCCCUGUGAUGGAAAGUCUUUCUUAGGGAUUUACAGUACACUCGAUAGACCCAAGUUGUGUAUGGGAGGCAUUUCCAACAAAGAUGAGUGGUAUAAAGGGGUUAUAUACUUGUUGAAAGAUGGAACCCAUAUGAGUCUUCAUGAGCGGUCGAUUAAUUACCAUGGUUACUCUAGCCUUCCCUAUUGUCCAAAUCUCUUGAAUGGAAAAGUCGCUUCUAUAUUAUGGGAUUACAACCCUUGAUUGAUCAUUUUGAUGCUUGGUUAUAUCUUAAGUGUGUGCAACCUUAGCAUGAUGUUAUGAUUGAUUGUGCUGACUCUAACCCUUAUGCCAUGAGGGUAUUGUGUCUGUUUGUCUUUUGUUUGAUCUUACAAGGUUCAGAUUCGAGAUAGAAUCCUUUUCAAGAAGGGGAGGAUUAUACAAGCCAAAUGGGCAUCAACAUUUUUUAUCACACAAAUAAAGGCCAACACAAGGAUGUCCAAUGACAUGACCCAAAAUUGGGCCUGGUUGUAUGGGCAUCUCGAGCCCAACAAGGACCUAAGAUCGCCCCGUUUACCUACCCCAACCAUUAAAAUAAAUCCACAAGUGUCGGAUGAACCCCGACCAUGUAACAAGAUAGAGAAAACAAGACUAGUAAUCAUCACAUAAAGAGUGUCUAAUAAAUUCAUCAAUGUCAACAUACUAACAAAAUACCUAAGUCCACAGUCAUCCACAAGACUCUACCAAUCUGAUGUCUAUAAUAUGUCAGGGCAUGCCCCCGACAAUAGCUAAAAACUAAGUCUAUGACUAAGAUAGAAAGACCAUGAAAUGGAUGUCUUCUAAAGUAUGGGAGCUUACCAUUUCAAAGUCAACACACGAUCCGCUUGAACACCUGGCCACUGUGCAAGAAGAGAAGAAAAAGCUUCGACCCCUGUGUCGCAUGGGGACACAUCGUCCGAAGAUAGUUAGCAGUUGGAGCACUAGUAUGUAACUCAAGGAUAAGGAUAAAAUAGUGUAAUUAUUCAAAGCCAAAUCAAACCAUCACAUGAAACCACAUUUAUAUGCGUAGGAAUAUAUAUGGAUAUAUAGAUACAUCAAGUGUCAGUAAAGGAAACAAUGCCUUAGUAUGCAUUUCAAAACAUCUAAUAAUGAUACAUAGAGUAGAGGAGUCUUACCUUCCACCCUUAUAAGUAAAAGAAAUUAAACUUCUUGAUGAUAUUAGGAAAGGGACUCUUAACAUCAAGACAUUUUAUUAAGUAAGGGACUCUAACCUCAAGCCGUUUUAUUAGGCAAGGGACUCUAACCUCAAGCCGUCGUAUUAGAAAGUGGAAUCUAACCACAAGACGUUGUGACCAUUACUAGUCAACAUUGGGACUCUAACCCUUUGUUCAUGCAUUCAAAUCCACUUAGUUCAAUAUUCAAGGACUCUAACCCAUUUAGCCAAUUCAAGCCACCAAGUCUAAAAUUCAACACCAUAUAUGACCACAAGGUCUUCAUGAACCAUUUAUCAAUCAAUCACUUUAAUAGGCCAAUGCCUUAGUUUUAAUCACCAUUAGAUUUAAUUUGUUAUCAUCAAUACCUAUACAACACUGUUCAUUCUUCAUUAGCAUUCAUAUACCAAACUUUAGUUCAAUACACAAUUCAAUCUCAUGUUUAGGGGCUCUACCCCCCCCCCCCCCCCCAACCAUUAACCAAGCAAAAUACCAAAGUCAUUAAUUCACUCCUUACAUAUCCAACAAGGCCUUUACAAUACCAUUUACCAACAAUUCCUACUCAUUAAGCUAUUGUGUUAGUUCAAAACACUAUCAACAUGUAACUAGUUAUUUCUCUUAGAUAUUUUCACAAAUACCUUGAGGGCAUACCUUUACCAUGACCAAAACCUAAGUGAAAACCAUCAAGGUUAGGGUUAAUCAUGACCAAUUUGUUAAACCACAAUCAACAAGCACCCACAUAUGUAAAUCAUCACCAAUAACUUGUAUAAAUGCAAGGUUAAACAAGAGUAAACAAUACUCAUCACUAUGUAUCAAAACUCUCAAUAUUUGGUUUCAAAACCACCAUUUGCAAAUCAUAAUCAAGGUUAAAAACACAUUAUAUUUGAGAAGUAACAAUAACGGAAGAUUCAUAUGACUUAUACUAGAUGAUUCACGAAAAGAACUUGACCCCUUUAGCCCUUAAAAGAACACCUCUUGAAACCCUAGCCUUAAAUCUUGUUGAAGAAGUUUAGAGAGUGUUUUCGAAUAUUUUGAUCUUAUCACAGUAAAGAAUGAAGGGCCAAAAAAUUUAAUAAGUCAUGGGUCAUAAGGGCUUAGGUGUGGAAAAUUUCUAAAAUGUCCUCAACUUAAAAGCUGAAAUUUGAACCCAGGGGGUACGAUUACCCUACAUGAACAGUACCCUAGGGUACAAGUGGUAUCCUAACUUAUACCCUAGACCUCUCUUAGGACCCCCAUACUGACAAACAUACGACCAUAAUGGCCAAGUCGUACCCUAAGGUACGUGAAGUACCCUUGGAGUCGUACCUUGGUCAUAAUCAUCAAGAUCAUCCUCAAAACAUCACAUGACGAGGUGACAUAUGACUGGUACCCUAACAUAUGAAUAGGGAGAGGCCAAACCAUACCUUAGAUAGAAUAUUAUCAACCUAGAUUUAUCAUUAUAAGAGAGGGUGGGUACCAGUCGUACCCUAGAAUAUGAGAGGUAUGCUCAAAUCGUACCCUACCCAGAAUCUCAAAUUUAGGAAAUUCUCUAAGGGUUCAAGGCCAAGGUGUUUCAAUCAUCUCCCACUUAGAUCAUUCGUCCUUGAAUAACAGGUAAGGCAAGCAAAAUCAUGAGUUAACACAUCAUAUCAUAUCAAGCUAACCUUAAACUAAGUUAGAAAACAAAGACAUACAACAACGAUAAGACACGUGCCAUGAUCAUUAUUACUCAACCAUUUGUUCAAUUGACAUUGGGACUCGAACCCAUAGUCUUUCAAAACAUUUGCUCAAUUUAAAGUUUAGAGGCUUGAACCUAUUACCUAUCCAAUACAUAAAUCAAGGUAAAAAGAUUAACACAUACCUCAAGUAUGAGCUUUCAGAACGGAAAACAAAUGUGGAUACUUAGACUUCAUGUCCUCUUCCACCUCCCAAAUAGCUUUCUCGGACUUUUGGUUCCUCCAUAGAACCUUCACCAAAGCCAUCUCUUUCAUGAAAACUUGAUGAUAUAAGAUCAUCACUAGGAUCUCCUCAUAGGAAAAAGAGUCUGAAACACCAACAUUCUCUAAGGGAACAACUAAUGAAGUAUCACCAUACAGUUCUAAAACAUGGACUUGUCUCUAAGGGACUCUAAACUCAAGCUGUUGUAUUAGAAAGUGGACUCUAACCACAAGACAUUAAGACCAUUAUUAGUCGACAUUGGGACUCUAACCCUUUGUCCAUGCAUUCACAUCCACUUAGUUCAACAUUUAAGGACUUUAACCCAUUUAGCAAAUUCAAGCCACCAAGGCUACAAUUCAGCACCAUAUAUGGCUACAAGGUCUUCAUGAACCAUUAAUCAAUCAAUUACUUUAAUAAGACAAUGUCUUAGUUUCAAUCACCAUUAGAGUCAAUUUGUCAUCAUCAAGACCUACACAACACCACUUAUUCUUCAUUAGCAUUCAAAUACCAAACUUUAGUUCAAUACAUAAUUCAAUAUUAUGUUUAGGGACUCUAACCCCCCCAACCAAGAAAAACCCCAAAGUUAUAAACUCACUCCUUACAUGGACAAUAAGGCCUUUACAAUACCAUUUUCCAAUCAUUCUUACUCAUUAAGCCAUUUUCAUAGUUUAAAACACUAUUAAUAUAUAACUAGUUAUUUCUGUUAGAUAUUUUCUCAAACACCUUGAGGACAUACCUUUACCAUGACCAAAACCCAAGUGAAAACCAUCAAGGUUAGGGUUAAUCAUGACCCAUUUGUUAAACCACAAUCAACAAGCACCAACAUAUGCAAAUCAUCACCCAUAAUAUGUAUAAACACAAGAGUAAACAAUACUCAUCACUAUGUAUCAUAACCCUCAAUAUUUGGUUUCAAAACCACCAUAUACAAAUCAUAAUCAAGUUUAAAAACACAUGAUAUUUGAUAAAUAACAAUAACGGAAGAGUCACAUGACUUAUUUUGAUUCACAAAAAGAACUUGACCCAAUUAGCCUCUAAAAGAACACCUCUUGAAACCCUAUCUUUAAAUCUUGUUAAAGAAGUUUAGAGAGUGUUUUGGAAUGUUUUGAUCUUGUCCAAGUGAAGAAUAGAGGGACAAAUAAUAUUAUAAGUCAUGGAUCAUAAAGUUUUAGGGGUGGUAAAUGUCUAAAAUGUCCUCAGCUUAAAAGUUAAAAUCUGAACCUAGAGGGGUACGACCACCCUAUACGAAUUAUAUUCUAUGGUACGAGUGGUACCCUAACUCAUACCCUAUACCUCUCCUAAGACCCCCAUACUAACCAACAUAUGACCAUACAGGGCCAAGUCAUACCCUAAGGUAUGAGAAGUACCUUUGGAGUCGUACUUUGGUCAUAAUUAUCAAGAUCAUUCUCAAAACAUUAUAAAACUAGGCAACAUACGACUGGUACCUUAACAUACAACUAGGGAGACACCAAAUUGUACCUUGGAUAGAAUGUUAUCAACCUAGACUAAUCAUUAUACAAAAUAGUGGGUACUAAUCGUACCCUAGCAUAUGAGAGGUAUGCUAAAACCGUACUCUACCCAAAAUCUCUAACUUAUGAAAUUCUCUAAGGAUUCAAAGACAAGGUGUUUCAUCCAAGCCAUGAUCACCCUAAGGAUUCAAGAAUGUGCUUGGAGGACCUUCUUUGAGCUCUCAAUUAAACAAUGUCGUAUUUGGAAAAUAGCUUGGAGCCAAGGAAAAGCCAUAGCACAAGGAAUAAAGAGAGACCUUGUGGGUUAUUUCCAAAAUAGCCACUUUUGGGCUAUUUUUGUAAUAGGUUAAUUGUGCAAAGGCAAAUACUAUAAGUAGGUUCCUUAGACAUUUUUUCCUUAGUUUCUUUUGUAUGAAUUAGGAAUAAUUACUCCUUUGUUAGUGAGUGACAAGCUUAGAUUAGCUUGUGUUGAUCUUUUGUUUAGGAAUAUUGGUUGCUUGGGAAUCCGAUUUCCUUGUGGUCUACGUAAGAGCUAGGUGCUCAUAGGUAAUCAAUAAGGGAGGUCUUUUGGUUUGAUACACCCUUUGGUUUCCCUUUUUUUCUCUUCUUGUUUCUAUUUAUCUUUUCUUCCUAUCCUUUACGUUAUUGUUCUUUCGUUUUCGUAUCUUAGUUUAGUUUUUAUUUUCGUACUUUGUGUUCUCGUAUUACCCUACCUUUAGUUGCUUUGGGUAUUUAUGACUCACUAUGAUGGGUUGUUUGGUUCCAAGGGAGUUCUGUUAGGUUCUAAAUCAACUUCCUUAUUAUAGAGAUUUUAAAGUUAAUAAGUUUGACUUCGAUCAAAGUUUAUAUUAAACAACCUCAAACGAAAAUUCAAACAACUUUAUUAGCUUCAAAAUUUGGAUUUUGGGAUGGGGGACCUAUGUUUAGGAUCUCGAAGCUUUUAGACUCAUUUCAAGUGUUUGGGUUUAUUUUUAGUAAAACUAGAAAAGCAUUGUCUUCGGUCAACAUUUGUUGGUCAUUUUUUAAAUUCCAUUGAGUCUACAAUGUCGUUUUCAGUAUGGUUGUAUAUUCAGUUUGCAUUUAUGGGAUUAAACAAAUCUCGAGGGUCUAUUUAAAAUUAUUUUUAACCUUGGCUUAUUAUUGUUUUUCAAUAGCUAGUGCAAACCACAUUUCGUUAUUGCAAUCGCAAUAAGGCCUUCGCGAUUGCGAUGGUCUGAGAAGUUACCAUUGUAUUUGUGAAAAGGUCAUUUGCAUUUGCGAUGCAAGACCCAUUGGGGUCCAACUAGUUGUGCUUCAUAUUCAUAUGGAAGACUAUCUCAAUCAUAAUAGUCAAUUGGAGUGGAGUCUUGUGAUCAUGAUAGGGGUCAUAUGAACAAGUGACCCCUGCAAUAUAAAUUCCACACUUCAAAUUUUUCAGCUAUUUUAUUCAAAUUUUGAUCUCUAGAGCUGGUGGCACAAAGAUUCUUAUGGAUUUUCCAUCGCUUGGGUAAGUUCCUCUUACUCCCCCUUGUAAUUUUCCAUCUAAUUUUGCAUUAAAUUUCCAUUUUAGUUUCUCUUAAAAAUUUGAAUUCCAUUAUUCAAUUUUUGAGGACUUUUUAGGUUGUUUUGAGCUUUGGAAUGAGUCUCAUUCUUUUUUUAAAUUUCAUGUGAGUUCCUUAGCCUAUGAAUGAGGUAAUUGCAGAAUUAAUUUCCAAUUUUGUUGUCCAUUCCUAAGGGGUAAUUUUUUAUCUAAUUUUUUGUCCGAAUUAUAAAUUUUUAAUGUGGAUAUCAAUGUUCUUGUCUUAACGAGUAGGUUAUGAAUUUGAUAGCAUGACAAUAUUCUGAGGCUCUGUGGAAAGAAAAAGUGACUCUUUGAUGGUUCAAGUUGAGAUUUUGGCCUUGAGGUAUGUUACAACUUACCUCAUUUAGACUUAACUCGACUAGGUAGUAUUUUUGACGAAUUGCAUAUCAGUUAGGAGGUUUGUAGGGUACGCUUAGGUUUGUUUCCAUAUUUUUGACUUAUAGCCUAUUUCGGGACCCUUAGGUAGAAUAACUACUUGAGCCUUAGAUUAUGAUGCUUAUUAUAAUAUUAAGAUUAGAUUAGGGAUCCUUAGUGUAGGUGUUAUAAGGAUUAUAUUGUAGAAUAGGUUCUUACAAUAGGUUCUCCUUUAUCACCUUUAAUUAUGUAUUUUCUUUUGUUAUGGAGCUAAUGGUUCAAGGUCGUGAGUUUGGACAUGCUGGACUCUGGGUUAACCAGAUUAUGGCUUGAAUGGUGAAUUUACCCUAUUGUAUGUAUACAUAUACCAAUAUAUACAUACAUAUAUAUAUGCACACAGAUAUUUUUGUUGAUGUGCAUACAUCUAUACACUCAUAUACACGAAAUUUGGUAGGACUUUGAGGAAACAUACUAGUUCUUUCAUUUUUAACUAAAAUUGUCCCACUUUUAUUACUGAUAUGAGUAUUUAGAAGAUCGUACAACUUUUAUUAUUGAUUUUGGAUAUUGAAAGAAUUAUAACCUUUAAACCUGGUCUGAGGUAAGAUUCCAAUAUAUUUCUACUAUUCGAUCUGGGUUAAGAUUUUGGUUCAAUUAUACUUUACUUUAUUGUCACCUUAGAGGUGAGACUCUAAGCGGUCCAUGGUAAGAAUCUGGGUUUCACUGCAUUUGGCUACAUAUUGCAUUGCAUCAUUAUAUACAACAUAAGACAUGUUAUACUUAUGUUUGAUAAAUUUUAGUACUUUUUUCAUUUUAUCUUUGUUAUGUUGUGGACUUAUAGGUUAGCUUCAUUUUCUUUUCAUGUUAUUCUUAUUAUAUAUUAUCUUCUAAGCUCAUCCGGCCUAUGAUGCCUAAUGAGUAAUUCAUUUUUGGUACUUAUGCUACACUUCUAUAUCUUUUUCUGAUGCAAAUCCUAACCUAAGUCACCCCCUUGAUCCUAGCUUUUAUCGAUAUAGAAUUUGGAACUUGUUAUCCUCAUGAAAUCUUAGACUAAUUAACAGAAUGUACUUACAUAUGGGGUGAAGUGUAAUCCACUUCUAAAAUACAAUUUCAUCAUCAUAAUCAAACAAGGAUUAUCAAGGUUUUUGUGGCUGAAUAAAUAUGUACAAAAUUAGGAUAUGCAGAAAUAAUAUUUUUUUCAGCAAUUGUAUAUAGAAAAAUGCAUAUUUUUUAAAAUGUUCAAAGUGUUCUUACUAAUAGUCAUCAUUGUGUUUAAUUUGAUGGGAUUUGUUAUUUAUGGAUCAAAAUAACAAGCAUUACUUAAUUGGAGGUCAAAAAUACUUAAUUGGAUAUAACAAGAACUGAAAUUGGAAUAACACAAUAAAUCCGGACUAAAAUGCAUUUUUCCUUCUUUUUUUUAUCUAUAUCUAUGUGUUGUCUCUCUACUUUUAAAUUUUUCUGAUUUCUUUUUCUUAUUUCAUUUUUUUCAAGUCAAAUACCAUUAUAGAGGAGUUUUCCUAAAAAAAAUUUGGAAAUUUUAAUUUCGUUUCAGCCUUUUUGACCUAACGUUACCAUGCCACAACUUUGUUUUGGCAAAAUAAAGUAAGAUAAAGUUCAGAAAUAACAAAGUAGGCUCGUUAAUUAAAGACACAUAACAAUCUUUUGCUAAUUACCCUAAAUAGCAACAUGUAUAUGUAUUUUAUGGACAACAGAAUAUCAAAUACACAUACAAAUAUAGUUAAUUACGUUAUUUUUAGGUAAUAACUUGAGUUUAAAAAGUUAAAGAAUUUCAACUUUCUUAAAUCACGUCCACCCAACUAAUUAAAGAUUAAUAGAAGAUUCUAUUUCUAAAAAUCGACAGUUUUUUUAAUGAGUUUCAAAAUUCAAAUAGGUUUGAAUGAUAAUUUUUUUUAUUUUAUUUUUCUAUCUCUUCUUUUUUUUAUCUUUUUCAGUUUUUCCUUCGUUUUUUUCAUUUUUUCUAUUGUUUCAUUUUUUUCUUUGAACCUUUUUUUGUAUUUUUUUCUUUAUUGUUUCAUUUUUUUCCUUUUUGUUCAUUUUUCCACCUCUCCUCUAUAAUGUUUCUUUCUAACAGCAGUUUGACGUGACUCGGGCUUCUUCAUCGCCGUCACUGGCUCAGUAGUGCCGAUGACAGGUAAGUAGACAUUAUCUCUCUCUCCCUCUCCUCCUCUUAGGUUUUCUCUCUUUUCCCCUUUGCCUCUCCCCUAUAUUCGCACUUCUCACUGCUCUCGCCAGUGAGAUAAGUCCCCUUUGACUUGACUCUGGCGACGUAGAUAGUGCAACUCCGGUCACAGGCAAAAAAUUUUGAUGGAUCCAGAUCUGCCCAACCAGAUUUAAUUUCGGCAAUAUUCCGGCAAAGCUCUAGAAAUAAUAUUCCGGCGACCAGUUUUUGCAUCAAUUUAUUGGAAUCUAACAUACUACGCAAGAGAAGAGGACUUGGUCUACAAACGUAACUCGAUGACUUCUAACCUUUGAUAUUUAAUUUCUCUUAUUAUUUCUUGUCUCUUGCCUUCUUUUAAUUUGCGUGAGCCUUCUGUUUCUGACUACUAUUGUUUUUGUUUUGUCUUUGUAUUUUUUACUAGUAGUGGCUUUGGAGGUUGAUAGUUGGAUAGGGUCAUGUUUGAUGGAGUUGGGAUUGGAGGAUGUUUUAGGGGUAAAGAAGAGAGAAGGGCUGGUUUGGGAGUGGGGACAAGGGUUGGUGUUAGGAUAGGUUUGGGGUAUGAAGUGAGAGGUAGUAGAGGUAGACGUGAUGUAAGAGAUAAUAGGUUAAGGGUUGGGUCUUGGAACAUAGGGAACCUUCAGGGUAAGUCCAUAGAGAUUGUGAAGAUUCUUAGAAAGAGGAGGAUCAACAUUACGUGUAUUCAGGAGAACAAGUGGGCAGGGUCUAAGGCUAGGGAUGUGGAUAGGUACAAGCUAUGGUACUCAGGUAGUGAGAGGCAUAGGAAUAGAGUAGGCAUCUGAGUAAAUGAAGAGCUUAAAGGGCAAGUAAUGGAGGUUAAGAGGGUUAGCAAUAGAUUGAUGACUAUUAAGUUGGUCAUUGGGGGGUUUACUCUAAAUGUGUGUAGCAUUUAUGCGCCAUAAGUUGGCUUGGACGUAGAGGAGAAGAACAGGUUUUAGGAGGCUUUGGAUGAGGUGGUGAGAGGUGUGCCUAGCUCUGAUAAGAUUAUGGUAGCAGGAGAUUUCAAUGGGCACAUCGGGGUAUUACCAGGAGGUUAUGGUGAUGUGCAUGGAGUUUUUGGUUUUAGGGAGAGGAACAAAGAGGAAGAUACUCUAUUGGAUUUUGUGAGGGUCUUUGGGAUGGUGGUAAUGAACUCGAGCUUUUUGAAGAAGGAAGAUCACCUGAUUACCUAUUGAAGUGCGAUAGCCAAGACUCGAAUUGACUUUUUUCUACCUAGAAAGGGGGAUAUGGCGCUAUGUAAGGAUUUUAAGGUCAUUCCGAGUGAGAAUCUUUUGACCCAACAUAGGCUUCUGGUGAUGGACAUAGUAAUAAAGAAGGAUAAUAAGAAAAGGGGCGGGGAGGGUCGACCCAGAAUUAAAUGGGGUGGCUUGACGCCGAUAAAUGCACCAAAGAUACGGGAAAAAGUAGCGGUAAUAGCGAUGUGGGAGUAUAGAGGAACAUGGAUGAUAUGUGGGAUAGGGCUGCUAGUUGUAUCAAGGAGAAUGCUAGAGAGGUGUUGGGGGUCUUGAGGGGUCGGGUUGGAUAGCAUCGGGGGGACUGGUGGUGGAAUGAAGAAGUUAAGAAGAAAGUGAAGACUAAGAAGGAGGCGUAUGCUAAGUUGGUUAAGAGUAAGAAUAAAGAGGAGAAACGGGUCAAUAGGAAGGAGUACAAGUUAGCUAGGAAGGAGGCUUAGUUAACAGUGACGACUACUAAGAUGGCAGUGUUUGAGAGCUUGUAUAUGGGGUUAGAGCAAAAGGGUCGUGACCUAUACCAAGUGAAGUACAUUAAGGGAGAUGAUGGUAGAGUACUUGUGGAGGACGUUCAUAUUAAGAGAAGAUGGCAGUCGUAUUUUCAUGAACUCUUGAAUGAGGAGGGGGACAGAGACAUUGUGUUAGGAGAGCUGGAGCACUCAGAGGAGUGUCGUAAUUUCAUUUUUUAUAGACGUUUUAGGAUGAAGAAGGUCAAAGAGUCUAUUAGUAGGAUGCGAAGGGGUAGGGUGAUGGGGCCUGAUGAGAUACUAGUAGAUUUUUGGAAGUUUACUAGCGAGGUUGGUUUAAGGUAGUUGACAGAAUUAUUUAAUAGCAUUUUCAAGAUGAUGAAAAUGCCCGAGGCCUGGAGAUGGAGUACUUUGAUUUCAUUAUAUAAGAACAAGGGGGACAUCCAGAGUUAUAACAACUAUAGGGGUAUUAAGUUGUUGAGUCACACUAUAAAGCUUUGGAAGAGAGUGGUCAAGCGGAGGUUGAGGAGGAUAUUGUCUAUUUCAGAGAAUCAGUUUGGAUAUAUGCCCGAUCACUCGACGACUAAGAAAAUUUACCUGGUGUGGAGACUGGUGGAGCAGUAUAGGAAAAAGAAGAGGGAUUUGCAUAUGGUGUUCAUCGACCUGGAGAAGGCGUACGGCAAGGCCCUUAGAGAGGUUCUUUGGAGAUACUUGGAGGUAAGUGGAGUCCCAGUGGCGUACAUCAGAUUAAUUAAAGACAUGUAUGAUGGAGCAAAGACUUAGGUGAGGACGACAUGUGGAGAUUCAAAGCAUUUACCUAUCUUGACAGGGUUGCAUCAAGGAUCGACUCUUAGCCUAUUUUUAUUUGCAUUGGUGAUGGAUGUGUUGACGCGGCGUAUUCAAGGAAAGGUGCUUUGGUGUAUGCUUUUUACGGAUGAUGUAGUUUCUAUUGAUGAAAUAUGGGGGAGUGAUAAAUUAAAGGUUUGGAGACAAACCCUUAAGUCUAAAGGAUUCAGGUUGAGUAGGGCCAAGACAAAAUAUAUGGAAUGUAAGUUUAGUGACUUGAGGCAGGAGAACGAAGUGGUAGCAAGGUUGGAUUCCAGGUUAUUUGUGAGAAGGACAGUUUUAAGUAUCUCGGGUCUAUGAUUCAGGGGAAUGGAGAGAUUGACAAAGAUGUCUCCCACCAUAUUGGCGCAGGAUAGAUAAAGUAGAGGAUUGCUUCUGGGAUGUUAUGUGAUAAGAAGGUGUCAGCGAAGCUUAAAGUCAAAUUCUAUAGAGUGGCAGUUCAUCCAACCAUGUUGUAUGGAGUAGAGUGUUGGCCUGUCAAGAACUCCCACAUUCAAAAGUUGAAGGUGGCGGAAAUGCGGAUAUUGUGUUUGAUAUGCGGGCUUAAUAAGAGUGAUAAGGUUAGAAAUAAAAUUAUUCGGGAGAAGGUAAGAGUGGCUUCGGUGGAGAACAAGAUACGAAAAAUUAGGUUGAGAUGGUUCGGACAUGUGAUGAGAAGGGGCACAGAUACCCCAGUUUGUAGGUGUGAGAGGCUAGCUUUGGACGGUUUCAGGCGGGGUAAGGGUAGGUCGAAGAAAUACUGAAGAGAGGUGAUUAGAUAUGAGAUGGAACAGCGACAGCUUACCGAGGACAUAACCCUAGAUAGGGAGGUGUGGAGGACGUGAAUUAGGUUAAAAGGCUAGUGCAUGUGGGGGGUCAUAGCCAGUAGUUAGAAGAGCUUUGGGGUAGCUGGGCUGGUAGUCUUAGAUCUAUCUUCAAAGGUUGGAGAUGAUAGUAAGAGGGUAGGGGGUGCCUUGGUUCAUCAGUGUAGAGUUUUACUUUGUGGGUGUCUUAUUUCUGCUAUUUCUUCUUGUUUCAUGCGUUAUUACGACUUUGAUUAUUAUUCUUUGUAUUAAGCCAGAGGUCUACCGAAAACAGUCUCUCUACUUCUCCGGAGGUAGUGGUAUGAACUACAUGUAUUUCACCAUCCCCAGACCCUACUAUGUGGGAAUACACUGGGUUUGUUAUUGUUGUUUUUUCAUGUAUUUUCUUCUCGUUCUUUUGUUUUGGUUGUUGUAGUUUAUAAUUAUAUAUUUUUUUAUAUUUUAUACUUAUUUGUAUCAAAUUAUAUAUUUUAAAUUAACUAUUUAUAUUCUAAUAGUUAGUCGUGAAUAUGUACAAUUUAUUAUUUGUAUUUGUAUACAAACAAGUAUAUGUAUUUGUUGUAUUUGCUUAAGUCUAAAAUAUAUAAAUACAUAUGCAAUGGAUCAUUAAUACAAAUGUAUCGUUAGUAUUUGUAUGUCAAAUUUAGCAUUUGUGUUUAUAUAUAUAAAUAUGUAUCAUUUGUAUACGUAUGAUUCAAGUUGUAUAAACAUGAAUCAUUUGAUACAAAUCUAUAUUUUGCAUUUGUACAAUUUAUUAUUUAUAUUUGUUCAAUUUGUAUCAAUAAAUACAAUUUGGAUUAAUCAAUAUAAAUACAAGUGUUCAAAGAAAGAAAAAUAACAAAUCUUUUUCACUUGUUUAAAAAUAAAAAUGAUGCAGUCAAUUACAAAUUCAAAUAUAAAUAACCAAAAUUACAAAUGCAAAUAUAAAUUAAUUCUUUAAAAGUACAAAUGUAUCGAUGAAAAUAGAAUAUAAAUAUAAAUAUAAAUAUAAAUAUAAAUAUAAAUAUAAAUAAAAUAAAAUCAAAAAAUACAAAUAGAAUAUGCAGUCAACUACAAAUACAAAUGUAAAAUAAUUUUUUAAAUAAAGGUGUCAAUUGUACAAAAUAUAAAUAAUGGUGCGAACUAUAAAAUACAAAUACAAGUAUGAACUAUAAAAUACAUACAAAUAUAAGUGUGAACCAUAAAAUACAAAUAUAAAUGUAUCAAUGAAUACAAAAAUAUAAAGAAUACAAAUACAAAAAAACAAUUAUGAUAUUUUCAUUAUCAUUUAUAUGUUGUGAUCGAUGUAUCUAUAUUUUUAAAAAAUAAAAAUAUAAAAUAGAACAAAAAAUAAAGAAUAUAUAUAUAUAUAUAUAUAUAUAUAUAUAUAUAUAAGAGAAAUGAAAAAAGAAAAAAGAAGAAGAAAGGAAAGUAGAAGCAAGAUAUAGAAAAGUAAAAAUAAAUUGAAAAGAAAGAAAUUAAAAAAAAACUAAAAUAAAAAAAAUAAAAAUAGGAAAAUAAAAAGAUAAAAAAAAUUAAAAACAGAAAAAAAAUAAAAGCAAGAUAUAGAAGAGUAAAAAAACAAUAAGAAAGAAAGAAAAAAACAAAAAUAGGAAAAGAAAAAGAAAAAAAGAAAAAUAAAAAAAUAAAAAUAGAAACUAGAGAUAAAAGAGGAAAAAGGCGAAAAGAAAGAGAAAAAAAACAAAAGUAGAAAAAGAAAAAAAUGAGAAAGAAAAAAAGGUGAAAAAGAAAAAUCAAUAAAGAAAAAAAGGAAAAGGGAAAAAAAGAAAGAGAAAUAUAAAUUGGAAAUAGAAGAGAGAGAAAAAAUGAAAAAAAUUGAAUAAGAAAAAAAUCAAAAGAGAAAAAAUAAAAUAAUUCUUUAAAAGUACAAGUAUAUCGAUGAAAAUAGAAUAGAAAUAUAAAUAGAAACAAAACAAAAUCAAAAAAUACAAUAUGUAGUUAACUAUAAAUACAAAUAUAAAAUAAUUCUUUAACUACAAGUGCGAAUUGUAUAAAAUAUAGUAGUUUCAUGAGGCCUAUGCUAAGCCCGGGUCCAAACUUAAAGUAUAAAAAUAAUAAUUUAUAUCAUAAAUUUUUUUACUUUAUAAUCAGUAUAUCUAAAGAUCUGCUUAACAAGUCUUAUUGAUAAGUUUUCAUAAUUAUUAGAGUUUUUAAUCACAAAAUUUGAUAAUUUUAAAUAAAAAAUAUUAUUUAUGAAGCUAAAAAUAUUAACAGAGAAUUAGAAUAUAUCAAAAAACUUCAAGUAAUUCAAUAUUUUAUAUAAUGACAUAAUUUAAAAUAGAGUAAAACAUCUAGUACCCUCUCGAACUAUGGCCAAAGUUGCUAUGAUACAGUGCAACUUCACAGGGAUCAUAUUACCCCUGAACUCAAUUUUAGUGUAUUUUUAUCACCCUUUUUAGCUGACGUGACACCUUUGAUGUGGGCUCCAUUUUUAUGUAAUAAAGGUGUCAUGUCAGCACAAAAGAGUGACAAAAAUACGCUAAAAUUGAGUUCGGGGGAGGGGGUAAUAGCACUCAUGUGGAUUUGUAGUGUGUCGUAGCAACUCUGACCAUAGUUCGGAAGUACUAAAUGCUUAUCUCUUUAAAAUAUUUAAUAAUUAGAUUUAGAUGAAGAUCAUAAAUAGAAAAAGAUAUUGAUAUUUUUAUAAAAUUUGCAAGUAUUUGUUUUCUUAGUUAUAGCUAAAAAUAAAUUUAUUUUGAUAUUUAUUGAGUUUUAAUAACUACAUUAUUACACUGAAAGCAAAACAUACGGCUCUCUCUCUCCAACGGCUCUCUCCCCCUCUCUCCUUGUUUUCUUAGUUAUAGCUAAAAAUAAAUUUAUUUUGAUAUUUAUUGAGUUUUAAUAACUACAUUAUUACACUGAAAGCAAAACAUACGGCUCUCUCUCUCCAACGGCUCUCUCCCCCUCUCUCCCCCUCUCUCUCUCGCCCGACCCUCUCCCCACCCCCAGCUUACCGGCCCCGGUUCCCGGCGCCGUCGCCGACCCGAUCCGGCCGCCGGCUCCGACCGACGGUCGCCGGCGCUGAUCAGAUCGCCGGCUACGGCCUCCGGUCGCCGGUUCUCCUUCUCCCUCUCUCUCUCUCUCUCUACCCCCCUCUCCAUCCCAAGCGUACCGGCCCGGUCCCCGGCGCCGUCGCUGAACGUCGGAGCCGACCAGAUCCGACCGCCGGCUCCGACCUCCGGUCGUCGCUCCCCGGCGCCGACCCGACUGGACCGCCGGUCGUCGCUCUCCGNNNNNNNNNNNNNNNNNNNNNNNNNNNNNNNNNNNNNNNNNNNNNNNNNNNNNNNNNNNNNNNNNNNNNNNNNNNNNNNNNNNNNNNNNNNNNNNNNNNNNNNNNNNNNNNNNNNNNNNNNNNNNNNNNNNNNNNNNNNNNNNNNNNNNNNNNNNNNNNNNNNNNNNNNNNNNNNNNNNNNNNNNNNNNNNNNNNNNNNNNNNNNNNNNNNNNNNNNNNNNNNNNNNNNNNNNNNNNNNNNNNNNNNNNNNNNNNNNNNNNNNNNNNNNNNNNNNNNNNNNNNNNNNNNNNNNNNNNNNNNNNNNNNNNNNNNNNNNNNNNNNNNNNNNNNNNNNNNNNNNNNNNNNNAAAACAACAAGUACUUUGAAUAUUAGUUGACAGAAAUGGUAAUCUAGUCUGUUUAGCACCAGGACAUAUGCUACACUGCUUUAUUCUAUCUUCUAUCACUUGUACUUCUUAACCUACAAUCCUCUUUAACACUCCAGUUGAAGCAUAUCCCAACCUUUGGUGCCACAAAUCCACUUCAGCUUGUGUCUUGUCCAUAGUCACUUCAGUAGUUGCUUUAGUUACUGCUGCAACUUCAUUCUUUGGCUGAUCUUCAAGUAGAUAUAAGCCUUCAUCAAGUUUCCCCAUCCCCUUCACUUUUUCAGUAUAAAGAUCCUGGAAAACACAGAAAUCUGGGAAGAAGUUCACUGAACAAUGCCAUUCCUUUGUCACUUGUGAUACUGAUAGAAGACUACAUGAAAACCGUGGGAUAUGAUAGACAUUUGUUAUGGUGUUUAUAUUUGAUAGACAACUGGUUCCCACAUGUGUGACCAUGGUAGUAUCACCAUUUGGUAGGUACACUUUCUUUGGAUUUUGUAAUUCUAUAGCUGUCUUGUUAAGUAACAACUCUGAAUUACCAACCAUAUGAUUAGUAGCACCUGUAUCCAUAAUCCAUUUCUGUGAACCAAAAGAAGCUAAACAAGCAGAAGUACCUGCACUUGUUACAUUUGCAGACUCAGUAGAUGUGUUAAUAGUGUUGUUCUUGUUUAUCAGUUGUAAGAUUUUCUCAUAUUUUCCUUGGUGAAUGCUGUAUUUCCAAUCUGACUUAGUUGAGCCAACUGAUUAUCUGCACUUAUUGAUUGUCCUGCAUCUUUAGUAUAACAACCCAUUUGAUCAACUGCAUAUUCAUAAGACUCCAAGGCUACAUUAUAAGUUGUGUUAGAUCCUUCAUGCCUGAGCUUCUUUUUAGCCUUAUAAUCUUGAGGAUAACCAACCAACUUCCAACAGUUUUCUUUGGUAUGCCCCUUGAGUUUACGGAAAUCACACUGCACUUGCACAUUUCUUUUGUAUUUGUGACCUUGGCUUCCACCUACUCCAUUUCUCGCAUACAUGACUUGUUAAAGAUUGUUGCCUAUACUUGUAGGUUCAUGCCCAGAAUUCCUACCUGACUUGCAAUAGAUUUGUGGCUUUUAUCACUUAUUACCAUUGCAUAAGCUUGGUUAAUAGUUGGGAGAGGGGUCAUAAGUAAGAUUUGGCUCCUUGCUUGUGUGUAGGACUCAUUCAGACCCAUAAGAAACUGGAACUUCAGUUUUUGCAGAUGUAAGAGACACUCCUUUGAUUUAUCACAAUUACAUCCAGGUGCUGGCACAAGAGCUUCAAACUCUUCCCACAAAUCUUUGAGUUUGGAGAAAUACACAGAUACUGAGGCUGUACCUUGAGACAAUGUAGCAAUCUCCUUGUGCAGAUUGAAUGUUCUGGCCCCAUCCACCUUGUUAAACCUUUCAAAUAGUUCAUUCCAGACAACAUUAGCCACAGAUGCAUACAUAAUUCCACCAAGCAACUCUUUAGAAACAGAGUUCAUGAUCCAUGACAGAACAAUUGCAUUUACUCUCUUCCAGUGAUUGCUUAGUUCAGUAGAGAACUUGUCUUUAGAGCAUGUUCUAUCCUCCAUAUCCAACUUGUUCCUCCCUAGUAAAGCUAUACACAUUGAUCUAAACUAGAUUGAGAAAUUCUCAACUCCUGUUAACUGGAAGGAGAUGAUUCGUAUGCCACUCACAUCAGAGGGACUAAGAAAGAGAGGAUGAUUGUAAUCCAAUGUUCUUGGAGUAAAUCCUGGAAGCCUCACCAGAAUCUACAACAGCAUUUUGAUUCACCAUUGUUGCAGAUUAGCAGUUCUUGAUUUUGCUGUGAAGCAACUAAUACACCAGAAUCGAUCUUGCUCUACUAGUUUUCUAGUGAGUAGUGCUCUGAUACCAUGUCAUUACAGUAAUUGAGAAUGAAGAACAAAUUAGGAAGAAGAAGAAGAAGAAGCAAGAGAUAAAGAAGAAGGAGAGAUUAUUAGAGAAGGAGUAAUUUUGUUGUAUUUCAUCAUCAAGCAAUGUACAUAGGCAUCUAUAUUUAUAGACUUGUGAAUGUACUAACUAACUAACUAGCCAUUAGUAGCCUUUGAGUAACUACCUAUUAGACAGUUGUAACAGAAUUUUGAACUAGUCUACUUUUGUCUCUUCUCUGUUCUGUUUCCUCUUCAUAUUUAACAAUACUUCAACACUGCUCCACUCUUCUCUUCAUACUUCAACACAGGACUUGUCCGAGGAUGACAUGUGCAUUUCUUUUUGGCUAAAUGCUGGCAUAUGUUUGGGAUUUGGCUAGAGACAUGACUUGUUACUUGAUUAUAUUUGUGGCAUGCUGUGAAAUCAAUGCGCAACAAUGUAUUGGAAGGGAAAAGAGAUUUAGAUAAAGGAGGCUUGAAACAAAAAUGCCUACCGUAUGAUCUGAUUUUUUCAUAGUCAAUCUAACAUCCUAUUUCAAUGAAUCCUUCUUCUUAAGCAAAGUCAAGCCAGUCUCAUAUGAUUUUGAUGGCAUGUGAAGUACUAAAGUCUAAAGGUGAAUUUAUUCUUCAGUGUCUUUGCACUUUAAAUCUAGCUAGUAUUUUAUCAAUCCUCUUCUCUGUCCAGAGCUAGUUAGUAAGACUGAUAACAUUUGUCUAUGACAUUUUUACUUUGUCUUAUAGUGGUCUUAAUCAAGAAAUGAAAUCUAAAUCUUUCUCUACCUAGAAUAUAUAAAAACUUCUCUAAGUGUUGUUCUCCUGACUGCGGUGAAAUUCUUAAGUGCUUCUAGAUUAGGCUGCCAGUUCUUAGAAAUGGUAGAACCUCUGACUUCGUUUAUGCUGGCUGGUCUUUCCAGAUCCUGGACUGCUUAUUGGGACACAAUGAAGUGCUAUUCAGACGUGCUCAGCUGAAAGCCCUUGUUUCUAUUCAUGGCCAAGAGGUUUGAAUUGUAUCUUGAUUUAAUGGAGUAAUUUGAAUGUCUAGCUAGUUGUUACCAAGCUACAAGUUCCUUGGGCAUUUCAUAAACCAUGAUUCACUAUUGAGAAUUUUUGGCAGGCUGGCAAGGGUGGUGAACUUACACAUGAUGAAACAACAAUAAUUAGUGGAGCACUGGAUUUGACUGAGAAGGUAGUGUAUUUCUGACAUAUUCAAUAUGUCAGUAUCUGAGCCUGUAGUUUCUUCAACCCUCUAGUCUCUACUUUCCCUCUCUCUUUUAGACAGGAUGCUGUAAUAAUCAUCUUCUCAUUUGUUCUUUAUUCUUCUUGUCUUAUUGAUAGACUGCUGAGGAGGCAAUGACGCCCAUUGAGUCAACAUUUUCAUUGGAUGUCAAUUCAAAGCUGGACUGGUGAGUGUUGGGCAUUUAGUCUGCAAUGCUCUUAACUUAUCAAACUUAGUCUUCUGCUCUUCGAAUCCUGUGAAGUGUCAUAUCAGAUAAUGGGUUUCCAAGGAAAGUAUCUAUGUUAUGUCAUCUGCUUCUGUGUUGUACUAUGUGUUUGUUUGAUAUCUCGUAACUUGAGCCGGGGGUCUUUCGGAAACAGCCUUUCUACUUCAUCAGAGGUAGAGGUAUGGACUGCGUACAUCUUACCCCCCCCAGACCCCACAAAGUGGGAAUACACUGGGUUUGUUGUUGUUGUUGUAUUGAGUUUUAAUUUUCCUCAUAAUUUUAGUGUCAAUAAUUUUUUCUAAUUGCGUUUUUUUCUUCUUAUCAAAUCAUCUGGAAAAAAAGUCAAUGCUUUCAAAUGAUAUUAUAGCUAUAAUAAUUAUAACUUCAAUUAAGAGUUUUUAUAUAAAUUAAUUUAAUAAGAAUAUAUAAGGAUAUCAAAUGAUAAGUAAACUAAAUUAUUAGCUUGCUCCAUUCGGUCUAUUUACUUAUUAUGUUUAUUUUUUACAUGCCCCUUACAAGAAUAACCUAUUCAUCUUAUUUUAAUUAUUGUUUUAUACUUUUUCAUGUUCACUAUGAGAAACAAUAAAUAUAAGAUAUUAUUUAUUAUACUAUAAUAUAAAAAAUAACUAUGAAGCUAUAGUUGAAAUCAUUGAAAACUUUAAUUUUGUAAGAAAAGUUAGCUUGAAUAUUGUUGAUUUAAAAUGAAAGGAGUUUUAAUUAAAUAGUAAUCUAACAUGUGGCAAGAAGAAAUCAAUUAUAAAAACCCAAGUGCAAUGAUCUUAACAAAAAGAAUAAGGGCGAAAAUAAAUGUAAUUAAAAAACACCAUUAAUUAUCAUGUGUAGUAAUUUUAUUUCACCAAAAAAUUAAAAUAUCAAAAAAGCCCUUACGAAAGCUACCAAAAUCUCAAGAUCCUUUAUGUUUUAGUGGUAAAAAAAGUAUUGGCUUCAAAAGUUGUUCAACUUUUAUCGUAUUAUUUUUCAAAAGAUAAUUUGACUUAUUCUAAAGCUAAACUAUGUUAUAUUAAUUCAAUAAAAUUAGAAAUUAGAUAUUCGAAACUAUAUGAAAAACAAAUACCAUAAAUUGCAAUGAUUAUACCAACAUAAUAAUAUUUUUUCUUUAAAAUAUUGAUUAAAAUUCAUAUAAUUUGAUCUUCAAAAGUGAAAUGUGACAAAUAUUUUAAGAUGAAGAAGAAAAUAAUUUAAUAAAACCAAAAAGAAAUUCAACCAAUUACAAAGGUUCAUGUGGAAAAUCUUAAAAGGAGAAUUGUGAAAAAACAAUGCCACAUGUAAGACUUUCAUACCAUAAAUUUUAAUGUGAGUACUACCAAAAUUUUUGUUCUCUCUUAUAUAUUGUAUAAAAAUGAUAGUGCAAACUAUAAAAUACAAAUCCAAGUACGAAUUAUAAAAUAUGUACAAAUAUAAAUGUGAACUAUAAAAUACAAAUACAAUUAUAUCAAUGAAUACAAAAAUAUAACAAAUACAAAUAUAAUAGAUAAUUAUGAUAUUUUUAUUAUCAUCUAUGGCUUGUGAUCGACGUAGCCAUAUUUUUCAAAAAUAUAAAAUAGAACAAAAAGUAGACGAGAAAGAAAAAAAAAAAAUAUAUAUAUAUAUAAAAAAGAGAAACAAAAAAAAAAAGAAAGAGAAGUAGAAUCUAGUUAUAGAAAAGUAAAAAUAAAAUGAAAAGAAACAAAUAAAAAAACAAAAAUAGAAAAAAAUGAAAAAUUAUAAUAGUAAAAAAAAUAUAACCUAGAUAUAGAAAAUUAAAAAAAAAGAUAAGAAAGAUACCAAAAAAUAAAAAUAGGAAAAGAUAAAGGAAAAAAAUAAAACUAGAAGCUAGAGAUAGAAGAGUAAAAAAGUAAUAAAAAGGAAAAAAAUGAAAAAUGAAAAAAGAAAAAAAAAUCAAAAUAGAAAUUAAAAAUAAAAGAGACCAAAAAAGUUAUAAAAUUGAAAAAGUAAAAACAUCAAAAUCAAAAAAAAAAAAAACUAAAAAGAAAAAAAAGUGAAAAUGAAAAAGGAAAAAAGAAAGAGAAAAAAAGGUUAGAGAUAUAACAGAAAGAAAGAGAAAAAAAUUAGUGAGAAUAAAAAGGACUAAAAUAUUAUAUUACUUUGCUAUUUUAUUUAUUUCUUUCAAUAAUAAUACUAUUUAACUUAGUUAUAAACUUAUGUUUGCUAGUCUAUUUAUUUUUAGAGUUGUCAAUAUGGAUCGGCUCAGUCCAGCCAGGCUAGCCCACAUGGACUUUGAGUUUGAGGGGUCAGGCUGGGCUGACCCAUCAAAAUAAUGGGCCAAAAUACACCAAGCCCACACCAUUACUCUGUGGAUUGUGGGCCUCACGGGCCAGCCCACUUUUCUAAAAAAUAAUAUUUUAUAAUUUAAUUUUAAAUUAUUAAUAAACAUAAAUAUUACCAGAUAAUAUUACAUAGUGUUAAUACUUGUUAAUCAAGUCUCCAACAUCCCAAAAAAUACUCCUAAUAGUGAAAUUAAAUAACUUUUGACAUGAUAUCCUUCGAAUCAAAUAAAAAUAUUAAUAAGCAAUCUAAAUAGUUACAUGUAUUUGACAUACGGGCCGGCCUACGGGUUAGCCCAACCCACAUUACUCAAGCUCCACGGGCCACGAACUUAUUCGAGUUGGGCUAAAAAGCCCUGUUCUUAAAUGGGCUGCAAAAACUGAAGCCCAACUCCAUCAAAUUACAGGUCAAGUCGGGUCGGCCUAACGAGCCUCACCCAUAUUGAUGAGGAAAUUACAUGUGAAUCUCAAAAAUAGACUCAAAUUGUGGUGGCUUUCAAAUUUUAGCCCCAAAUAAAAUUAUUUUUUUUAAAAUAGCCUUUACCUAUUAACUAAUAUUUUUUUGAACGAAAUUAUCCCUGAUCAAUGAAGUAAAUUACAUAAAUGAUCCUCAUAAUGGAUAACAACUCCAUAUUUAUAUCUUUCAAUUAUUUCUUCUCUUUUUAAUUUUACUUUGAUUUUUAUUUUUUAUUUUCUCUUUUUAUUUUUAAUUUUCUCAAUCAUUACUUUUUUCCCUUUUUCCUCUCAACUUCUUUUUUUUUUUCUUUUAUAUUAUUUUGAUUUUGUUAUUUUUUCUUUCCUCUUUUUUUUUUUUUUAAUUUUUUUAGUUUUUCUCAAUCCUUACUUUUUCUCUUUACACCUCUCAACGUCUACUUUUGUAAAAAAGAAAAACUUUUAUUUUUUUAAAAAAAAAAUUCUCGACCUUUAUUUUUAUUUUUAUUUUUUUAUUUUUAUCAAUCUUUAUUUUUUCCUAUUCUCUCUCAACUUCUAUAUUUUCUUUAAUUUUUAUUUUUUUAAUAUAUUUUUUUUAAUAUAAUUUUUAUUAUUUUUGUUCUUUUCUUCGAUUUCUUCCAUUCAAGUUAUAUCACAUGAGCAAAAGUUGACACCAUCAAAUUAUAAAGGUAAGACUUAUGACUUUCGAACAACAAAUUACGUUUCAUGGACAAGAGUUGACCCUACUAUUUUGUAAAGGCAAAACUUAUGACUUUCAAACAACAAGUUAUGUUUCAUGGGCAAGAGUUGACACUACCACAUUGUAUUUUGAUUUAUGAGAUGUUUUAUAACUCUUACCUUAGAAGCAAGACUUAGCUCAGGGACUUUCAAACAACAAAUUAUACCCCACGGGCAAGAGUUGACUCUACUACGUUAUGUUUCCAAUUAUGAGAUGUUCUACAACUAUCACUUUAGAGUCAAGACUUAGCUGAAGGACUUUUAAACUAUAAAUUAUGCCCCACAGGUAAGAGUUGACUCUAUCACGUUAUAUUUUCAUUUAUGAGAUGUUCUACAACUAUUGCCUUAGAAGCAACACUUAGCUCAAAGACUUUAAUUUCAAACUACAAAUUAUGCCUCACGGGCAAGAGUUGACUCUACCACGUUAUGUUUUUAUUUAUGAGAUAUUUUAUAAUUCUUACCUUUGAGGCAAGACUUAGCUCAAGGACUUUCAAACAAUAAAUUAUUCCCCAUGGGCAAGAGUUGACUCUCCCAUGUUAUGUUUUCAUUUAUGAGAUGUUCUACAACUAUUGCCUUAGAGGCAAGACUUAGCUCAAGGACUUUCAAACUACAAAUUAUGCCCCACGGGCAAGAGUUGACUCUACCACGUUAUAUUUUUAUUUAUGAGAUGUUCUACAACUAUUGCCUCGGAGGUAAGACUUAGCUCAAGAACUUUCAAACUAGAAAUUAUGUCUCACGGACAAGAGUUGACUCUACCACGUUAUAUUUUCAUUUAUGAGAUGUUCCACAACUAUUGCCUUAGAGGCAAACUUAAUUCAAGGACUUUUAAACAACAAAUUAUGCCCCAUGGGCAACAGUUGACUCUACCACGUUAUAUUUUCAUUUAUGAGAGGUUCUACAACUAUUGUCUUAGAGGUAAGACUUAGCUCAAGGAAUUUCAAACUACAAAUUAUGCCCCACGGGCAAUAGUUAACUCUACCACGUUAUGUUUUUAUUUAUGAGAUGUUUUACAACUAUUGCCUUAGAGGCAAGACUUGGUUCAAGGACUUUCAAACUACAAAUUAUGCCCCACGGAUAAGAGUUGACUUUACCAUGUUAUGUUUUCAUUUUUGAGAUGUUCUACAACUAUUGUCUUAGAGAAAAAACUUUGCUCAAGGACUUUCAAACUACAAAUUAUGCCCCACGGAUAAGAGUUGACUUUACCACGUUAUGUUUUCAUGCUCUUAAAUUUGCUUUUAUGUCAAAAAAAGAAGAUUCCUUUGCGGAUUAUUUAAUUUUUUAUUUAUUAGCAAAAUAAAAUAGAAGUUGAGAAAAAAGAAAAAAAACGAUCAAACAAAAUAGAGAAAUAAAAAAAUGAGAAAAAAAUAAAGAUUAAGAAAAAAAUGAAGAAUUAAAAAAAUGAGAAAAAUAAAAAUGAGAGGAAAAAAAAUAAAGUUUGAAAAAAUGAAGGAAAAAAAGAGAAAUGAUAAAAACCAAAAAGAAAAAAAAAUAAAGGUUGAGACAAAUGAAUUAAAAAAAAUGAAGAAAUAGAUAAUGUUUGAGAAAAAGGGAAAAAGAGAAUAAAAUAAAGGUUGAUACAAAUGAAUUAAAACAUGAAAAUAAAAUUAAAGAAAAAAUAAAAAAAGUGAAUGAUAAAAAUAAAAAUAGAAUUUGAGAGAAAAAUGAGUAUGAAAAGUAAAAAAAUAUUUGAGGUGUAAAGGACAAAAUUGUACUUGUACUAUACUAAAAAGGAAGAAAUAGAUAAUGCUUGAGAAAAAAAAAGAGGAAAAAAAAUAAAGGUUGAGACAAAUAAAUUAAGACAUGAAAAUAAAAUUAAAGGAAAAAGGUGAAAAUAAUAAAAAAUAGAACAUAAAAGACAAAUGAUUAUGGAAAGUUUAAAAAUAUUUGAGAUGUAGAGGGGUAUUUGAGAAAAGACAGGAAAAAAAAAGAGAUAUAAUAAAAACAAAAAAUAAAGGUUAAAGAUGAAUGAAUUUAAAAAAAGGAAAAAAAAUAAAGAAAUAGAUAAUGCUUGGGGAAAAAAGAGAGAAAAAAAUAAAGAUUGAGACAAAUGAAUUAAAACAUGAAAAUAAAAUUAAAGAAAAAUAAAAAAGUAAAAAUAAUAAAAAAUAGAAUUUAAGAGACAAAUAAGUAUGAAAAGUUUAAAAAUAUAUUUCAGGUGUAGAUGGGCAAAAUUGUACUUGUACAGUACUUAAAAAAGAAGGAAGACAACUUUUCAAAGAUUUUUCUUAUUGAGGUCAAAAAUCUAAAGUCACCCACAUUUAGGUUAGAUUUUUGACCCCAAUAAGAAAAGUUUUUAAAAACUAGUCUUCCUUCCUUUUUAAGUACUGUACAAGUACAAUUUUGCCCAUCCACACCUCAAAUAUAUUUUUAAACUUUCUGUACUCAUUUGUUUCUUAAAUUCUAUUUUUCAUUAUUUUUCACUCUUUUUAUUUUUUCUUUAAUUUUAUUUUCAUUUUUUAAUUCAUUUAUCUCAAUCUUUAUUUUUUUUUCUCUCUUUUUUCCCCAAGCAUUAUCUAUUUCUUCUUUUUUUUUCUUUUUUUUUUAAAAUUCAUUUGUCUUUAACCUUUAUUUUUAGUUUUUAUUAUUUCUCUUCUUUUUUUAUUGUUUUUUCUCAAAUACCCCUCUACAUCUCAAAUAAUUUUAACACCAACAACAAACCCAGUAGAUUCCCACAUCGUGAGGUCUGGGGAGGGUAGAGUGUACGCAGACCAUACCACUACCUCUAACAAAGUAGAGAGGUAUCUCAAAUAUUUUUAAAAUUUCCAUAAUCAUUUGUUUCUCAAAGUCUAUUUUUUAUUAUUUUCACUUUUUUUAAAAAUUUAUUUUCAUGUUUUAAUUUAUUUGUCUCAACCUUUAUUUUUUUCCUCUUUUUUUUUUCUCAAGCAUUAUCUAUUUCUUCCUUUUUAGUAUAGUACAAGUACAAUUUUGUCCUUUACACCUCAAAUAUUUUUUAACUUUUAAUGUUCAUUUGUCUCUCAAAUUCUGUUUUUAUUUUUAUUAUUCAUUUUUUUUAUUUUUUCUUUAAUUGUAUUUUCAAUGUUUUAACUAAUUUGUCUCAACCUUUAUUUUUUUCUCUUUUUUCUCAAACAUUAUUUAUUUCUUCAUUUUAAAAAAAAAAAUCAUUUGUUUCAACCUUUAUUUUGGAGUUUUAUCAUUUUUCUUGUUUUUCCUCAUUUUUUUCAAACUUUAUUUUUAUUUUUUCCUCUCAUUUUUAUUUUUCUCAAUUUUUUAAUUCUUCGCUUUUUUCUUAAUCUUUAUUUUUUCUUACCUUUUUUUUCUUUAUCUUUUUAGUUAUUUCUUUAUUUUGUUUGAUCGUUUUUUUCUUUUUUCUGAACUUCUAUUUUAUUUUGCUAAUAAAUAGAAAAUUGGAUAAUCUGCAAAGGAAUAUUCCUUUUUUGACAUCAAAGCAAAUUUAAGGGCAUAAAAACAUAACGUGGUAGAGUCAACUCUUACCCGUGGGGCAUAAUUUGGAGUUUGAAAGUCCUUGAACCAAGUCUUGCUUCUAAGGCAAUAGUGGUAGAACAUCUCAUAAAUGAAAACAUAACAUGGUAAAGUCAACUCUUGCCCGUGGGGCAUAAUUUGGAGUUUGAAAGUCCUUGAACCAAGUCUUGCUUCUAAGGCAAUAGUGGUAGAACAUCUCAUAAAUGAAAACAUAACGUGGUAGAGUUAACUAUUACCCGCGGGGCAUAAUUUGUAAUUUGAAAGUCCUUGACCCAAGUCUUGCCUCUAAGGCAAUAGUUGUAGAACCUCUCAUAAAUGAAAACACAACGUGGUAGAGUCAACUCUUGCCCAUGGGAAAUAAUUUGUUGUUUGAAAGUUCUUGAGCUAAGUCUUGCCUCUAAAGUAAGAAUUAUAAAACAUCUCAUAAAUGAAAACAUAACGUAGUAGAAUCAACUCUUACCCGUGAGGCAUAGUUUAUAGUUUGGAAUUAAAGUCCUUGAGCUAAGUCUUGCCUCUAAGGCAAUAGUUGUAGAACAUCUCAUAAAUGAAAACAUAACGUGGUAGAGUCAACUCUUACCCGUGAGGCACAAUUUGUAGUUUUAAAAGUCCUUCAGCCAAGUAUUGCCUCUAAGGCAAUAGUUGUAGAACAUCUCAUAACUAAAAACAUAACGUGGUAGAGUCAACUCUUAUCCGUAGGGCAUAAUUUAUAGUUUGAAAGUCCUUGAGCUAAGUCUUACCUCCGAGGCAAUAGUUGUAGAACAUCUGAUAAAUAAAAACAUAAUGUGGUAGAGUCAACUCUUGCCCGUGAGGUAUAAUUUGUAGUUUGAAAGUCUUUGAGCUAAGUUUUGCCUCUAAGGAAAUAGUUGUAGAACAUCUCAUAAAUGAAAACAUAACGUGGUAGAGUCAACUCUUGCCUAUGUGGAAUGAUUUGUUGUUUGAAAGUCCUUGAGCUAAGUCUUGCCUCUAAGGUAAGAAUUAUUAAACAUCUCAUAAAUGAAAACAUAACGCGGUAGAGUCAACUCUUGCCCCUAAGACAUAAUUUGUAGUUUGAAAUUAAAGUCCUUAAGCUAAGUCAUGCCUUUAAGACAAUACUUGUAGAAUAUCUCAUAAAUAAAAAUAUAACAUGGUAGAGUCAACUCUUACCCGUGGUGCAUAAUUUAUAGUUUAAAAGUCCUUUAGCUAAGUUUUGCCUCUAAGACAAUAGUUGUAGAACAUCUCAUAAAUGAAAAUAUAACGUAGUAAAGUCAACUUUUGGCCGUGGGGUAUAAUUUGUUGUUUGAAAGUCUCUGAACUAAGUCUUGCCUCUAAGGUAAGAGUUAUAAAACAUCUCAUAAAUCAAAAUAUAAUGUGGUAGUGUCAACUCUUGCCCAUGAAACAUAACUUGUUGUUUGCAAGUCAUAAGUUUUUCCUCUACAAUAUAGUAGUAUCGACUGUUGCCCAUGAAACGUAGCUUGUUGUUCAAAAGUCAUAAGUCUUGCCUUUAUAAUGUGAUAGUGUCAACUCUUGUUCAUGAGACGUAACUUGAAUAGAAGAAAUCGAAGAAAAGAACAAAAAUAAUAAAAAUUGCGAAAAAAAAGAAAAAUAUUUAAAAAUUAAAAAUCAAAUAAAAUGUAGAAGUUGAGAGAGAAUAGAAAAAAAUAAAUAUUGAUAAAGAAAAAAAAAGGUCGAGAAAAAUUUAAAAAGAAAAAAAGAACUGAAAAGAACAAAAAAAAAGGAAAGAAAAAAUAAAAAAUCAAAAUAAUAUAAAAUAAAAAAGAAAAAAAAGAAGUUGACAGUUAAAAAGGAAAAAAGAAAGGAUUGAGAAAAUUAAAAAUAAAAAUCAAAGUAAAAUUAAAAAGAGAAAAAAAGAAGUUGAAAGAUAUAAAUAUGAAGUUGUUAUCCAUAAUGACAACGGAAAAUGCUCAAAAAUAUCCCUGAACUAUUCAAAAUAGCUCAAAAUACCCCUCCGUUAAAUAUUUCAGUCAAAAAUAUCCCUUCAUCUGACGGAAUUCGGAAAAAAUCAAAAAUACCCUUGAACUAUCUGAAAUGGGUCAAAAAUUCCCCUCUGUUAAAUAUUUGGCUAAAAAAAUAUCCCUCCCUUAACGAAAUUAAAUUAUUUCGACUAUUUCGUUAAUUUAUAUAAAGUUCAUCAUUAAUUUAUAUUUCAUUAAUUUCUUUAAGUGAAAAUUUAUAUUUCGUUAAUUUCUUUAAAGAAUAAAAAGAUGCAAAGUGAAAAUACCUUUUUAGAAUAAAUGUAUAUUUAUUUUCCAAAUCAAAUUCAACCAUUUUAUAUUAUAAUUCAAAUACUUUUUUUCAUUAUCUUAUUUUUAAAAUUAAAAAAAUACUUUUAUGUAAAAAAAUUAAAGUAUUAGGUUAAAAAGUUAAAGUUAGGGUUUAAUUCAAUCGAAAUAAUUUAAUUUCGUUAAGGGGAGGGGUAUUUUUGAGCCAAAUAUUUAAUCGAGGGGUAUUUUUGAUCCAUUUCAGAUAGUUCAGGGGUAUUUUUGAUCCUUUUCCGAAUUUUGUUAGAGGGAGGGGUAUUUUUAAGCUAAAUAUUUAACGGAGGGAUAUUUUUGAGCCAAAAAUCUAAUGAGGGGUAUUUUUGAGGUAUUUCAGAUAGUUCAGGGGUAUUUUAAAGCCUUUUUCGUUAUGACAAUCAUUUAUGUAAUUUACUCCAUUGAUUAGAAAUAAUUUCGUUCGAAAAAAUAUUAGUUAAUAGAUAAAGACUAUUUUAAUUUUUUUUUUAUUUGGGACUAAAAUUAAAAAGCCAUCACAAUUUUAAUCUAUUUUUGAGAUUCACCUAUUUAUUUUUCUCAAUAAAAUAAUCCAAAUCCACAAAGAGUUAACAAUCAUUGGGGAUAUUCGACAGUUUUUAAAGCUUGGGACCAAAGUGAUGAUAUUUCAACCUUUCAACAGAAGUGUUUUAAAGGGACCAAUCUCUAUCACACAGAAUCAAGAAUGAUCCCAGUUUUUAUGAAUUAAAACUUUUCUGUCCAAAUUCAUCAUUAAUCAAUUUAUAUAACAACCCAAUUCGGCCACUUUUUUUGUUUUUAAGCAGGGCAUUUGCUAUGGAAACUGAAGGAGUUUUUGAAGAUAAUCAUCACAAAUAUGGGUUCUUUUUUCCAGUGCCAAACAUCAAAUUGUUUAUUACAACAAGAGAAAAUGGUUAAGGAAUUGCAAAUUUCAUCUCAACAAUUCCUGGCUGCCUUUUUUUGGGGAAAGUUACAAUCUUUGCUCCUCUUUUACUUCUGUCUUGGGUUAAUAGUAGUUUGUUUGAAUUUUCUUUGAGUUGAAAGUGAUAGAAAUGCAUAUUCAUUUUUUGUGGCUUGUGGAUAUAUUAUCAUGACUGAUUCUUCAAGUAUGUAGUAGUACAAUUUGUGUAGUUUGAUAGAAAAUUGAUUUUGUGUAAGAAGGGUUGGUUUUUAUGAUGGAUUUGGAUAUUCUAGUUUUACAAUAUGUCUGACCAGAGAAUGGAACGAGGAAACUUAGUAACCGAUAGAAUCAAAUACACACGAUAAGGAAGAAAGAAUGGAAUUUUCAUAACUAGUUUUUCCUCUUUUUUUUUUUUUUUUAAAUAACAGUGGUGUCUGUGCAAGCUUUCGUGUAACUCGACUAAAUCCACGGUAUACCUGCCACCUCUAGCAAUAGAUAUUAGGUACUUUUGUCUACCAAGGCUAGGACAGAGAGGAAGAAUCACCUAGUGUUUUUUUGUUUCUGUUGGGAUUUGAACCUGAGACCUCAUGUUCUCAACCCACUUGAUUGCUAUGUCUCUUUUAUUUGUGAAAUUUAUUAAGUUUUAUCGUACCCGUGGACACACAAAAGACUAUUACUUAAUUGGUACUUAUUAGUUGAAUUAAAAUACACUUUCUGCUUUCCCCGUAAUAUAUAACUGAUUUGUGUUACAGUACUAUAGGAAUUUCUGUAUUAGUCCACCUUUUGCACUUCUGGUCUUCCUUUUUGUUUUUGAUUUGUUUUGUAUUGUACCAUGGCCUUCUGUUACAAGCUGUUUGCAUCCUAAGGGAAGAGUUCAUACUAAGGUCAGAAAUGACUAGGUUUGCACUAUUUAAACUUAGAAGUCAUUUAUUAAAUAUGUUAUUAAUUAUUACCUAGCAGGUAAAAUGUUAGCAAUUUUUCCUACCCCUUGAAAAAAAAAAGAUUCAGAGGAGGAUCAUGACUCGUUCUCAUUGAUACCAGCAAAUUAUAUCUUCAGACUUUAAUAUUCCAGCUUCUUUUAAAUCAUGUUUCUUCUUAUCUACCAAGUAUAUUAAGUAAUAAUAACAGUAUUCUGUAACGGUCGAUUGUAGUGUUUAAUUUGCACCAAGAUUUUGUCUCUCUCCAACAAUCAGCUUUCCUGUUUUGGGUUAGGUGCUUAAUUGAGUUGACUAUUUAAGUUGAGUAACUUUUAUAUACCUUCCUGUCACCUCAUACAGUUGUUCUCUGGAAUAUAGAGUCUUUGUCACCAGUUAGCGAGAAGAUCUGGAUCACCAAAUAUGAUCUUUUAAAGGUGUAGCAACAGUCAGUGGUCUCACCAGUUAGCGAGAAGAUCUGGAUUACCAAAUAUGAUCUUAAAGGUGUAGCAACAACCAGUGGUAGGGAUGUGCAUUUCCCAUACAUUGGGUGGUUAUAACAAUAAAAUUGCAGACGAAGUACCUGAUUGAUGGUCCAUUUGGGCAUAAAUAUCAUGUUAUUUGCAAAUAUUGAUGUUUAUUAUUCACAAAUACGAGUAUUUGCUAGUACUUCUGCUUUCUGAAUUUCAACUGAACUGAUUUUAAGGUGCAUUUCAAGUGAAAUAUUUGUACGCGCAAAUCUUCAACUUCCACAGUUCUUUUUUCAAGUCAAGUUCAUGUCGGUACAAUUUGAACUUUGACUUCAUGUACUCAUUUUGAUCAACUUCAACUCAAAUAUUUUACAUAUGUCUGCAGAGAAGCCUGUUAUAGAGAUCUUCUAGAUUGAACAGCUCAGAAAACAUACGAGUGUCCUUCCAAGCAUUUUAUCUCGCAUUGUCUCUAGUAGGUUGAAAUGCUUAUGAUGUUACUAGCCGCUGCAGUAUCUGGAGCCUUCGAGGCAUUUGAUAUUCUGCUCAACUUCGUUUCAACUUUCUUUUGAAGCUUUGGAAUCAAUGAAGCGUAGCAGAUACUUCCUUUUUUCAGG
rnacentral:lncRNA from 1 species